rnacentral:lncRNA from 1 species
GCGAACGAUGCCGUUGAGAGUUGCGACCAAGCCUGCUCUAGCUUCUGCAGCGUGCAUGUUGGCAGCGCCACCGUGGUUGCUUAAGCAAAUGCAUCCAACUAGAUCGUCCUUGUGCUGAAUAAUUGGAUAUCGUAUCCACUUAAAGCUGCCUUGUGUAGUACGUCUUUGUGUCUCUCUUUAUAUUCCAAUAAGGUCGGUGAUCUUGAUGCCACACACUCAGAUGUGUGUUCAUCUCCAGAUACUACUCCAUGCUACCUGCCCUUUGUGUUUUGUUCAAUAACUGGGUAUCAUAUCCCAACCAGUAUGCCGUCUGUUUUGUGUUUGUUUCCUUCUAGUUCCAAAAGGGUCAUCAUGAUGUUACCUUCUUUCAAUAUGGUGCUUUGCAUGACUACUAUUGUAUGGUACCAUCUUGUGGCCAAUAAGUACAUCUUAUCCUAUGACCUUUGCUAUGACCCUUUGCAAAUAAGUAGAAGAUUGUUAUAAGCGUCAAUACUCCUUAUAAAUUGAUCGCUGCUGUGAGUUCCCUUUCAGCUUAUCGUAGGCAUACAUUAUUGCUAGCACGGUAAAGCCAAUCAACACGAAUGAUGAAGUAAAUGUAGCGGUACUUCUGUAUACCAACACCCUUACUUAAAUGUACCGGUGUCAUUCCCUACUGGCACAUAUAUUCUUAUAUGCUAGCCAGCUUGUAAAAUUAACCAAUUAAAAUAAUUAAUUCAAGAUAGAAAUAACUUAUCGGCUUCUCGAAGCAUGUGUAAUAUGAAUCGCUUCAUCUAUAUUGCUUUCAGGAUUUUGGGUAACUAAAUUUAACAUUUGCACAUACAAAUGUUAAAGUACAAAUGUUAAAUCUAGUUACCCAAGCAGAAUAUGAAUAUACUCUAUAGUAUAUAUAUACUAUAUAAAUCUAGUUAACAUUUAGUCUAAAUGUUAAAUCUAGUUACCUAAAAUCCUGAAAGCAAAAUGUAUAAAUAUAUAUCUUUUAAGGCAGUAUAAGCUUCGAUUCCUAUUGCUGCUCUGUUAAAUCUCAUCUUUCGUUGUGGCCCAACACUCUAGUAUGUAUGUUGCACCAAGCUUCCUUGAGCCGCUCUGCCCUCUGAUUUUGCUGCGUAGGGGAAUCUUUAUCAGGUUGGGCUGCUUCCAGUCAUACGAUGUGUGGCUUCAUAUCUUCUACAAGUUAGACAGGAAACCCGCGUUCUGGAAGAUUCUGCAACGUGCACGUUGGCGCUGCCACCGUGGUUGCUUAAGCAAAUGCAUCCAACUGAAUCGUCCUUGUGCUAAAUAAUUGGAUAUCGUAUCCACUGCUUAAAGCUGCCAUGUUUAGUACAUCUUUGUUUUUCUCUCUUUAUAUUCCAAUAAGGUCGGUGAUCUUGAUGCCACACACUCAGAUGUGUGUUCAUCUUCGGAUACUACUCCAUGCUACCUGCCCUUUGUGUUUUGUUCAAUAACUGGGUAUCAUAUCCUAGUCAGUGUGCCAUCUGUUUUGUGUUUGUUUCCUUCUAGUUCCAAAGGGGUUAUCAUGAUGUUACCUUCUUUUGAGGUGUCUAUGACUUUGUUAAUAUCAAUAUUAACCAAUUCAAUCUAUCUUAACUAUUUGUAAGGGGUAUGAUGUAUGCAUGAUUAUAACAAUGAUUGCGCAUACAAUCACUGCCAAAGAAACGGUCAAUACCAUAAAGACAUAUUACAGACAAUUCUCAUAAUUUAUAAUGAAUAUACAUAUUCACUACUGCAGAGACUGUCAUUUGUAUCAGCUCAUACGUGCCAGGGCAAAGGUCACCCUUGCAUUAAAAGUACAUUUGCACGGUAAAGAUAACCAACACGAAUAAUGAAGUAAACAUGCCGGUGCUUUUGUACACCAACACGCUUACUUAAAUGUACUGGUGUCAUUCCUCACCGGUAGCCGGCUUGAAAAUUAACCAAUUAGAACAAUUAUUUAUUGUAUCGGUGUGAAUUUUGACCUAUUGGAAUAUGAAUUUGACCGUUACUGCAUUCGUCAAGACUCAAGAGAGAAAUAACUGAUCGGCUUCUUAGAGCGUGUGCAAUGUGAAAUCAAGGACUGGAUGGAAGUUGAAGCGCUAGCUUCAUCUUCCGCUGCAUGUUAAUUGCUUGGAUAAGAAGUUGUAGCCGCGUAUAUAAAUAGUCCCGCUGAUGCUGUGCUCCGAAGUCUAUACUAUAUAUGCGAAAACUAGAUUGCUUUCAGGAUUUUGGGUAACUAAAUUUAACAUUUGUACAUAAAAAUGUUAGUUUACGAAUGUUAAAUCUAGUUACCCAAGCAGAACAAGAAGAUAGUAUAUACUAUAUACUAUGUAAAUCAAGUUAACAUUUAGUCUAAAUGUUAUAUCUACUUACCCAAAAUCUUGAAAGCAAAGAAAGAAUAAGUAUAUAUCUUUUGUUGGAAAAUUGGUCCACGGAGAGUGGCCUCGUUCGUUUCACCGGGAUGGAAUUCCAGUCAGGAUUACUUCCAAGUCCGGUUUAAGUGAUUCCACCCAUGUCACUCAAUUCGGCUAGGAUUCAUUCCAGGGGUGAGGAGGUAUGGUUUCAAUCCGGGCCAUCUAAUGUAGAAGGAUUCCAAUCCAGGCCGGUUUUCGUUCUAGGCUAGACUAAAACGAACAACACUUUCAAUGCAAGUCUGGUUUCAAACCGGGCCACUUCAAACCACCCGGAAUGGACCUCAUUCCGGGCCAAUCCGGUGAUAACAAACGAGGCCUUAAUGGAAUCCCAAAGCAAGAGUUCAGUGGCAUUCUAUAGUCCCAUGCUGCUAGUUUGAGUUGGUCGAAGCCAACUUAAAUAGGAGAGCUCUCUCACUUCUCUAAAAAUGUAACUGAAGGAGAGAAGGGGGCUUGGGUUACACAACGCACGCACGCACGCAUAUUUGCAUUCUUUUCGCGUAACCGACCGCGUGACUUGAAACUUGCGACGUAGCGUGCUGCUAAGUCAAGUUGAUAUAACCUUUUUGCCGUUUGCGUGUAAUCUUUUGACAACGGUCAUUGGAGGUGAUAAGCACGCAGUCAAUACCUUAAUCCUGAGUUAAUAGGGCGGUUACUACUGCCAAUUAGUGCAGCAAUUUUGUAGGGGAAACGGUUAGCAGAGGGCUACCGUCUUCUCUAUAAGAAGUUUUGGAGACGUUCAGGAACACACAUGUACAUGUGAGAGACCCACGGAUUCCUUCCCUUCUCCCUUUUCCAUCUGGUGAAGUGUGCUAUGGUACUGAGCUGCUGGAUCUCGCCGGCUCUUCUCCUUGGCGUGCACCGAGGAGGAGGGUGAGCGGUAUCUCUGAGCUAUUGCCGUCAGGAAGCCUGCACGAGGGACAACAAUAAAGUUUUUAGGUAGCGCCUGCCUAAUCUUCGAUCUGCACUGCAACGUGUAACCCUGCAGCAACUCUACACGAGGACGGAGCACUAAUCUGUAAGUCCUAGAUUGGUUUCUUACAUAGUUGUAGGUUACACAAGAUCUAGAAUGGUUACAUACCAAUUAUUAUGGGUUACAUGAUGUUUUGUACGGUUUCGUCUAUUUUGCAUAUGCUAUUUUUUCUAUUUUGCAUAUGCUAUUUUUACAUACCGUUUACAUGCAUAUGUUAAUGGUUACACCUAGCUAUUUGAAUCUAGAAUUGGGUUACAUAGCAGUAGCAAUGAGUUACGUAAUAUGCCUCACGUUUAUAUCUGGUAGAAUUUAACACGUAUCUCCAACAUAUUUUGAGGCAGUAUAAAUUUCAAUUCCUUUUGCUGCUCUGUUAAAUCCCGUCUUUCGUUGUGGCCCAACACUCUAGUAUGCAUGUAGCACCAAGCUUGUUUGAGCCGCUUUGUGCUUUGAUUUUGCUGCGUAGGGGAAUCUGUAUCAGGUUGGACUGUUUCUUUGUCUUGCGAUGUAUAGCUUCAUAUCUUCUAGAGGUUAGACAGCAAAACCCGCAUUCUCUUAAGGCAACAACCCGAAGAAUCUGCAGCGCCUCUGAUAUAUCACUGCUGCAGAAACGAUCUUUAGUACUGAUCUCCAACCCUCUUUAGUAUCGGUUGGGCAACCAGUACCACUAUGUCGGUACUAAAGGGAGUUCUCUAGAAUCGGAUCAAAUAACCGGUACUAAAAGGGCUCCUUUACUACCGGUUGGUAACAACAAUAGGUAGUGACUUUUUUGCACCCAAAAAAUUAAAGAAUAACAGCCGGGAGGCUCGCACACACACGCAUCAUGAGUAAUAUGCGCGUGCAUGGUUUGUGGGAUUUCAACCCACGACCAAGCUAUAAGAACGUAGUUACAACAAAUCAAACACUUAGACAUUUUAGAGCAUCCCAAAUAACUACAAAUUCUAUAGUUUACCAUAUACCAUAAAAUAUUAGUUAAAAUAAGAGCAUACACAUGUCGGAAGAGUCCCAAUGCACCGGUUGAGGAUCAGACCAGGCACUUUGAAUGCACAUGCCAUAAGAUAAUUCUGCAGGACAAUGAUUGCAAUAAUGGACCAUCGAGAAGAUAGGGGCGAUGGGGUUGCCUCAUCAAUUAUCACUUGGCGCAACAAGACCAGCAAAGUCUUUAUCGACAGGGGUGGAUCAAGGGGUGGGGCAGGCAGAGCUCCAGUCCUCCUACCGCCGCUCGAACAAUGGAGCCCCCUUAGCCCCUCCAUAAAUUUUUAGGUAGAAGAAAAAAGAAGAGAAGGGAAGCAAGGGGAAGAAGAGGGAGCCCCUACUAAGUAGGUCGCCAUCGUGCUUCCCAACGCAUGAUCGCCGCACCGCAUCCAUUCCUCUACAAGCCUUCAGCGUCUCUCCCGCCGCUACCUCUGAACCAUGUGCAGCUAUAGACCCAACUAGUGUGUUGUCGCCCAUCUCAGUCCCAACAGAGCGGCGGCGGCUGCCAACACAAAUCUCCCUCCGCCUCUUCUUCACGGUCGAUGGCCGCCACAAGCAUAAACCUCGCCUUCGCAUCCAAGCAAAAGGGUCGUUGGGGUGCCUUCUUGCAUCACUUCUCAGCCUCCUUCACUUGCGGCCAGCGAAGAACUGCGCCACCACCUCGGGUGCGUGCCACCACUCCAGGGCCGCUACCCCAUGCCUGCGGCCGCCACCGGCCACCACGCGUGUGCAACCGCGUUGCACCGCUUCCCUGCUUUGUGCCACCACUACUGCUGUACCACCAGCUCCACCACCUUGGGAUGGUCGCCAGGGUGACUGAUUGGUGGAUUAUUACUAAAAAUAAGUUCCUUAUUAUCUGCAACUACUAUUAACUCAGAGAUACAUGCGUCUUUUCCUUCUCCUGCUAAUAGGUCCUAAAAUAUCUAGGAUGCUUUAUAUUUCUGGACAGAGGAAGUAUUUGAAUAAAAUGAACCAAUUUAAAAAAAAUGUGUUGUACACUACUACAGAAAGACCUAUCAGUGUCAAACCCAAAAAUGUCGUCACCGCCAGUUUUAGGCAUCGUUGGUGAAAGGUUGGCGGUGAUGGGCAUCCCCUUCAACAACGGCACUGGAGCCGACGGUGAUUGACAUUAGAAAACAAAAAAGGGAACCCCACCUAGCCACCCCUGCAACCCAGCCGGCCGUGCCUCCCCUCAUGCCCACCACCUCGCCUCCCCCGUGACCCCCCGCCGGCGCCCUUGUGCCUAGCCCCCUCGCCUGCCCGGCCGGCCACCCUCGUCAUGAGAGAGAGAGGUGCAUGUUGUAUAAUUGCGUGAAUUUUUGAAUGUUUAAUUUUAUGUAAGUUCCAUGUAAUAAAUUGUACAAGUUUUAUUGUAUAUAUGAAUUCCAUAUAUAUAUAUUUAUAAUUUAAUGUAUGGUUUCAUGUGUAUAUUUCAAUCAUGUGUAUAAUUAGUAGAUUGCCGAUUUUCUUUUUCUACUAGACAAGGGUUGAUGUAUAAUUACGUGUAUAUGUUUAUUGUAUGGGCAAUUAGGACAAGUUUUGUAUAAAUUUCUUUUAUUUCAUGGUUGUUGUAUGGUUUCAUGUAUAUACAUUUAUUGUACUACUUGAGACAAUUUUAAUUUAAUAUUUCUAUGAUUACAUGUGUGUAUAACUAAUUGUAUUAUUAGUUAAGAUGGGAGCCAAAGAGGAUGAAAGGUAUAUAAUAGAGUAGAUUAUUGCUGGCGGUAGUGGCUCAAACGUUGCAAGAACCUACACCGAGGGUGAGGGUAGCUAGGUGGACAUGUACCUCAACAUGUCCAGUGAUGGCAAUGACGAUGAGGAGCACGAGCAUGACGUCUAUGAUAAUGCGGAACAAGACAUUGCAGAAUUGGAAGGUUCUAAUGAGGUGUGCUUCAUGUUGACGAUCUAGUUGGCUUUUUUUCUUUGGUCACACCUUAGUUACCAUAGAACUUCGUCUCGGGAGAAGAUUGGUGGUGCUAUGGUGAUUGGAAUUUUAUUGCCUCCAAAUUUGAUUUCCAUCGAAUCAUAUCCCUUGUAUUUAUCUUCUUUUUAUUUGUGAGAGCAUCUUCUUUAUGCUUGCAAAACAAUUCAAGUGCACAUACUACCCCUAGGGUGAUGAUUGGGAGUAGAAACAAUUGCCAACAAAACAACACCACAUCCUAAGAUUCUUAACUUGUGGCAUAAUUAAUCUAGUGAAAAGAAAGAUAAAAACCUAAUGGGUGUACGUGAGUGCAAUGUGUAUAUGCAUAUGAGUGGAAGGCAUAUAAGCAAAGACAAUAUUUACACAUAGUUCUAAACACGAUGUUUACAGCUAGGUUGCUGAAUUUCUCCAUAGCUAUAGAGAUUAAUUAACCAAGGUCAAAACACGAUGUCUAUCCCAAGAUCAGUAAUUCUUUAUAGCACAAGAAAAAGAAAGCGCAUUGCAAAGUUUAUAAACCAACCAAUACAGCAUGAAAACAAGAUGAAUAGCUAGCAAGGUUUAUUAAAUUGAAUGAUGACGGUCUGCAAGCAAGUUUGAACACCAUCUUUACACAAGAUUGCAAAUGGAAAAUGCCCAUAUGAAGCACUAACAUGGAUAUGAAAUCAUUCAUCAUAAAGCGUAAAGAACAACCAAGUAGUUUUUAAUGGCAUAUACAUGUAUAAUAUAGUUUAGGUGCUAAAAUUGAUAUUCACAGCUAUUUUGGGCUCCAAUUCGCGUCCAAACCAACCUAGCCCACAGACCACACCCGGCCGGCCAGCUCAUCGGCCCAUCUAGUCACUGAUCCUUCCACCACCACACUCAGCCCAUCAGUCGGUCAGGUCCCGAGCUCCUGCCUGACCUAGUCCGCUACCGCCGCCAGGCGCCAAGCACAGCCGUACGCACUGCACCGCCCCCGUCCACCCAUGUCCGCUGCGCGGCAAAGCCGCGCCCCCCAGCCCCCGCGGUGAGAUCUCGACGCCCGCUGCCGCCAGACCCCAUUAGGCCUCCACCGGCAAGUCCACCCACAGUCCCACACGACCUAGUCCGCUNNNNNNNNNNNNNNNNNNNNNNNNNNNNNNNNNNNNNNNNNNNNNNNNNNNNNNNNNNNNNNNNNNNNNNNNNNNNNNNNNNNNNNNNNNNNNNNNNNNNNNNNNNNNNNNNNNNNNNNNNNNNNNNNNNNNNNNNNNNNNNNNNNNNNNNNNNNNNNNNNNNNNNNNNNNNNNNNNNNNNNNNNNNNNNNNNNNNNNNNNNNNNNNNNNNNNNNNNNNNNNNNNNNNNNNNNNNNNNNNNNNNNNNNNNNNNNNNNNNNNNNNNNNNNNNNNCCCCCCCUCCACCAGGACUGCUUGUUGGCCCCCACCGCGAGGUAAUCAAAAUGGACGGCUCAAUCACUCAAUCUGUUGACAUGAUGCACACGGUUGCAAAAAUAGAUGUGUCAAAAUAGAUAUAUUGCUAAUUGCUAUAGAUGCAUACGGUUGACAUGAAGAAGUUAAAAAUGACAUUUGGUUCCUUGUAGGCAGUCAAAAAUGAAGUCAAAAAAUAUUGAUCUGAAAUCAAUGUGGGAAAGGGCUACGAAGACACACAGAUUCCCUUGUGAACUUUUUAUGUCAUUCGUCUAAAUAUUUUUUUGCAAUGGGCAUACCCUACUCUGAAAUCCUGGGUCUGCCACUGAUGAUGAUGGUCUAAACAUAAAACAAGCCAAGAUUAAUUAGCCACAACUGAAAUUAAACAAAGGUUAAUGUCAUUGACCCUAGCUCUAUCCUAGCUUUUACAAAAGUCCCGGCACAUAUAGUGGUUGGGCCCACUCUCUCUGCUUCCCUCUCUGCUGCAUGCAUGCACACGAGCAACGGGAGGCCCCACAAAGCCCAGAAGGGUUCGGCUGAACCCGGCCGAUCCAAUCUGAGCACCACUCCCUCCCAGCCUUCGCGCAGAUGCUCCUCCAACAUUCCUUGACCCCUCCCUCAGCGUCCCAUUGGGUUUAACAUUGCAGGAGAGGAGUCCCUUUUUUAAAAUCUCAACCACCUCCUCUCCUCAUUCACUCCACUCUCAUCUCCAUCAAACUCACCAAGAUCCACAUCGGAAAUCCCUGCUUACCACCAUGGCUGGCAAAGCCCUCGUCCCUUUCACCAACUUGGGCUUAACCAUUGAUCUCGAUGGGGAAAUCACUCCGGAAAUAGGGCAGUGACCCAGAGCAAAGGUGAUGCCAGAGUGUAGAUAGCAGUUAGCAUGCCAAAUUGUGAACCGCAAGCGCUCGGAUUAGUUGUUUUUUUUCCCUUAGAGAUUCCCCCAAGGUUUAUCAAUCCAUGGAACAAGGGAUUUGCACAUUUCACUAAGCAUUAAUCAAUGUAAUUGAAAGCUUUUUGAAUAAGAUAUGAUUAUGCUAACAAAGGAACUAAGCAAUCUAGAUUAAGAUGGAUAGAGAGUAAAGGUUGUGAACAAGAUAGAUUAAACGCUUAUAGAUGCAAUCACCAUGCAUGAAUGAAUUAGAUCUAGGUGUUAUUGUGAGUGGUUGUGAACCAUACCCCAACACUUUCCCACCCGCAACAUUGUCACUACAUGUGGGUACUCAACUAUCGAAACAUAAGAACACAUCAAGAUGAUCAUUCUAGGUAAGCAAAUAAGCAACCCAAAGUAGCGCUGGCCAGCCUUUUCAUGAAAGAGCAUCAUCAAGAUAAGAUUGAUAACAAAAUAGAUCUCAACCAAAGGUUCAGCGAUUACAAAUCAAGAUCUCCGUAUAACCCCGAUGACAAAUAGAGGUAUUACCCCCAUGAUCUUACACAUGUUGAUGAAUUUUAGGGUAAAGGACGCCCUGUAGAUCAACUGGACCAAAGAUGAUGAUGAACAGGGGCAGGGAAGGCCCAGGCUGAUCAGCCUGGGCACUUUUGAGCCGAUCAGCUUAGGGAGUUUCCUCCUCCCCUGGUGCUCCUCUUCGCGUGGCCUCCUCUGGAUCCAAUCUUCUCUUCAUUUCUCCUACUUGUGGUGGCAAUGGAUGGUGUUUGCAUGGUGAUUUCCUCUUCUCCCCAACUCUCCCUCCUUGAAGUCCAUGAGGGGGUAUUAAUAGUCUCCAAUAUGCGGCAGCUCUGGGUCAAUGUCGGUGAAAAAACCCUAGAGAUCAUCGUACACUUCACGCUGAGGAAACAAGAGGUCGACCGAGCCCUGGGAUAGACCAAGAGGAUCAGCCUAGAGGGUCCCAGGCCAAUCGGUCUAGGCCCUUCCUAGCCCUUCUAGUCCUCUCCUUCCUCGUGCUGGCUUUUCUCGAUGACCCUUGUCCAAAUAUCCAUUAAGCUCUAUAUACAUACCCCCUUGAUUAUGUCGUAUUUCCUGUCAAAAUACAAUGCUCCAAAAUACAACACAUAUGCAAUAAUAGGGUUAUUUCAUGUGCCAAUUGGUGCGUUAGUAUACGAAUAAGCAUGAAAAUACUGGUUAAAUGACACUAAAAGUGUGUCAAUAACGAGCACCAACAAUCCCCCCACGCUUAGAUCUUGCUCGUCCUCGAGCAAGUCUAGCGACUAAAAGAUCUUGAAUUAAACAUGAGCAAGCGAGUCAAGUACCUAGCCUUGAAACAAAAGAUUAGAGGAGCAGCAAAGAUAAUCAAAGUCUGGGUGUUCAAAGAUUUAUCUAAGCAAAGAUUCCCCUACAACUAUUAUUCAGAACCAAGUAACUUCAAGAAUCAACUACACUUAUUUUCUGGCUUUUUUCAGAGGGUUUUUCUUUCAUCACAAAACAAUCUCCCUGCAACAAAAUUGAAAAAAGAAUUAUUUUCCAGGUGCUUACAUGUCGUUUAAAUGAAUGUUCGCUAUCCUACUUAUUUGCAAGCUCUCAUCUCUCAAAAUUCAUUCAAUUAUAUGGUGGAGCUUGGGUAAGGUUAGCUAGAAUCAACACGUAUAUUAUUGAAUUAAGAAAACCCUCUAACGGUAGCCUACCUUUCGAGCCAUUGAUCAUAAGAAUAUCCACAUAAUGUGAAGUUUUCAAGGAUGAGAAUAGAAUGGUGGACAUGUGCAAAGGAAAAGAAAUAUAGUGACUCUGAGGCACAAGCAAUGUCCUCGUCGUUGGAUUGCAUAUGGUUGGAAUGAAAAUCUGUUCCUUAAACAAGUCCAUCUUUUCUUUGCACCACUCUUGAUCUUCAUGACAGUAAAAACUCCUCCUUUAUUUCUUUCUCUCUUUUCCUAUUAUUUCUUUUUAUUUGUCUCAAUACUUUUCUUUCUUUAUUUCUUUAUUUUAAUCUCUUCUCCGAACCUCUUCUGAACACCACACAAUAAAAAUCAGUUUUAGAUCCUUCUAGAGACCUUCCAGGAAUUUGCUACAUGAAAACCGAGGCAAGGAGACCCCAGGCCGAUUGGCCUGGCCACUCCUUUGCUCUCCUCUAGCUCUUCUUUCUUGUGAAGCUUCCUUAUCUUGUAUCUUUCCAAAAAUUUCAUAAAGCUCAACUAGAAACGGAACACAUCUUCAUAUAAUGAGUUGUGUUCAAGGAAUUGGUAAUAAAAUUGAGAAAUUUGUGGUUCGGGUUUACGAAUUCAGUACAAAAAUAUGAUUAUUCCAAUGAAGAACUCUCAUUACUGAAUAUUGACGAGGCAAGCAUUCAAAGAUGGUAAAAAGGAUAUGAUCAAUUCUCAGAAUUAAAGCAAACCAAGAGAGAGCGAUCCUAAUUCAAUUCAAAGUGUCAAAUGUUGCUUAUGGUGGUAUGAAUAAAUAUUUUUAGGCAUUGGGUAGGAUAAAUAAAAACUCUCAACCUGGUUAAAAGAUAUUGAUCAAUCUUGUUUUUGCAGAGGUUUUAAAUAAAAAAUAAAAUUUUAAAUCACCUCCAAUUCAAAGCCUUACUCAUAAAUCAUAAUCAAAACUGAAGCACUUGAUCAUCAUAAAGCAUGGGUAUUGCAUAAACAAAUCGAUUACUAAAACUCCACAACUACGAUUUAGAAUUCAAGACAAUGCUCAUAAUCUAAAGUUGCAAAGACAAAAUAAAAGACAAGCAAGCCAAGGUAGACACUAAAAACACUUGCACGAUCCUUGAAUUUUAUUCAUGCUUCUUCUCACAAAGACGCUAAAGUAGCCAUGUAGGCCUAAGUCUUCCCAAAAGCUUAAGAAGACUACUACUUUAUCUACUUUUGGUUGAAAUAAAAAUACUAAUCUAGACUCUCACAUGAUUCGACUCGACCAAACUAGAUCCAAAAACUCAUACGAGCGACAAUCUCCCCCCCCCCUCUCAAAUCUACGACCUCCUCGUGGUAACCAUAUGGAGUACAAGGAAAAGACGCUUGUAAACGCACUAAUGACGCUACCCGGACUACUUGCACACGGAAUGGUUGUUGUUUCCUUUGCUUUGUUCUUCGUCAUGUUGCUGCACAUCCCGAAGAGCUUCCUCACGUUCCUCUGCAAGAACUUGAACUUGAACUUGUCCUCCUGACGGCAAUCAUUAUCUUCUGCCUUUUGAUCCAGAGCUUGUAAGGCUUGCAUGAUGUCAUCGAACGCAUCGAAGAGGUAGUGGAUGUUCUUCCUGCAAGCUGUGGAACAUGUACGAUCAUGCUCCUACGAUUCUGGCCCGUCGUCUUCUAGAUCCUCCUCUUUGCCCUUGUCUUGACGGUGGCCAUCUUGCUCCUUGCUCGUCUUCUUGCCUUCAGCCCGAUCCCAGUACGUGUUGUCAUCUUCUUCAUCGUCACGGCCUGCAGCACCCUAUGAUCCAUUGUCUAUCUUGUAUGAAAGAAUCAGAAGCUUGUUCUCCUCAGGGUGUCUUGCGCGGUGCAGCGUUUGCAAGUGCAAGGCUUGCUAGUUCUUUUUACACAUUGUAAUGUUCAUUGCAUGCUCUAAUUGUUCUACAUUUGUAAUUUCUUGGUGAAGUUUGGUUACUGAUCCACUGUUUGAUUAACUCUUGGGCCCAAACACUGUACUACUUCUGAUUAGAUAUCUGUAUCUUAACUUUGACCAAAAAAAAUAUCCGGCAGUUUUUGCCAUUAAAGUUUCAUAAAUCAUCUUGCAAAAAUCGUACUAUACAACAAGGGACGGUUUAUUAUAAAAUAUACGUUCCCCUUAUCACAUGCCACUUCCACUCAAAAGGCAACGAAUCAGUUUUCAAUCCUGAGUGAGCAAUUUGCUUUUAUUACCGAUGCCUCCUAUUCCCUUGUGCACCAAGUUCAUUUUGGAUAGGACUGCAAAAAGCGACUAACCAGCUCGGAUUCUCCACCUGCAAAACCGCAUCUGCAGCAACCAACCCCACGCGGUGGAAAAAAAAACAAAACCCAGAAACCGGACGGGGGUGGAUGUGGGGCUCGGAGCCCAAGCAAAAAAAAGGAUCGGGAGCGCCGGAGCAGGCCAUCACCGGAUGUUAGAGAUAGAAAAUGGUUGAAGUUGGAGUGGAAAUCAAACAAGCCUUGGAGCAAAGGAAAAAAAAGAUCAAACCACUCAAGCAUUCAUUUGAUUUAGAAAAGAGAACAUUUGUUAAGGUGGGGAGUUGAAAUCAUCUUUUAAUUAGUUCCACGUAUCUGGUAUCAUUACAGUUGGUUUACUUGUGUAAGUAUAUAAGUAGCUCUGCCGAAGCCUUUGCUCCUAUAAUUUAGUAACUAGUACAAAUGGAUCAUUAGGAAAAUCAAGUUGCAAUCAUUUCUCAGCCAACCAAACCUAUCUAAAUCAAAUUAUUGUCCAUGCCCGGCAUGCACAGGUGCCUGCCAUGCAUGCAUUGUUGCUCCAUUGUAAUAACCAUUAUUGUCCAUUGAUGUUCCAGCGCAUGUGUGCACUGUGCAGACACCAAGCAUCGAGAUUAUGUACUAGUAAGGUACCAAGAACACGUGAAGCACACGGGGGAGGCUGCUCCACUCGGCAUGCACAGGUGGGGCACGGCACCACUACUCGUCUCCUUCAGGCAGAGGACAAGUGAUGUACGCUGAUCAACCACUAGUAGAAAAACGACUUUCCAUCCGCCCCUUUUGUCCCGGUUUAAAGUUGGCCCGGGACAAAAGGUUCACCAACCGGGACUAAAACUCGGUCACUGGUGGGGGGCUCACCAACCGGGACCUUUUAUCCCGGUUGCAAAGGCUAGUGGGAAAAAAAGACUCUGAGAGGCCUUUUAUCCCGGUUUGAAACACCAACCGGAAUAAAAGGUGGUCUUUUAUCCCGGUUGGUGUUUCCAACCGGGAUAAAAGGGUCCCCCACGAGUUAAUACAAAAGGAUAGUAUCCCCUAUAUAGUCAGAUGUGGUGUGUAGGUGGGAUGGCAAGGAAGCUACGCGCGAGGCUGGAGGUUGUGGGUUUGAAUCCCACGAACCGCGCACCCCCACCACGGCAAACGGAGGUGAUGGCGGAAGGUGAGGCAACGACAGUAGCUGGUGAGCUCCCGCUCCAAUGUCUCGCGAGUGAAGGAGGAGGAGGUGGCAUGGGAAUCGAAGAGGAGGCCGCCGCUGGCGGGUUUAGACUACGUGGAUGUGUGGGUAGGGUUAAGGUGACGGUGUGGACUAGUAUAUAUAAGAUGUCUGGGCUUGUUAGAAUAAGAUAACAUUCUAACCGGCCAAAUUCGGACCCGGUUAGAUUAAAUUGAUAUUCUAACCGGUCCUAUUUCUAGGUGGUAAGAAUAAGUUAACAUUGUAAUUGGCUUUAUUUGGAACCCGAUUGAAUCUUCUUGUUAUUCAAAAAAACAUCAAGUUCAUCAAUUUUAAUCCAGAAAAACAUCAAGAUAAUUUAAGCACGAUAUAUAACAAGAUUAAUAAAUUUAAUAAUUGUUUGAUCCACAAAUUAACGAUAUUUAACAAAUUCAAAAAAUCCAAAUUAACAGAACACAAUAACCAAUUGUUCGAAAAAAUCAAAAUAAUCCACACACAUUAAUAUAUUACAAAUUCAGAAAUAUAUCAAAAUAAUCCCCGAUCCACUCGAUACCGUCAUAGGACUUUUAAAUACUGAGCUUCUUGAUUCGUCUGAGGUCCACGUACUCGUCUCAGUAACACUAGUGAUGGCCAUGCAUCUUGUAGAUGUCUUCUAACGAAUCAAGCUUGACGUACAAGGUCAUGCCUUCCGCUCCUUGAGGAUAACCAUCUUUGGUGAUCUUGAAAUGGCAGACGGUGGAUGUGCCAAAGGUACGUAACGAUCCUUCUAAAUGUAUGCCACCACAACUUCCGUCUGAUCGCCAUGGGUGACACCAAGAAGAGCUACCAUGCGGCAAGGGACGAACAAUUUAUCAAUUAGUGCCGCUGUCCAUUCGCCAUCAUCUAAUCCAGCCAUAUCUUGAUGUAUAUUUAAGUAUAGAAAUUAAGAUUUAAAAAUAAACAGAAUAAAUUGAGAUCGACUAUGUAUGUAUAUCAGAACAUUAGCUUUUGGAAAAAGGGCUUCGAUGGAAGAGAGGCACGGGGCAUAGAGACAACAACGAGUGACAAUAUGUCAGAAGAAUACCCGAUCACAAUUAUUGGCUACAGGACGGGCACACACAGCCGAUAUUUACAGUAGUCAAUACCCCUGGUAAAUAACCACACCAUCAAGAGUAAAUAGUGACAAUAUGCAGUAUAUACACGACAUAGCCUUGGUUGCCGUGGAAGCGCCAGAAGGGAGACAAAUAACAGGGACCACAACAUCAAGUAGAUAGUGACAAUAUGCAGAAGAAUACCCGCGCCUGUUAGCAUGUGUGAACUGACCACACCACGAAACGUGAUACACGGCAAGCGUACCAAGGCCUUGCUGUGCAGACUAUGCAUGGACAACACAUGGUACCUGACCGCUUUUGGCCUCAGACACAUCGAAAAACUGCAUCGUUCCACGUUGUACAUCCAUUGCUAGUUUAUCUAUAUUACAUAAUAUAUUAUUAGCUAUUUGAAUAGAAUGAACCAAUUAAAAAAUUGCGUUGUAUUUUAGUACCGGCUGCAGGAUGGUGUUACCAACCAGUACUAAUUGGCCUGUAGGAGUGAUGGUUAUUAGACUUGGUACUGUUGUUAGCAUCAUUAACCUAAUUGUGCGCGGUAUGAAUUUGGGGAUGCAAAGCUAGCUCUCUAUGAAUGUGAGGGAUGGAAAGCUAGUUCUCUAGUAGUAAUUAGCUAUAUAUAUAUGUCAGUCAAGAAAUCGAACACUAUGCUGCUACGAGUCACCAUCAUUUCCUUCAUUGACAAUCUGACAUAGGUGAAGCUGCUUCAAGAAUUUCCUUCGCGCAGUCGUGGAGCUUAUUGGAUUAUCACCAGGACGGGACACGGAAAUGGCCAGCAAUGAAGCUGAUUGCCGUCUGAGGAAGAUUACAUACUUACCUAUGAAAUGAAGCGAUUGCAUAGACUAAUGAAGCAUUGCAUAUUUGCAUGUGAGUGUGGCAGAUAAUUCUGCAGGACAUGAUUGCAAUCCACGCACCAUCGAGAAGACUGGGGCGAUGGGGUUGCCUCAUCAAUAAUCACGUGGAUGCAUGCAUGCAUGUUCCCGCAACCGGACAAGGGUCUGAUAUAUGGCUAUAGUAUUACUGAGCCCACAUCAAUAAUUUCCGCUGGUGUAUCGUGUGGGAAGAAUCAACAUACUACACCUCGAGUUCUUGGAACUAACUGACGUUCACAUGCAACCUCCACAAGGUGCUGUAUAUAUGCUUUUGACAUUCACCUGCCAGUUCGUGUAGAGGACACCCUAACGUAUGGUUAAUAUUAUCCAUUUCAUGAGUAAAAUACUGUGAUUCAAAAAUACUUCAAAUCCCUUGAGACAAUACUUCUCACUUGACUAACCACUAACCAACCCCGAAACCCUAACUCAACUCCGAACCCUAACACCUAACGGCAUAACCACUCCGUUUUGCCAGCCAGAUGGAGGAACUGGCUGGGAGGGAGAGAGGGCAGCGGUCCAGGGUUGAAAACGACGGGCGAGCGCAGUAACAUGUGGAGGAGGAAGUGCCACGUAUUCGUUCACCGCUAUUGGGCAGCGACACACAACACGCCCAAUAAGAUUUUCGCACGGUAGAAGGGCGCCAUGUAUUCAAUAAUGUUAUUGGUCCUCCAUGUGCAGAAGGGCGCGUAUGGAAUAACAAGUAGGGACACUGCAACUAAUCUACUCUGCUCGUCCAGUCCCUAGCCUAUAAAUAGAUGCCAUGCUAGCUCUUGUUGUGCUCACAGUUAAUCCGAUUACACACGAGCUUCUCUCCCUGGCCAAGACACAAUCAUAGUAUGAUGAAGAACAUGGCACUAGCCGGCAAUGGUAUGAAGAAGUUAAUCCUCGCUGUUCUCUUACUGUGUCUAGUUAUAGGGCAGAUACAAGUGGAAGCUAAGAGCUGCUGCCCAUCCACCACUGCAAGAAAUGUCUACAAUACCUGCCGUUUGACGGGUGCAUCCCGUCCAACGUGUGCAAAACUGUCAGGCUGCCAAAUUAUCAGCGGGAACAAAUGCAAGCCCCCUAACGACCACCUCACCCUUGACCCGGACACUGGUAAAUAAUAAAUUUAUCUCACUUGAUUUCUUUGUGUUUUGAGUCGUUAAUGUAUUUUCCAUCUGAUGAAACGCAUUGGUUUUGCAUUGAAGAGGAAGUUAAUGUGCUUAACUUCUGCAAGUUGGGGUGUGCGUCGUCUGUGUGCAACAACAUCAACGCUGGUAAGCACCUUUUGCUCAGACAGAGAAAACAAUAAUCAUUAAUUAGCGGCAGCUAGAAUCCUAUAAUCUAAUAUAUAUAUAUAAUUUUAUCAGCUCUGGGAAAUGAAGAGGCGAACGAUGCCGUUGAGAGUUGCGACCAAGCCUGCUCUAGCUUCUGCAGCGUGCAUGUUGGCAGCGCCACCGUGGUUGCUUAAGCAAAUGCAUCCAACUAGAUCGUCCUUGUGCUGAAUAAUUGGAUAUCGUAUCCACUUAAAGCUGCCUUGUGUAGUACGUCUUUGUGUCUCUCUUUAUAUUCCAAUAAGGUCGGUGAUCUUGAUGCCACACACUCAGAUGUGUGUUCAUCUCCAGAUACUACUCCAUGCUACCUGCCCUUUGUGUUUUGUUCAAUAACUGGGUAUCAUAUCCCAACCAGUAUGCCGUCUGUUUUGUGUUUGUUUCCUUCUAGUUCCAAAAGGGUCAUCAUGAUGUUACCUUCUUUCAAUAUGGUGCUUUGCAUGACUACUGUUGUAUGGUACCAUCUUGUGGCCAAUAAGUACAUCUUAUCCUAUGACCCUUUGCUAUGACCCUUUGCAAAUAAGUAGAAGAUUGUUAUAAGCGUCAAUACUCAGUAUAAUUGAUCGCUGCUGUGAGUUCCCUUUCAGCUUAUCGUAGGCAUACAUUAUUGCUAGCACGGUAAAGCCAACCAACACGAAUGAUGAAGUAAACGUAGCGGUACUUCUGUAUACCAACACCCUUACUUAAAUGUACCGGUGUCAUUCCCUACUGGCACAUAUAUUCUUAUAUGCUAGCCAGCUUGUAAAAUUAACCAAUUAAAAUAAUUAUUUCAAGAUAGAAAUAACUUAUCGGCUUCUGGAAGCAUGUGUAAUGUGAAUUCAAGGACUCGACGGAAGUUGAAUCACUUCAUCUAUAUUGCUUUCAGGAUUUUGGGUAACUAAAUUUAACAUUUGCACAUACAAAUGUUAAAGUACAAAUGUUAAAUCUAGUUACCCAAGCAGAAUAUGAAGAUAGUUUAUAGUAUAUAUAUACUAUAAAUAUACUAUAUAAAUCUAGUUAACAUUUAGUCUAAAUGUUAAAUCUAGUUACCUAAAAUCCUGAAAGCAAAAUGUAUAAAUAUAUAUCUUUUAAGGCAGUAUAAGCUUCGAUUCCUAUUGCUGCUCUGUUAAAUCUCAUCUUUCGUUGUGGCCCAACACUCUAGUAUGCAUGUUGCACCAAGCUUCUUUGAGCCGCUCUGCCCUCUGAUUUUGCUGUGUAGGGGAAUCUUUAUCAGGUUGGGCUACUUCCAGUUGUGCGAUGUAAAGAUUCGUAUUUUCUAGAAGGUAGACAAAAAACUCGCGUUCUCUUAAGGCAACAACCGGAAGAUUCUGCAGCGCAUAGGGCAUACCAUUAUUGUAGAAACGACCUUUAGUACCGAUCUCCAACCCCCUUUAAAACUGGUUUUGCAACCGGUACCGUUAUGUCGGUCCUUUAGUACCAGAUCAAAUAACCGGUACUAAAAGAGUCAACUAAAAGGACUCUUUUAGUACCGGUUGGUAACCAGUAUCAACUUGUUUUGUGGCCAAAAAAAUAAAGAAAAAAACAGUCAGAAGGCUCGCACACACGCGCAUCACAUGAAAUAUGCGUGUGCGGGGUCCAUGGGAUUCGAACCCAUGAAAUCAAGCUACGCGCGACCCUUCGUUACCAUCUCACCUGAAGUAACCCGUGGAGGAGGCUUUAGUACCGGGUCAUAACACCACCCGGUACUAAAAGUGACUCUUCAGUACCGGGUCAUAACACCACCCGGUACUAGUAUCGGAUGGUGUAAUGACCCGAUACUAAAAGGCCUCUAGGGACCCUCAAAUUUGAACCCGGUACUAAUGCUAAUAUUAGUACCGGGUCAAAGUGCAGCCAGAACUAAAGCAUGGGAUGAAAGGUCAUAUUUCUAGUAGUGUAUAGUUGUUGUGAAGGACUUACUUGGCUGUCCUCUCUCUUCUCCAUCCCCUUGGUCUUACGCCGCCGCUCGCACGCGAGCUGGUGCCCAACCAGAGGAGUGAGAGCUAGGGGCAGGUUGGGAGGUGGGGAUAGCGACUGGUGGCCAGGGUGAUGGUUGAUCCUGGCGGGGUUAGGGUUUUAGGGUUUUCGAGCUUCCUAUGGUCGGCGAACCUAGAGGAGGAGCUCAACAUCAGCUGCAACCCGCGAUGGUGGUGGUUUGGCCAGCGCCCGAGGCGAGGCAGCGCGGGAGUGCUGCCGGUGGGUUGGUGUUGGCACUCAUUAUUGACAACUAUUUUGUUCAUAAAAUAACACUCAAACUUGCUGCUGCUGCCGCCGCCAUCGCCACCCUAGCCAUAAUAUAAAGGCAAAAUUUGCUAAAGGACAUGCAAAAUGAUGCUAGUUUGCUGGCGGGCAUCGUUGACCUUGUAAUAUGCUACAAGACACUCUAGUUGUGUAUCAAUUUGCUGAAAGACAUUGCUAUGACUAAAAUAAUGUUUCUGGACUGAGUUGGAGAGAGAGAUGGAGUGAAAUGUCUGUUUUGCCCAUGACCCCACUGGUCAGAUCCUUCUUCUUCCACCCUCCUUUGUUCUUUCUUCAACCAUUACCCAGCUCCAGCGUGUUGCAGAUCUACGAGGGUGGCGGCCUGGGGCGAGGGGCAUUGCUCGCCCUCGGAGGAGCGCUGCGAGCGACGGCGCGGGGGCGGCAACCGCGCGUCAGAACCUGACUGUUCGUUAGCUCCUCUCGCUGCUGGGGAAGAAGGAGGGGGAUGGGCCAUGGACGGGGUUCCCUUGAAAACCUCAGCGUCGAGCUCGGGCGGCUACGCGCAGGCAGCACUAGGCUGCUUCACGGGGAGGGGGCGCGGCCAAUCAUUGGCACCCCACUGGUCCAAUGCUGAUGAAGAUGGUGCCAGCGUCGUGUGAGGACAUCUCAUCUCCUCGAGUUCCAUGGCCAGCACAGGUGAGCUGCCGCUACCACAAAACAGAGAUUUCGUGAGAGUCAAAAAACCUUAUGAAAAUAGCUAAAACCAUCAUGAAAAUAAUCCGUGACAUGACACUCUCACGAAAAUCCUCUCACAAAUAUGGUGCCAUGAAAAUACCAUUUUCAUGAGAGUGAACUGUCAUGAUUUUAUUUCGUGAGAGUAUUUCCUAUCAAUGACCUCCACGAAAUACUUUGUGCCACCAGGUCUUCAAGAUCAUUUUCAUGAGAGCUGAACAUCAGGAAAAGUCCGCCACAAAUGUUUUUCUUGGAGCCUCUAACUCUCAUGAAAAUCAUGCGGGCCGCCACGAAAAACAGCAUGACCAAAUGACAAAUUUUAUUUUCAUGUGUUCAUACCGUGAAAAUGGUCAUUUUCAUGAGAGUUGAUGAAACAAAAAAUAGUGCCAUUUUCAUGAGAGUUCAAGCAACCAGGAAAAGACACUAAUAAACAUCCAGAUCCCAUCCAGCACACAUCCAUGCACACAUAUAACCCACAUAUUGCUCCAGCACACAUCCAUGCAUAUACAAGAUCCAAAUGUUAAUAUAGUAGACAUCCAUGCCUGAACUAGUCUGCCACACAAGUCAUUGAUGCUACAAAUCCUACAAUCGCAGCAUGUGCAUACAAGUCACAGAAUGAGACAAUGUACCCAAAACUAAAAGGUUAGCAUCAACUGUGCUUCAACCAAAGUUGUCAUCCCAACUCUCCUCUUCAUCCAUGCCAUUCUUGUCAUGGCCGUCACUGUCAGUCCCCAUGGCAUUGCCAAUGCUGUGCAUGUCUUGGUAGGAACCUACAUGUGAUGAACCAGUAACCUGCAAAAAGAACUCAAAGGAUCUUGUUCUCAUAUUGUUCUCAUAUUGUAGCUGUGAAAUUCUUACAAGUAGUGUUGCAAUCAGUUCACUUUGAACCAAAAGAGCUCAAAGGAUCUUGUCCUAAAAGUUCCUCAUAAAGCUUAUGGGUUUGCUGGUGGAACUGGAAGGGCUUGAUGCAGCAGAUGCCAUUCUGCAAUAGAGAAAAAUUUAGAGAGCAGUAAUAGUUAAAAUUGGAUGCAGCAGAUACACAUGAAACUAGUAUUUAUACAAGUCUAUACAAUUAAAAUCUAAGGAGACUUAUCAUCGUUUUCAUGUGUUGCGAAUUAAAAUAAUGAAGGAUACACUGUUAGGUGAAAAUUCAAGAAACAAAAUUUUGCAUAGAGAUAAAGGUCCAACAUUAUUACAAGUUAAGGUAGUUUUAAAUAUCCUUGUAAUCUUCCUUUGGUUUCCUCAACGAUUCGAAGACAAUAACCUUGCUUCUAUCAAUGAUAAUUAUAAGGAGAAUCCAGUGGAAACUGUGUAUUCAUAUUAGAACUACCUAAGGUUAAUUAGGUUAGGAAAGGAAAUCGAAAAUAGAUGGUACCCACACUUACUUAAAGUUGUCGGGCAAUAGUAUGUAAUGCUUGUAAUUCCGUUGCUCCAAGAAUUUGUAUAUGUGGUCCAAUGUAGACUUUGGUUGAUCCCGUAUCUGCUGUUGGUUAAAUAAGUGUUUCUAGCCAUUUCUAGCCAUUAGAACUGGGACUAAAGGGGGCUCUUUAGUACGGGUUGAUAUUACUAACCGGGAUUAAAGAGCCCCCAUUAGAGUUGGUUUUUGGAUGCGGAACUAACAACUCCUUUAGUCCUGAGUACGAAAACGACUGAGAUAUUUGUUGCUUGGUUGAAGGUCCUUUCUCUACCGUGAAUAUUGCCAGAAAGAAUUGAAAGAGACUGCUUGCUAAAAAUAUGUCAUAGAUGUAGACCAAGCUACCAAGGAGGUAGCACUAGUAGAGAAUUGACUUUCGAGCCGCCCCCUUUUAUCCCGGUUUAAAGUUGGCCCAGGACAAAAGGGGGUGCGCCGGGGUGCGGAAAUUUGGAGGGGAGCAUUACUCCCGGUUGGUAAUUGCAACCGGGACUAAAGGCCCCCCUUUAGUCCCGGUUGCAACGGCUAGCUGGGGGGCAUCGGUGGCCGGACCCUUUUAUCCCGGUUGGAUCCUCCAACCGGGAUAAAAGGGACUCCCUUUUAUCCCGUUGGAGGAACCAACUGCGAUAAAAAGUUUAGUCCCGGUUGGUGCCUCCAACCGGGAUAAAAGGGUGUCCCUUUUAUCCCGGUUGGAGGAUCCAACCGGGACUAAACUUCCAACCGGGACAAAAGGUGUUUCCUUUUGUCUCGGUUGGAGUUUUUAACCGGGAUAAAAACUCAUCCCCCACUAUGUCCCGAGACAUAGACUUUCUUCUUCCUCCAGCCCGAGCCAGUCCAGCACAUUGAUAGAGAGCUGAGCUUCACCUACUCUCCGGUGGUGCCAAAGCAAGGGAGGUGCUGCCCGAAGUUUUUUCCCUCAUUUUCGUGGGAAUUUGACUCAGCCAACACAAGUGUUGCGAAGGUUUGCUACUUCAUCCUCGUGUUAUGCUUUGAUUUAUGCUUUGGAGAUGGAAAGAUUAUUUGCUACAAUGUGAUGAUGAAGUAGAAAAAUGGAGAGGUAUUUUGAGCUAGAAUGUGAGGGAGAUUGAUGUGUCAUAUAUAGUAUGCAUUAUUUCAGUGGUUUAAAAAUGAUGCUACCUUGUCUAGACGGUUUAUCUUAUCAAAUUCAAUAUGGUUUUUUAAAUCCAUAUACUUGUUGAACUUGCAUACCGUGUUCAUUUCGGCGAGAAUGUUCUCCGCCGAGCAGCAACGUAUGUCAAGAAGGAGGUUCGAUUCUACGAGAAAGAGUGGAUACGGACAUCGUGACCAUGUCCCCUUUUCCGUAGCAUCUAACCUCUUUCAUGACGAAGUGCGGUGCCACCCAGCUGAGGACAUCCUCGCGAAAUGAACACGGUCUUCAAGUUCAACAACUUCUGUAGUGGUAAGGAAAGAAUUUUUGUACAUAGAUGACUUCUGCUACUUGUUGAACUUGCAUACCGUGUUCAUCUCUCCGAGGAUGUUUUCCGCCGAGCAGCAACGUAUGUCAAGAAGGAGGUUUGAUUCUACGAGAAAGAGUGGAUACGGACAUCGUGACCGUGUCCCUUUUUCCGUAGCAUCUAACCUCUUUCAUGACGAAUACCGGUCCCGCCUAGUUGAGGACAUCCUCGCGAGAUGAUCACGGUCUUGAAGUUGAACAACUUAUGCAGUGUUAAGAUGAUCACGAUCUUUAAUCGAUUUUCACGCGUAAUCCAUUAUCAAGUGUAAUCCAUUUUCAUGCGUAAUACGAUGCAGAUGGACUAGCAAUGGAUGUAUAAUGCAGACAGGCGGAGCAAGGCGUUUAUUGAUGGCUUGCAUUAUUUUCUCGAAGUGGCAAAAGCGAACAAGCCAGAGAAUGGGUUCGUAUGUUGUCCAUGCUUCCAAUGCAAUAACAGGAAGGAGUAUUCAAACGAUUCCUGGGGGACUAUUCACAGCCACUUGUUUAAAUACGGUUUCAUGCCUAACUAUUUGGUUUGGACCAAGCACGGUAAACUAGGGGUUGUAAUGGAAGAUGGCGAGGAGGAGGAGGAAGAUGACACCAUUCCGGACUGGGUUGCAGGCCAAGCUUUUGCAGGUACUACAAUGGGCGAGGCUGAUGAAGAUGAGUUUGCAGAAAAUGACCCUACUGAUGACCUUGGUCAGGUGAUACAAGAUGCAUACAGAGAUUGCGAAACUGAGAAGGAAGCAGCAAAGUUGCAGCGCAUGAUAGAUGAUCACCAAAAAUUGUUGUACCGAGGUUGCCAGCAGGACCAUAAAAAACUAGGUACGACACUAGAAUUUGUGCAAUGGAAGGCAAAAAAUGGUGUGUCCGAUAAGGCAUUUCAGGGGAUGUUGAACAUUGUCAAGAAGAUUCUCCCCGAGAAUAAUGAAUUACCGUCCACAACAUAUGAAGCUAAACAGAUUAUUUGUCCUCUUGGAUUGGAUGUUCAGAAGAUACACGCAUGCCCUAAUGACUGUAUCCUCUAUCGUGGUGAUGAAUACGAGAAAUUGGAUGCUUGUCCCGUCUGCGAAGCCCUGCGGUAUAAGAUCAGGCGAGAUGAUCCUGGUGAUGUCGAGGGGCAGUCUCCCAAGAAGAGAGUUCCCGCGAAGGUGAUGUGGUAUUUCCCUAUAAUACCACGCUUGAAGCGCUUGUUCAGGAACAAGGCGAAUGCUAAGUUGAUGCGAUGGCACAAAGAAGACCGUAAGGAAGAUGAGAUGCUGAGACACCCCGCAGAUGGGGCACAGUGGAGAUCAAUUGAUAGAAAAUUCCCAGACUUUGAAAGUGAAGCAAGGAACAUAAGGUUUGGUUUAAGCACUGAUGGAUUCAAUUCAUUGGGUGAGUUGAGUAGUGGUCAUAGUACUUGGCCUGUGACCCUUUGUAUGUUCAACCUUCCUCCUUGGCUGUGCAUGAAGCGGAAGUUCAUUAUGAUGCCGGCGCUAAUCCAAGGCCCAAAACAACCCGGCAACGACAUUGACGUGUACCUAAGGCCGUUGGUUGAUAACCUUUUACAGCUCUGGAAGGAAGAAGGUGUACGUGUGUGGGAUGAGGAUAGACAAGAGAUCUUUAAUCUACGAGCACUGUUGUUCGUAACCAUCAACGAUUGGCCUGCAUUGAGUAACCUUUCAGGACAGACAAAUAAGGGAUAUCGGGCAUGCACCCACUGUUUAGACGACACAGACAGCAUGUACUUGAAGCACUGUAAGAAGGUCGUCUAUAUGGGUCAUCGUCGAUUUCUCCCUGCUCACCACCAGCUGAGAAAGAGCGGGAUGCAUUUCAAAGGGGCGCCAGACCAUCGUAAAAAACCUGCACACCGUAAUGGAAAGCGUGUGUUUGAGAUGAUGAAGGAUGUAUAUGUAGUCUUCGGAAAGGGACUUGGUAGCCAACCUGUUCCGAACGACGAUAACGGACAUGCACCCAUGUGGAAGAAAAAGUCAAUAUUUUGGGAGCUACCUUAUUGGGAAAUCCUAGAGGUUCGCAACGCAAUAGACGUGAUGCACCUGACGAAGAAUCUUUGCGUGAACGUGCUAGGCUUCAUGGGUGUUUAUGGAACCUCAAAAGAUACAUUGGAAGCACGACAGGACCUGAAAGCCAUGGGGCAACGAGAUGACCUACAUCCGGAAAAGAGAGAUAAUGGACAGCACUACUUACGUCCUGCCAGUUACACUCUCAGCAAGGAAGAGAAGGAUAGCAUGUUUGAAUGCUUGAAUAGUAUGAAGGUCCCGUCUGGGUACUCCUCGAAUAUAAAGGGAAUAAUAAAUAUGAAACAAAAGAAGUUUACAAAUCUCAAGGCUCAUGACUGCCACAUGUUGAUGACCCAGUUGCUUCCGGUUGCACUGAGGGGUGUUCUACCAGAAAAUGUCCGGUUGCCGCUCGUAAAGCUAUGCGCGUUUCUCAAUGCGAUUUCGCAGAAGGCAAUCGAUCCAUCCAAGCUAUCAAAGCUACAGAACGAUGUGGUGCAAUGUCUUGUCAGUUUUGAGUUGUUAUUUCCACCAUCCUUCUUCAAUAUUAUGACGCACUUACUGGUUCACCUAGUAAAAGAGAUUGGUAUUCUCGGACCUGUAUACCUGCACAAUAUGUGGCCUUUCGAGAGGUGCAUGGCAGUCCUAAAAAACUAUGUUCUUAAUCGUGCCCGUCCAGAAGGAAGCAUCGCCAGGGGAUAUGGAACAGAGGAGGUGAUCGAGUUUUGUGUUGAUUUUAUUGAUUCAAUUGACUCGAUUGGGGUUCCAACUUCACGCCACGAGGGGAGGCUCCGAGGAAUGGGCACCAUUGGAAGGAAAUCAAGUUUGAGCAAUGAUACUGAUUUGUUCGACAAGGCACACUACACUGUUCUACAACAGUCAUCCUUUGUGUCUCCGUAUAUCGAGCAGCACAGGCAGAUGGUAGCUUCCAAAAACCCGACCAAAUCCGAUGCUUGGCUUACCCGUCAUCACAUGGAAACUUUUCCCUCCUGGUUGCGCCAACAACUUAUGGGUAACUCUGAGAUUCACCCACAGCUUGCCUGGUUAGCCAGGGGACCUACUACCACAAUCGUCGAAUUCCAAGGCUAUGAGAUAAAUGGUUACACAUUUUACACGAGAGCCAAGGACCAGAAAAGCACGAACCAGAAUAGUGGUGUCCGCAUAGAUGCCAUGGACAGAAAUAAUAGCAAGGAGUCGUAUUAUGGUUUCAUACAGGAGAUAUGGGAACUCGAAUACGGACCGCUGUACAUCCCUCUAUUUCUUUGCAAUUGGGUGAAGCUAACUGCCGUCACCAAAGAUCAGUACGGAAUGACAAUAGUAGAUCUGAGCAAGACUGGAUACAGUGAUGACCCAUUCGUACUUGCCAAUGAUGUGCAUCAGGUGUUCUAUGUGAAGGACAUGUGCAGCAAACCCAAGAGGAAUCCAGAAGAGACAUGGGAGCCAAAGUGCCACAUAGUUCUUCCAGGUAAAAGAAAAAUCGUGGGAGUCGAGGAUAAAACAGACCAAUCAGAUGAUUAUGAUCAGUUUGAUGGCAUGCCUCCAUUCGCCGUUGAAGUUGAUCCAAGCAUCCUGCUAUCCAAAGAAGAGGCUCCGUACUUACGCCGCGAUCAUGAUCAAGGAACUUUCGUGAAGAAGAAAUUUUACAACGUUGUAUUGUAAUGCGUUAAAUGUACAUGACCUUUGUGUAUUAAUUGAUACAAUUUGUAAUGUACCCUAUGUAUGAUUUCAUGUGUUAUUAAAUUUGUUAGGUGAAGAUUUUUUAGAUAAACAUGAACAUUGUUAACCACAUACUAACAUGGAUUUUUCUGCUGUUGACGUCGGAUUUCGUCAUCAGUAGAAUCGGCGCCAAAGAGGAAAGAAAUCGAAGGAGGACGGAUGGAAAUCGGCCAAAAGGUGUUACAGUGCGGAAUCGGUCAAGUGGCUUUUACUUCGCUUCAGAGUGAAUACGCCGGGUUCCCAAUCGGCAAUCCUUUGCUGAUAAGAAAUCGGCCGAUCAGGAAGGUGGACUAAGGUGGGCCUGUAUGGGCUUGGAAAGAUGGAAGGAUAAGGUGGAGUUCAGCCCAUGAAGCGUGGGGUAAUUAGUUUAGCUCGGAUUGUGCUUGUAGAUAUUUGUUUUCUGUUUAAAUUAGAGAUAGAGUCCUAGUCGGUUAAGAAGAUUAUUUGUACGGGGCUAUAAAUAGCUACCUUUGUAAAUCUGUAAAAAAAAAACAAUCAAUCAAUACAACAAGUUACUUUAUUCUUCGUACUUACUUUCGAGCAGGCGACUUCGCCAUCACUUUUCCUUCUCACGAGUUCGUGCGGGUUGGCAGGGCUGCAUCAUCUUGAUCUCCGGCCGAUUCUGUAAGUUCCGUUUAUCGAGUAAUAUCUAAGCUUUAACUUCCGGCGCAUCGCUGUUGUUUCGUUUAGAUUUUAUUCAUCAGUUAUCGAUAUCGACUAGAUUCAUAGGUUUUUACCUGUUCUCCUAGUUUUUAUCACCAGUUACCCCGCUAGGAAUCGGUAGUAUCGGCUUUCAUUACUUUCUGUUACCAAAUCCAUCUGUUGCCGAUUAGAUCUUUUCCUGGUGCUGUUACUACGUGCCUUGUACCGAUUACUUUAAUAUUUUUCUAUCUACAAGGCUACGGGGGUCGUGCUGUCUUGUAGCCGAUUUCUUUACCACAGUAAAUCGGCCGAUCUGCCGAUAAGCUCUCUCGAUCGGAAACUUAGCCGAUCGUAGUUACUGAUUUUGACACGUGUUCUUCCUUGCCAAUCAACAGGUCAGAUUGGCUGGCACGCCGCGCGAACCGCACCAGGGCAUUCACCCGAACAGGAGCUAAGCAGAUUCUCCCGGGUCGUGUGUCGGCCGCUGGGAUUCGGUUGACCGAUUUCUAGCGCCAACACACUUUUGGCACGCCCGGUGGGACCAUUACAACCGCUGUCUUGUCGAAAGCUGCUGAAGUCUCCGAAGAUAACGUCAUCGAAGUGACGGAGGCAGAUCUAAAGGACGACCAAAAAGAAGAUCUAAAUCAGUAUUUGGAGCAAGUCCGGAAAACUUGCUUGAAAUCCUUCAGUCGUUCCAGGAGCGGGGAAACUGUUAAAAAGUCUCCUUUCCCUACUCCCCGCCAGAUCACGAUUUCAGAAGAUUCGGACAAAAUGUCCGAUAUGAUUCAGCAAUCUCUUCAUCACGCCUUCAUCAACCAAUCCCCGGUACUUUCAAACAUGGUGCACAAUGCUGUUGUCAACUCUUUCGCCGGAGGUAUACCACAGGGGUACAGGGGGCCUACGUAUUUUCAGCCGAUUCCACCAAAUCAGGCUUAUCAGGCUUCACAGCCGAUCCAAUCCUCUGUCGGAGGAUCUGGUGCUUCUACGUCAUCAACUCCUUUGGGAUACGGCUCCACUGCACCACUCCCUCCAGUCAUUCCUUUACCCUGGGGGGCACCCUUAAACACGACCGGUUUGAAUCAAUCGGUCAGCCAAGGAAAUCCUCCGUUCCAGACACCCUCCCAAACGGCCACUCGGCCGAUCAUACCACCAUACCAGCCUAUCGCUCCGGAGGUCAACAAGACGUCAGAGCUCAUGCUAUAUGAUGGAACAAGUGGUUCAUACAAGCAGCCGUCCUUUACUACACCGCCGGCUUAUACUCAGAUACCACCUUUUCAUCAACCUCCUUUUAUUCAACCUCCGAUUUAUCAACAUGUGCCGAUUCCGCCGCCAAUUAUUCCCCAACAACAACCGGAUUGGACGGCGCAAAUCGCGGAGGUAAUGCAAGAACAAUUCGGACUGAAGCCGAAGGUGCAAACUUAUACCUACAGGACACCAUACCCAUCUACGUACGACUUGUUGCCGUUUCCCCAUCGGUACAAAGUCCCGGAUUUCACUAAAUUUUCCGGAAUAUAUGAUACUUCUACCGUGGAACAUGUGAAUAGAUUCAUCAUCCAAUGCGGAGAAGCAGCUACGCAAGAUGCCCUACGGGUACGGUUGUUCUCGUCAUCUUUGUCUGGAUCGGCUUUCCAAUGGUUCACCACUUUGCCACCAAACUCGAUUAUCACAUGGGCCGAUCUAGAGAGGCAGUUCCACAAGUACUUCUAUGCUGGAGUCCACGAAAUGAAGUUGUCUGAUUUAACUAGCCUCCGGCAACGAAGUGAUGAGCCGAUACCCUCGUACAUACAGAGGUUUCGGGAAAUCAGAAACAAAUGCUACUCCUUGGCUCUAACCGAUGCGCAGUUGGCCGAUAUAGCUUUCCAAGGCCUGCUGCCACACAUUAAGGAGAAAUAUGCUUCGCAAGAAUUCGAGAGCCUGAGCCAGAUUGUCCACCGAUUGUCCGGACAAGAGGUGCGUCCAUUCGAUCCAAGAAGGAAUUUCCAGAAGAAAGUGGCGUUCCUGGAAGAAUUAGAGGACGAGGAAGACGCCGACAUCGGACUUGCAGAGUGGAUUAAAGGAAAGAAGCCGAUAUCAUGCCCGUUCGGCAAAAAGGAGCCGGAAGCAUUUGGUUUCGAUACAACUAAAGCUGACAAAAUCUUUGAUCUUCUACUCCAGGAAGGACAAAUUAAACUCUCGCCUUACCACACGAUACCCUCUGCCGAACAAUUGAAGAAGAUGAAGUAUUGCAAGUGGCAUAACGCCACAUCACAUGAUACCAACGCCAUUGAGCAAGGCAGACUCAAAUUUGAAGUGCCGGCAAAACUGGCUAAACCUAUGAAGAUUGAUCAACACCCUUUUCCUACCAACAUGGUGGAUACGGGUAAGAAUCCCCUCCAAACAAAAGUGCUGACGUCCGAAUCGGCAAAAAGGAGCGGCUCUGUCGACCCCAGAAAUCAAGUUACACCCGAAGACAUCAAAGGGAAACGGCGAAUGGAGGACGACGAUGGUGAGUCUGAUAGACCACGUAUUACUUCCCAGUUCCUGCUCCAAAAGUACCAACGCCAACAUGAACGAUCGAGGUCCCGAGAGGAAGCAAUGCGUCGACACGAAGAACACUGGAGAUGCCCAUUCUUCAUCCAUUGUUGGGAAAAUAACCUCAGGCUUCCAUCAGCCGAUACUUGCCCAGAGUGCAACGGUCCCUAUCGAAGCAAUCGGCCGAUUACAAGGUCUCGCUCCAGAGACGGAAGGCCAGAACCGAUCAGCAGGAAUCGGCGCAACCCAGAUGAUCAGCGCCCUUCCAUGCGUGAUCGGCUGGGGGGCAGAAGUGACCGAUAUGAUCGGUCAGAAGAUAGAAGCCAUAAUAGGCAGGGGGGCAGGACCGAUCGACAUGAUCAAUCAAGUAGCAAAGCCAGCGUUCACAGUCGGCUCCAAGACAUGGCCGAUGCUCGGGUAACAGACGAGAACCCGUUAGGACGCGAGCCAGAAUGGGAACGCGCCAGGAAAGAAGGGAGGCCAAUAAACCCCAGAUGGUGUCCCGAUGGUUUGACCAAAUCACAAAAACGAAGAGUCCAACGCCUCCGCCAAUGGGAACAGCAAGAAGAAGAAAGCGCGAUGGACAAGAAGGAAGGGAGGCCUCGGGUAUGGCGCCCCAAAGGAAACGACAAGGGCAACGAUGAAUCGGCGGGUGAUGAAUCGGCAGCCGAAAUCGGUAUGGUUUUCAUAUUGCCGACGGAGUUUAUGACCCCUGCCGAUCAACAGAACGUGUCGGCAAUAGAGGAACAAACAGCACGGUUGGCGUUAGAACCAAUGAUGGCCACGUUCGAAAAGCCCGAAGACGACGAACGACAACAUAUGAAGGCGUUGUUUCUUAAAGGGCAUGUUGACGGUCGCCCCCUCACUAAAUUGAUGGUCGACGGGGGAGCUGCCGUCAACAUCAUGCCGUAUGCCAUACUCCGAAAGCUGGGAAAGAGCGAUGACGACCUAACCAGGACGGACAUGAUGCUCAAGGACUUCGAAGGCAAGGUGUCAAACGCUCGCGGUGCCCUCUGCGUUGACCUCACCAUCGGCAGUAAGACCCUUCCUACCACGUUUUUCGUCAUUAAUGGCAAAGGGUCCUAUAAUAUGCUUCUUGGACGAGACUGGAUACACGCAAACUGCUGCAUACCGUCAACUAUGCAUCAAUGCCUGGUACAAUGGGUCGGCGACAACAUCGAGGUGGUCAAAGCCGACUCCGCGUACAGCAUCGCAGCAGCCGACGCACAGCAAUGGAGCUGCGAAACCGUCAGGUGCAUAUCAGGUAGGGUGUGGGAAACUGAUUUCCUGAAGGUCACCGAUUUUGGCCUACAGCCGAUCCGAGCAGUCGGCUCUGAAGAAGCGCAAUAAAUGGAUCAGUUCGCCCGAGAAGACGGGAAGCUGGGACACGGAUUCACGUCGGCCGAUUCAUUGGAAAUGGUAGAUUUAGGUGACGGGACCAAACCAAGGCCGACUUUUAUUAGUGCAAAUUUAGAUCCAGAGUACAAGUGUAAAUUGACAAAUUUAUUAAGAGAAUUCAAGGAUUGUUUUGCGUGGGAGUAUCACGAGAUGCCCGGAUUAGAUCGAUCUAUUGUUGAACAUCGGCUACCCAUAAAACCAGGGUAUCGGCCGUACCAACAACCCGCACGGCGAUGCAAUCCUAAAAUUUUACCAGACAUAAAAGCCGAAAUAACUCGGCUAAUUGAAGCGAAAUUUAUUCGGCAAUGUCGUUACGCCGAGUGGAUUUCUAAUAUCGUACCGGUGUAUAAGAAAAACGGGAAACUGCGCGUUUGCGUCGAUUUCAGAAAUCUUAAUCAGGCCACACCGAUGGAUGGCUACCCCAUGCCUACGGCCGAUGUACUGAUCGACGCUGCCGCGGGGCACAAAAUUAUUAGCUUCAUGGAUGGGAACGCCGGAUACAAUCAAAUACUUAUGGCCGAAGAGGACAUACCCAAAACGGCUUUCAGAUGUCCAGGCCAUCUUGGUCUAUUCGAGUGGGUGGUGAUGACUUUCGGUUUGAAGAAUGCUGGUGCUACAUAUCAGAGGGCCAUGAACUAUAUUUUCCACAAACUCAUCGGCCUCCUGGUGGAGAUCUACAUCGACGACGUUGUGGUCAAAUCCAAAAGCCACGAGGAACACCUAGCCGAUUUGCGAAGGGUCCUAGAGUGUACCAAGAAACAUGGUCUUAAGAUGAAUCCCAACAAAUGCGCUUUCGGCGUCUCCGCCGGACAGUUCCUAGGAUUCAUGGUGCACGAACGAGGCAUUGAAGUCAAUCAGAAGACCAUAGCGGCCAUCAACAAAGUCGUCGCUCCGCAGAACAAAACUGAACUACAAUCUCUAAUCGGCAAGGUAAACUUCAUCGGAAGGUUUAUAUCUAAUCUAUCUGGACGGAUCCAGACGUUCACACCACUUCUGAAGUUGAAGCCAGACCAAGAAUUUAUUUGGGGAGAAGAACAGCGCAAGGCGUUAGAAGACAUCAAGCGAUACUUAGUCUCGCCCCCAGUCCUGGUUCCCCCCCAAACGGGUAAGCCGUUUAAACUAUAUUUAUCAGCCGAUGAAAAAGCUAUUGGGUCGGCUCUAGUCCAAGAGUUUGAAGGCAAAGAACGGGUGAUUUAUUACGUUAGUAGAAGACUCCUGGAUGCCGAAACAAGAUAUCCUCCAGUAGAGCGUUUGUGUUUGUGUCUUUACUUCUCGUGCACCAAACUCAGACACUAUCUACUGUCGGCAGAAUGUAUAGUCGUAUGCAAAGAUGAUGUAGUGAAAUACAUGCUGUCACUGCCGAUAUUGAAAGGGCGAAUCGGUAAAUGGAUUUUAGCUUUAUCAGAAUUUGACCUACGGUACGAAUCGGCAAAAGCCAUCAAAGGUCAAGUCAUGGCCGAUUUCGUCGCACAGCACUGUGGGCCGGAGAUCGCCUUCGUGGAACUAGCGCCUUGGCAGUUAUUUUUUGAUGGGUCAUCAUGCGGAGUCGGAUCGGGAAUCAGCAUCGUUCUCAUAUCGCCUCGGGGGGCAAGAUACGAUUUUUCUCUGCCGAUAGAAACCGCCACCACAAACAAUCAAGCGUAAUACAGAGCUGUAUUAAAAGGCUUACGAUUAUUGAGAGAAGUCAAGGCCGAUUCUGUCGAGGUCUUCGGAGAUUCGAUGUUAAUCGUGGAUCAACUAACCGGGAAGGCUGAGUGCAAAGAUGACAUAUUACGAAUUCAUCACGAAGAUUGCCUACAGCUGUUAAAAGAAUUCAGAUCGGCAGUAAUCGAGCAUGUCCCAAGAGACCGCAAUGAGGAAGCGAACAAACUCGCUCAACACGCAUCUGGGUAUCGGCCGAUUCUAGGCGCCAUGGCCUUAGAGCUUGCAGCUGACGAUUGGCGCAAAGAAAUUGCCGAUUACCUAAAGGAUCCGUCUAAAAAGGUGGAGCGGCGAGUACGCUUUCACGCUACCAAAUACGUAUUACUCGAAGAUGAUCUGUUUUACCGAACGAUCGAAGGUGUUCUUCUUAAAUGCCUUGGGACAGAAGAAGCCAAGACUCUAAUGGGAGAAAUCCACGAAGGGGUAUGCGGAGCUCACCAAUCAGCACAUAAGAUGAAGUGGAUGAUCAGAAACAAUGGGUACUAUUGGCCUACGAUCCUUGAAGAUUGUUUCAAAUAUUAUAAGGGUUGUCAGGAGUGUCAAAAGUUUGGAAAUGUCCAGCAUGCACCUGCAUCGGCCAUGAAUCCCAUCAUCAAACCAUGGCCGUUCAGAGGGUGGGGAAUAGACCUUAUCGGCCAAAUUUAUCCACCAUCGAGCAAGGGGCACAAGUUUAUUCUGGUCGCCACCGAUUAUUUCACCAAAUGGGUGGAGGCAAUCCCAUUAAGAACUGUGACUUCGGCUAUCAUGGCCGAUUUUGUAAGGGAUCAUAUCGUCUACCGAUUCGGUAUCCCUCAAACUGUAACAACCGAUCAAGGAACGAUGUUCACAUCGGGGGAAUUUGAGGAGUUUACAACCGAUAUGGGCAUCAAAUUGUUAAAUUCUUCUCUGUAUUACGCUCAGGCCAAUGGUCAAGCAGAAUCUUCCAACAAAGGAAUAAUCAAGUUGAUCAAAAGGAAGAUUGAAGAAUACCCGAAGAAGUGGCACCUGUGUUUAACCGAAGCCCUAUGGGCAUACAGAAUGGCCUGUCAUGGGGCCACCAAGUUAUCUCCUUAUCAGUUGGUAUACGGUCACGAUGCAGUACUUCCAUGGGAAUCGAGGGCAGGAUCAAGGCGCAUUUCACUUCAAGACCAGUUAUCGGCCGACGACUACUCGGCACUUAUGAAAGAAGAACUUGAUGAUGUGGCCGGUCAUCGACUAAGGGCUCUGAUAAGUAUCGAAGAGAAUAAAAAGAGAGUGGCCAGGUGGUACGAUAAAAAGGUCAAAGUCAAGCAGUUCUCCCCCGGAGAUUUGGUAUGGAAGUUAGUACUACCGAUCGGGUCGAAAGAUCCUAAAUUCGGUAAAUGGUCUCCUACCUGGGAAGGGCCGUAUAAAAUCGGCAAAUGCUUAUAUCUUGGAAACAAUAGAAGGAGAAGAAUUCACUAGAGCUCUGAAUGGGAGGUAUUUAAAAAGGUAUUACCCAAGUAUAUGGGUCGGUGCCUAAGGAAUUAAACACGAUCAUACAUGACCGAUACGAUUCGGUCUUGAGACACACAUAAAGUCAACCGGAACGGCCGAUUACAUUCAUUCGGUACGGGCGACGGGUUACAUGGCCGACAAAAUGUUUAGUCGCCCUUAGAACAAAAAUACAGCAACUAAUUAUUCUUUUUCUUACGCUCCCUCUCAGCCCGACCUAACUCUAUCAUGAGUCGGAUGUAUUCUUCUUCUAUGGCCUUCAUUGAAAUCUCCGCUUCGACUUGACCGGGGAGAUCUACGGGAGGGCGCGAAGUCCCCACUCCCGCAUCUUCAAGAACGACUUGCCGAGGGAGUGGAUGACUCCUGUCAAUGGGAGGUCGACGGCUGCCAUUCCUCUCCACGAAGUCCAGGAUCAUUCGGGCCUCCGUGGCGAUGUCGUCUUCAAGAUCGCCACAACGAUCGCCCCUGACAGGUGGAGAUUGCUGGUUACUUUCACUCACCACGGAAUCCAAGACUACGCGAGCCUCCGUGGUAAUGUGAUCCUGGAGCUCUUCUCGGUGAGCCGCGAUCAGCAUCUUGUCCUCCGACGUUAAUGGAUCUUCGGAAUGAAUGCACUCAAUGGCGCGCACGAGCUCGGGGCUAAGACGUUGAGGCUGAAACAAAGAAGGGAUGAGGAGGGAUAUUCUCUUCCUUAGGGUCUAAAAAAGAAAGGAAGGUAGAGGUCAAAAAACUUCACCUGGUUAACAGAGGAAGAAGAAGAUGACGAGGCCAUAGCGAAGAAAUUGCACCGAUGAGAAGGGGCAGAAAGGUUGAACCGAGAGCCAAGAUUGAUGUUACCAGGAGUAAGCGCCGAGCUUGGUAUUUAUAAAAGAAUGCGUGGAAAUCUGGUAAAGCUACGUCCCAUCGGUAAUAAGAAGGCAAUAAAUAGAAAGGGCGUCGCGAGGGGCGGUCAAAGAAGGUAGUAAAUGAUUCGUACAAAACGGUCAGUGUUUUACAGAUUACCCAGAAGGGUAUCGAUGGCCGUGAUGGCCCGACGCCGGAUCUGAUCGGCAGAGUCAAGUACCCGUUGGUCUUCUUCCGCCGAUCCAGGAACCUCCGAUGCGCUGCGAUGGAGUCUCAGUGCCUCGUGAGCAAAGCGUUGCCUCUCCCGUGUUAAAUCGGCAAUAACAGAAGGUAGCUCUUCGAGUUUGUUCUCUUCGGCACUGAUUGCCUUGAUCACUUGCUCCAUUUCCUUGGCAAGCUCCGCCCUACGACGCUUGAGACGGUCUAUUUCUCCUAUGAUCGCCGGACGGGAAUCUUCUAGGACAUGGAUACGCCGAUUCGCCUCUUGAGCCUGACGUUUGAAAGCGUCUUCCUCUUCGCGAGCCUUGGUCAGCUUAGCGCGAUCGGCCAUGUGACGAAGGGCUCUGAAGACCGGGAUCCUCAUAGACUCGAUGAAGGCCGCCGGCGCCAGGGCCUCCUCCGCCUCUUCUGGUACUCGUCCGCUGACGUCAUUGAAGAGCUGCCGAAUCGGCGAGGCGUCUUCUACUAAUCGGCCGAUGUCCCCUUGAAGGAGGGAUCGGAUGCUGGAAAGUUUGGCUCGGACGUCGUCAGGAACGGAACUCAAGGCGACUUGGCGAGAAGCAACUUCUUCGUCGUCAGAGAGGGCGACCGCAAAAGAAAAGAGACUGUUGUCGGGGGUAUCCUGUUCCUGAAGAUAAUAAAGAAAAGAAAUGAACCAGCUGUAAGAAAGAGCAAAUCGGCUAAGAUGGAGGCCGAAACAGAAAAAUACCAUUUUGAAGCGAAUCUCCUCAUGUUGCACUUGAGAAGCCGCCAUGCCUUGCUCGGGGGCCUGCGCCAUGGGUUCAUCAGAUGGAGAGGACUCCACGAUAAUUGGCGCAGUGUUUGGACCAGCCUCCUGACAAGAAAUCGGCGAUCGAGGAGCGAUUGAUGUGCCGAUGGCCUGUGUCAGAAGUUUGAAUAAAUACGGUACGUAAAUGCCCAAAGGAAAUCGGUACGAGAAGUUCUAUACAUUAACGGAAGGAAACGGGGGCACGUCAAUAGCUGGAGGGGCUGCUGCCGAUUGUGGUACUUCUGUAGGGAUGCUCUGUGCAGUUUAAAGAUAAAAGAAAAAUUAAUAUCAAAAAUAAUAAUCGGAGACAGCGCAACUCAGUUUUACCUGUAUGGCCUCCAACAACAACGAUGCGGCGGCCGCCCCAGCUUGCGUCAUGGUUUGAGUAUCGGCACCUUGAAUGACUUGAGGAGGUGGUACGGCCGAAGUGUCUGCCGAUACGCUCACGGGAGGAUCCGCCGAUCCCGUACGAGCCCGGACUCGGCGACUGGUCUUCUUGGUAGUCCUUUUAUGAACUUGUUUCGAUCGGCCAGUAAUCACGUCAACAGACGGGGCGUUAUAGCCGAUAAGGGGAUAAGUAGUGUAUGGAUGACUCUCUAUCAGUCGUCCGCUGCGGCUGUGUGUUGGAGGGAUCCGAUUCUCGGCCUAAAAUAAUAAAAUCAUUAGUACUCGGUCGUGUUAAGGGGAAUAAAAGGGAAUAAAAAUCGGCUAUGUGAAGUACCUCGGCGUUUGGAUCAAUGUUGGUCGGGUCCAGAAGAUUGCAGUAUGCCGAUGCUGAGUUGCAGAAGAGGAAUUGCUUCCAAUCAGCCCACCAUAGUUUGAACGGCUGAACAGCAAAUGGAGCUACUAGCCAGUCGUUCAAGUUAAUUGUACUGGAGUCUGGAAUUCGGUCUCGCAACCGACCGUAAUCUAGGCUAGAUUUGAGAUCAUCUCUAAACUUGAUUUUGCCAGCAAAGUACACCUGAAUCGGCAGCUGACCCAUGCCAAAUUGUCGUGCCGCAGCAGAAGGGUUGUAGAAUUCAUACGUAGGGGCAUCCUUCCCUGAGAAGAAAUUGGCCGGUAGGAUCCCUGGCUUGAUCAACCCUUCAUAGAGAUCUUCAUCAAACCGGCCAGAAGUUGAGUCAAAGCAGGAAGGGAGCUCGAAGAUGGGAAUGUCUCGCUGGUAUGGAAACCAGAUAGUUGCGUCCUCAUUAAAUCCAUCGUAAAAGCACCGAAAGUACUCGGCUACCUUUGUAGCGGAAUACGCACAACCUGGAAAAGCUGAUGCCGCUUCACCAUAAGACAUGCAUCGGCGACGCUCGGUAGGGUCUUCCGCCGAUUCAAUAUUGGGAAACGUCAUGUGGUCCACUGGCUGCCGGGUGAUCCUGUUCAUGUAAAGGUUCAACCAUAGAUUGACGAACCACCAAGGCCCACCUGGGUUGCCGAUUGGUUCUCCCUUGGAAAGUUUUGUGCCGAUUUGGUGGAGCAUGUGGUACACAGCACCCAGAAGAUGUUUCCCGAGAGGAAUGUGGCUUCCUUUGGACAGUGCCUCGGCUAAAGAUUGGGUGUUGGUUGUUGGGCCGGCGGCUCUUCCACAGAAAAGGUGUUUUUCUAGCCACAUCAUCAGGAAAGCGGUGUGCUCCCUAUUAUCAAUAGUACCGGUCUUCUUGUUAUUACUAAUAAAGCCCUUCCAGCUGCCGAUUCCUCUUACGUCCAGCCGAUGCGACGGUACGGUCAGAAGUUGGAAAGGCGUGUCAGGAGAGGAUAUGUCCAGGCCGGUCAAGAGGACCACAUCGGCCAGAGUGGGGGUCAUAGGACCGUGUCCAAAUAAGAAUGCAUUAAGAGCGUCAGACCAAAAAUAGGAAGCCGCCAUCACUAGCGGUUCGUUUUUCUCCAUUUGCGACAGAGAGAGGUUGAUACAUUGGCCGAUUUUGAGUUCAUCCCACAAGACGCUCUUUGACGUGGCCAUCCGUUGGUACCAUUCCCUCCAACCGGGGGUUUCAUUCGGCCAAGAUCUAAAAGUGCUGGCCCAUUGAUCUAAGUUCAUGUCAGAUCGUUUGAAAGGUAUCCGGUCAGUUUCCAAGUUUAUGAGGUCUGCUGGAUCUGGGUCUCCCAUGGGACCAAGGCAAACAAGGCCAGGACUACCCGUGAGAUGGAUAGUGAUUCUAUGUCUAACCGCCUAAAUGAGGAAAAGAGGCAUAAGAAUAUAAGGAAUAGAUCUAAGAUAAAUACGUUACCGAUAGAGGAAAAAUUCGGUGUUUACCUCCGGUAUAAAAUUCUGAGUAAUCGGUGUGGUCGCCGAUGCAGAUGCAGAUGAUGAAGCCGUAAUGGGGAUCGCCAUUGGGAUCUCUGAUGAAGCUCCUUCAUCUAUGGAUGGAGUGACGGUUGUUGCCACCGUUACCGGAGGUGCUACCUCCACCGGGGGCAUUGUCCCUGGAGCAUCGCGUGCUGGGGAAUUACCGGAGGGAGUCGCCAUUGAAGGGGAGGGGAAGAAGUGACAGGAGCUGGAGCUGGAAGGCUUCGAUGGCAAGAUUGAAGAAGGAAGGAAGUGCGCGCGCUGGAAAGAGGGAUGUGAGCUUGAAGAUGAGUUGCGGUGAAAUGAUAUUUAUAGGGUGCCUGAAGAAAGGGUAAAGAUGGAAUUUUCAACGCGCCGGCGCGUCGAGUUUUUCGGGGUAGUGGCUGUCGUGGGCGCCCGUUUCAAAAAAUUGCAAUGAUCAGCCGGGAGACCGCGAAACGGAAGGAUAUUUUCACUGCGGCCGUUUCGGAAGAGAGGUUAUAAAGAAUUUCGAAGUAAAAGGCUAUGUUUUACUCCGAAACUGGGGGGCAUGUGUUGACGCCGGAUUUCGUCAUCAGUAGAAUCGGCGCCAAAGAGGAAAGAAAUCGAAGGAGGACGGAUGGAAAUCGGCCAAAAGGUGCUACAGCGCGGAAUCGGUCAAGUGGCUUUUACUUUGCUUCAGAGUGAAUACGCCGGGUUCCCAAUCGGCAAUCCUUUGCUGAUAAGAAAUCGGCCGAUCAGGAAGGUGGACUAAGGUGGGCCUGUAUGGGCUUGGAAAGAUGGAAGGAUAAGGUGGAGUUCAGCCCAUGAAGCGUGGGGUAAUUAGUUUAGCUCGGAUUGUGCUUGUAGAUAUUUGUUUUCUGUUUAAAUUAGAGAUAGAGUCCUAGUCGGUUAAGAAGAUUAUUUGUACGGGGCUAUAAAUAGCUACCUUUGUAAAUCUGUAAAAAAAAAAAACAAUCAAUCAAUACAACAAGUUACUUUAUUCUUCGUACUUACUUUCGAGCAGGCGACUUCGCCAUCACUUUUCCUUCUCACGAGUUCGUGCGGGUUGGCAGGGCUGCAUCAUCUUGAUCUCCGGCCGAUUCUGUAAGUUCCGUUUAUCGAGUAAUAUCUAAGCUUUAACUUCCGGCGCAUCGCUGUUGUUUCGUUUAGAUUUUAUUCAUCAGUUAUCGAUAUCGACUAGAUUCAUAGGUUUUUACCUGUUCUCCUAGUUUUUAUCACCAGUUACCCCGCUAGGAAUCGGUAGUAUCGGCUUUCAUUACUUUCUGUUACCAAAUCCAUCUGUUGCCGAUUAGAUCUUUUCCUGGUGCUGUUACUACGUGCCUUGUACCGAUUACUUUAAUAUUUUUCUAUCUACAAGGCUACGGGGGUCGUGCUGUCUUGUAGCCGAUUUCUUUACCACAGUAAAUCGGCCGAUCUGCCGAUAAGCUCUCUCGAUCGGAAACUUAGCCGAUCGUAGUUACUGAUUUUGACACGUGUUCUUCCUUGCCAAUCAACAGGUCAGAUUGGCUGGCACGCCGUGCGAACCGCACCAGGGCAUUCACCCGAACAGGAGCUAAGCAGAUUCUCCCGGGUCGUGUGUCGGCCGCUGGGAUUCGGUUGACCGAUUUCUAGCGCCAACAUCUGCGCAUUCAAAUAAUUUAAUUGAAUAAUUUCUUGAUCACAGCAAUGCAGUAAAAUAAAUAUUUUACAGGCUAAAUGAGUUGGUAUAGAAUUAAUGAUUACUUCAUACUUAUUGUCAAUUUACUCGUUAAUUAAAUAUAUUUUUGCAUGUACAAAAUCUGUGAAGGUUUUGUUUUUCAUCCUGAAAUGCAGUGAAAAGGUAAAAUAAAAUCCAUUUCCAAAAAACAGGCGGGAGAAGAAAAAUAGGAAAAAAGACCUUUUGUCUCGGGGCUAACAGCAACCGGGACAAAAGGCCCCCCUUUUAUCCUGGUUGCCAACGGCAACCGGGAUAAAAGGGUACGUUUCGUCUCCCGCCCAAACGUACCCUUUUAUCCCGGUUGCCAACUGCAGCAGGGAUAAAAGGGUACACUCCCAGCCCCACCUGGCGGGGGUACCCUUUUGUCCCGGGUCCCGUCGCCAACCGGGAUAAAAGGGGGGGGGCCUUUUAUCCCGGUUGGUGNNNNNNNNNNNNNNNNNNNNNNNNNNNNNNNNNNNNNNNNNNNNNNNNNNNNNNNNNNNNNNNNNNNNNNNNNNNNNNNNNNNNNNNNNNNNNNNNNNNNGACGAGACGACGACGCGAGACGACGACGGCCGAGGCGAAGACGACGACGGCGGCGUAGGCGGGACGGCGACGAGACGGCGACGAGGGGCGACGAGGAUGGAGCCGGCGACGAGGAUGUGGAGCCGGUGGCCGGAGGCGACGAGGUGGCCGGGGGCCGGGCGCGUCGACGGACGAGGAGGGGAUCGAGGAGGGCCGGCCGGGGGACGACGACGGCGCAAUGGGGGACAUCGACGGCGCAAUGGGGGACGACGACGGCGGCGGCCGGUGAGGGAGGCGGACGGGCGGCGACGGCGGAGAACGCGCGGGACUUGCGAAAUUUUGGCUAAGUGUGUAACUGGCAGGGGGUAGAAGGGAGUACAGUGCCUUUUAACCCCCCCCUUUUAUCCCGGUUCGUAAUAGGACCCGGGACAAAAGGCUCUUUUGUCCCGGGUCCUAUUACGAACCGGGAUAAAAGGGGGGGGUUAAAAGGCACUGUACUCCCUUCUACCCCCUGCCAGUUACACACUUAGCCAAAAUUUCGCAAGUCCCGCGCGUUCUCCGCCGUCGCCGCCCGUCCGCCUCCCUCACCGGCCGCCGCCGUCGUCGUCCCCCAUUGCGCCGUCGAUGUCCCCCAUUGCGCCGUCGUCGUCCCCCGGCCGGCCCUCCUCGAUCCCCUCCUCGUCCGUCGACGCGCCCGGCCCCCGGCCACCUCGUCGCCUCCGGCCACCGGCUCCACAUCCUCGUCGCCGGCUCCAUCCUCGUCGCCCCUCGUCGCCGUCUCGUCGCCGUCCCGCCUACGCCGCCGUCGUCGUCUUCGCCUCGGCCGUCGUCGUCCCGCCGUCGUCGUCUUCGUCCUCGUCGCCGUCCCGCGCGCCGCCCGGCCGCCGCCGUCCCGCCGCCCCGGCCGCCGCCGUCCCGCCACCCCGGCCGCCGCCGUCCCGCCGCCCCGGCCGCCGCCGUCCCGCCGACCCGGCCGCCGCCGACCCGCCGACCCGGCCGCCGCCGUCCCGCCGUCCCGCCGUCCCGGCCGUCGGCCCGCGCGGGAGAGGUCCGCUGCCGCGCCGGCCGGCAGCGCCGGGAGGGUUUUCUUUUUAAGUUAAUUAGAAAAUUAAGUUUUAUUUUUAGAUAGAAUUGUAAUUUUGUUAAGUUAGAUUUUUAGAUUUCUAGUUAGUUUGUUAAGUUAGAUUUCUAGUUAGUUUUUUAAGUUAGAGUUGAUAUAGAGAUCGCCGAGUAGCCGCCGUGAUCGUCGCCUUGUAGCCGCCGUGAUCGCCGCCGAGUAGCCGCCGUGAUCGCCGCCAUCCCGCCGCCCAUCACAACCUAGUAGGCACCGCCCGUGGUUCCGGUGAACCGUCCCCGCCGUACCGCCGCCCUGACCGCCGCCGUCCCGCCUCCGCCGCCCUGAUCGCCGCCGUCCCGCCUCCGCCGCCCUGAUCGCCGCCGUCACAACCUAGGCACCGCACGUGGAUAUUGUUACAAAUUCGUAGAAAUUCGUCAAAAUUCGUAGAAAUUCGUCAAAAUUCGUAGAAAUUCGUAGAAAUUUGUAGAAAUUCAUAGAAAUUCGUAGAAAUUCGUAGAAAUUUGUAGAAAUUCGUAGAAAUUCAUAGAAAUUCGUAGAAAUUCAUAGAAAUUUGUUGAAAUUCGUCAAAAUUCAUAGAAAUAUUUCGGACUUUGUACGAUUCAUGUUAUUUUAUGAUUUCAUUAUAUACAUGUAUGAUUCCAUUCCGGACUUUGUACAAAUUUGUAUUAAGACGAUUUCUAUGACUGUCAUGUAUGAUUCCAUGUAUGUUUCCAUCAAUAGUUGAAAUGGCAGACGAUGAGACCGCAAGGUAUAUCAUGGAGCAGAUAAUCGCUGGUGAUGGUAGUGGCGACAACGUUCCACUAUCAUACACGUAUGAAGAGGGCACCCAGGCGGACAUGUUCCUCAACAUGUCCGCUGAUGGGAAUGAAGAGCAACAGCCGCAACAACAACUUGCCGUGGCGGAAGGUUCCGGCGAGGUAUAUACAACCAUUCUUGUAUUGUUUCACGCCACCGCUACUACUACGUACUAAUUAACGAAUCUUGAACUGUUAGCCCUCCGGAUCGACACAAGGGCAGAAGACCUGAGGUCGUACAAAGGUGAUGGAAGGGAGGCUUGUCAUCACCGAAGUUACAGAAGAGGGCAAGCCGGUUGCUCCCGAGAAAGUAGCAAAGAAGUACGUGAGUCAAAUCGGGGCAAUCGUUCGGGACAACGUGCCUAUCAGCAUCAGAGAAUGGAAGGGCAGAAGAGAUAAUCCGUACGCCCUUCCAGAGAUAGAAAAGAAUAUGCUGUGGGAAGACGUGAAGAGACAUUUCACAUUCCCCGAAGGAUAUAGCGAGAAGGAUGUCAAAGCGUGGACGCUUAAGAAGAUGGCUACUCAAUUCCAGACAUUCAAGAAGAUGCUGGACACCCACUACAUCAAGAAGGGCAAAACUCCAGACUUCAACGCGUGGCCAAAGUUGAGGGACCACUGGGAUGCAUUUGUUGAAUACAAGAGGAGUGAAGAAGGUGUGAAAAAGAUCACGACCAACAUAGCAAAUGCUAGUCAGAAGGGCUACCACCAUCAUUUGGGGUGAGGUGGGUAUGGCUCAGCAAUUCCCAAGUGGAGGAAGAUGGAACAAGAUCUGAUCGAACGGGGAAUCGUACCUGCAACUAUUGAAUGGCCCGAACGAUCAAAGAACUGGUACUACGCUCAUGGAGGCUCCCUAAGCCAAGAGGAUGGGACGCUGAUUUUCAAUGACACAAUACGUGAGAAGGCCGAACAUCUCAUGAAGAACAUUGAAGAUUCCAAGGCUGGGAGGUUGAGGGUGGACCAAGAAAAUGAUGAGCUCACAUUGGCCCUCGGUAAUCCAGAGCACCCAGGACGUUGCCGGGGGUUCGGGGUGGUUCCGUGGAAGUUCGCUUUCCGAGGCGACAGCGCCUCUUACAGAAGCCGGAAGCGAAGAAAGGAACAGAUGGAGGAGAGCUGGUAGCAGAUGGUAGAACAAAGAAUGAUGGAUGAAAUCAAUCGGCGGGUGGCCGACGCAGUUGCGGAGUUGGCGCAAUCUGGAGCAAUGCCGAAUCCUAACACCGCCAGCCCUUCUCAACGCCUCGGGAGCAGUUGUGCUUCUACAGGGGUCCCCGAUGCGCAGACGCCCAGGUUACCCGUGGAGGAGCAAUGGUUCCCCGUGGAUGCCAUCACGCAACGGACCUCAUGUAAGCUGCAUGCACCGGUCGGCAACCUCACUAUUAAGGUAUACUUAUACAUAAUAUUUAUGCAAUCUUGUCAAUUGAUCCAGGCCUCGAGAUCGGAGUUCAACCUGUUUACUUCUACUAUAUGUACAGGUAGCGUACGGGAGUGUGUUACCAACCCUGGCAGGGCAGAGCAGUCAUGGCAUGGACAUUCCAACAGGCUACGCCAGCGUCUGCGUCGAGCAAAUAGUUGAUCCCCAGUAUGAAGGUCUAGAGCUCGACUUCCCGGGAGGCGACGGGGAAAAGACAUUGGCAGAUGCGCUUCAUGGGAUCAUUCUAUGGAAGAAACGCUACAUCAUUAUUCCCCGCACGGAGCCAUCUCCUCAGACCUCAAGACCACUCCCCGUAGAUCCCCAGCAGCGACCUUCUCCUCAUACCUCGAGACCGGCAUCUCCUGCUCCAGGACCGUCUCUUCCAUCUAUAUCAAGGUCUCCAUCUCCACCACAUCCUGGUGCUGGGAGCGACGACGACAAUAACAACACCCCUCCCCGAUCACCGUCACCGGCACCAAGAGCGGCCCCCUCGAAGGAACCUGCAGCACCACUCAAGAAGUCACGAGCACCGCCUCCCAAGCAAAGACAGAGAAAGAAGAAAACAAAGGUCGACCCUGAAGUGGCUCGCAAGGAACGCUUUGAGGCAAUGUCUCAUGAAGAACAGUGGGCAGAAAUCCAACGAGAGGCCAGUGAGUGGUUCAAGAAACAAGCCGAAUUAAAAAAGGCAAGGGAGAUGGAGCCACCGUCAGUAAGUCGGCGAGAUUUAAACUUUUUUAUCAGGAUGGAGGAAGAAGCCAAGAAAAGGAUACCACUCUUGUCAAACUAUGAACGGGCUCUAGUAAAGGCUGAUGAAAAGGAUAAAAGGAAAGGAAAAUCAUCCUCCAGCAGUCCAGUCCCCGACCUCAGCCAUUUAUCAAAAAAAGAUGCUCAACGGGUAAAAGCAAUGCCCUUGGAUCAACAAGCAAAUAUAUUGAAGUUCAUGGAAGAAACAGGUCUGGGACUUGAUGAAUGCAUAGGGCAAGUCGAGACGCCAACUGCACCGCCCCCUGAGCCGAAGUGGACUUAUGAGCUAGGCAAACCUCUAGUAAAGCCUUCAAUGGUACGGAAGCUAUCAACAAAGAUGUACGAAUUCCAUCAAUGGUCGGCAUGAAGGUAAAACCGAUAGAUUUUCACGGUGAAGGGGAGAAAGUGCUGUGGCUAGACUUCAAGGAUAUAUACGAAGUGUACCAUCAUGAUGCCCUGGACGUCUCUCUGAUCAGCGCUUGGAUUCUGUAAGUGUCCGUUUAUUAUCUCUACAUGUAAAUUUUGGCGUGCGUCACCGUACUAACUUCAUCUUCCAUUUCAUGUAGGAUGCUAAUUCAGACAUGCCGCCGAGAGGCGUACCUACAUGUAGGCUUCAUGGAUCCAUCUGUAGUUAACCAACAACAGAUACAAUUAGCGCCGGAAAAAACCUUUGCGGAAAUAUACAAUUUCCUACACAAACAAACAUUCAAGGAUUUCAUACUACUUCCAUACAACUUCAAGUAAGUGUGUGUAUACCGUCUACUUUCGAUGUCUUUUUCCUUAUCUCUACAUGUUAGUUAGCUCUAAUAUGCAUGAACAUUUUACGCACGCAGCUUCCACUGGAUCCUUAUUAUAAUUGAGCCUGAAAGAAGCCACGUCACUGUCUUAGAUUCGUUAAGGAAAGAUCCGAUGGACUACCAAGAAUUGCAAGACAUGCUAGGCUUGUAAUAAUUCUGGACCUUUAUCUCUAUGCAAAAAUUUAUUUCCUAAAUUUUAUCCCUGUUACACUAUGUCAUUCAUUAUUCUAAUCCGCAGCGCAUGGAAACAAUUCAUAAGGACACACAAAGGUCCAUUCAAAGAAAAUCUUACAUGGAACACAGACUUCCCGGUACGUAUGCAGUCUGCACAUUUAUUACAUUGUAUAACACAAAUAUUUCAUAACUUAUUUUUUUCCGCACUGAAGUGCUUAAGACAGGAACCCGGGAAUAAUCUAUGUGGCUACUACAUCUGUGAGCACAUGCACAGUUUUUUGGGACCCAAGGGACCGAAGAUGACGCCGCACAACUUUAAAGUACGUAAAAUAACUAUAUUACUAGUUAAUUAUUUUCUAGCUCCUUAUAUGUAUUUGUUCAUGUAACAUUCACAAAUUUCCAAAUUAUAGAUGUUAAAUAUUCAACAAGGACUCUUGAAGGAAGAAAGAGUAGCGGCAAUAUGUGAAGGUCUCAUUGGAUUCAUAAUGGACGAGGUGGUGGACGAGGUGGUAAAUCCAAGAGGAGAAUUUUAUUACGAUGGACGACAAUUAGACACUCCGAUCAGCAACACCACGAUGGAUACUUUGAUUUAUUUGUAUAUAUAAUACGCGCUAAUUAUGAUCGAUUUGUACUAAGCUAGUUGAAUUGUGUAUAUGAAUUGUGUAUAAGGAUUGUGUAUAUAUAUAGUAAUUGUAUAAUUACAAAUCCCAUUCGUUUAAAUACUAGUUGAUUUCGUUCUAAAAAAAUCUCAACUACAAGGUUAACAAAUUAAAAGGGCUGCGGUACUACUAUACGUAUACGUGAUGCAUGCAUGAAAAAUUCAGACGUCACGGCUGUGCCAUGCAAGCGCCAUUUAGUCCCGGUUGGAAUCGAGCCGGGACUAAAGGGGACCCCUUUAGUCCCGGUUGGGAAAUCCAACCAGGACUAAAGGGGGACCUUUACUCCCGGUUAAAAGACCCGGGAGUAAAGACCCCCCCCUUUUGUCCCGGUUGGUUUAUCCCGGAUGGAUAUCCGAGAGAUAUGCACCCUACCAACCGGGACUAAAGGCCAAUUCUCUACCAGUGUAGACCAAACAUGAUACACACCAUGCGUACCUUGCUGUGCAGACUAUGCAUUGACAAGAUACCCGACCACAUGUUGGCCUCGGUCACAUCAAAAGAAUCAUGUAGGCCACCAAUAAACUACUUGAAGCGGCAUUCCGUAUCGUAUAUGCAUUGCCGGUUCAUCUGCAUUACAUUACAUAAAGCACUAUUAACUAUUUGAAUAAAAUGAACCAAUUUAAAAGUAAUGUGUUGUACUCUACUAUAGAAAGCCCUAUCACUGCCGGAUCCAAAAACAUCAUUGUUAAUGGUGGUUAAGUACCAAAUAUGAUGGUCAAUAUUCUCAAGAAUAAUGGAGAAUUAGCAUUUCUUAGACACAUAUUUGGUUUUGAACAAUGUAGUUCCACAUGUCUUUGGAGAUUAUUUGGGUGUGGGUGAAAUAAUACAAAAAUAAGGAGAAAACACACUCCCAUGGCAAAGAAACACAACUCCAACCAAUGAGAGAUAGCCACAGGGGCAGCACACGGAUCCAUGGGCCCACAAACCGCAUCAAACCGUCUUACCAAGGCAGGUAGCACCCACAACCGUCAUUAGGACCCACCUGGAAGUCUACCAAGAAGAAGGUUGCGAGUGGGGCCAGGAGGGGUUCGGUUGAAUCAUCUCUAGCUAGCUCCCCUCAUCCCCAGCUGGUGGGUGGUGGUGGUUGAUGGUGUCCCUACAUCGGUUAGAGGAGAUUCCCCCAAAUAUUCCUCCUGUAAACCACCUCUAUGGACCUAUACAUAGAGGGGUGUGCUCUCCAUUCCAACACACACCACAAGUUGAAUCACUGUCUCCCUCUUUAGUUUCCAAGUUUAUGGAGUUAGGCUAGAGUAGCUCUGCUCAAGGUUCCAAGUCCACUUGGAGUUAAGCAUAUGUCUCUUGUAUCGUUAUUUCCUAAAUUGACUUUAUGCUUAGUUCUUAUAUGCAUGAGUUAGUCUAAUACCCUUGCUCUAUUGAUAUGCUCGACUUAUAUGCUCGUAUGCUAGUCAUAUACCCUUGCUGUCGUAGUAUAGGCUUAUAUGCUCUCAUGUGUGCCUGUAGACCUUGCUAUAGUAUAUACUUGUUGUGUAUACAUACCAUGUAUAGGCUAGUCGAUCUAUACCAUGGCAUUGGUUCAAUAGCCAUGUUUUUGGUGGCUCCAGCCCUAGUCACAAUAGCUCGGGACAGCUGGAGUGUUGUUAAAAAUGCAAGAGUGGUGCUUGGGUUGUUUAGCAUCGUUGGAUAUGGGUUUGCCCCACAGGUUUCUAACGGUAGGCGACAGCUAGUGACAUCCCUGUCCGUCCUUCGUAAUCCCCCCACAUUCAGGUACGCCAUAAAUGUUCGUAAAUUAGCAGUAACUACGCCGGUACACCCAUAGGGUAUUGUCUCCCUGUAGUACCUUGGUGCAUAGAACUAAGUCCUAUACACUGUGUGUGUAUGUUUACGCUGAUAUGAUCUGUGCAGUAUAUAGGAUGUAUAUAUGAACCUAGAGCUAACUCCUAGUCCGUUCUCCAUAGCUUAGUUAUCUUGAGAUGAUUCUUUUGUAUGUGUAACACUACCCAUCUUAUCAUUAUCCUUGCUCCUGUCUUGUGUAAUAUAUCUACUCAUCCUAUGAUAUACUCAUAUGCAUAGUAAACUAUUUUGACCUACCCGCCUUCCUUUGGGAAAUAUGAUACCCUGGAAUAAUCCUAGGUGAAAUCCUACAACGGUAUAUCCAUGUGCUUGCGGAUUUAUUCAUGACCAUUAAAUAUACCAACAAUCAUCACUGCCGGUUAUGGGCGUCGUUAGUGAAGGGUUGGUAGUGAUGGGCAUCCCCUUCACCAAUGGACCUGGAACCGGCGGUGAUGGCUGUUAUAAAAAAGGGGACACCACCCAGCGUACCCCGCGACCCGGCUGGCCGCACCUCCCAUCAUCCCCGCCAGCCGCCCUUCCUUUUCGCCGGCCGAGCAUGGUCCUGGCCUUUGUCCCUACCGCCUCGCCUCCACCGCGACCCCCCGCCGAUGCCCUCAUGCCUGGCCCCCCUCAUCUUGCCGGCCACCCUCCCGAUGCGUCCACUAGGGCCCUCACACCACCAACCGCCCUUGCCUAGAGAGGGAGAGAGAGGAGGGAGGUGAGGCCACGCACCUCGUCCUACACCGCCGCUGUUUCUCCUCGGCCCACCGCGCCUCACCCCACACCACAGCCGCGCCUUGCCAUCUUACCGGCUGCGACGCCUCAUCUCACCGGCCACCGUUCCUCACCCCCACUUCGGUCGUCGCCGCUCCUUGCCCUACUGCUGCUCUUUGCCGCUGCGACUGAGCGGCGAGUGGAGGAGGAGGGACGGGGCAGGAGGAGGGCAAGAUCCGGGAGGAAGGGAGAGAUCUUGGGAGGUGGAGAUGGAAGGAUAUGGCGGAAGGGAGAGAUCCAGAGGGAGAGAGCAGGGGAGAGAGGGGGGCAUGUGGGGAGAGAGUGCGUGUGGGGUGGGGCCAGGCUGGUGGGAUGGAAGGGAGAGGGGCUAGACGGGCGCAGUGCAUUCAACUGGAUGAAGUAAAUAUUUCGGAUUCGAGACCCCAGCUUUAUUAUCACCGCUGGUCCGUAGUACCAUCCGGUGCCUGCUCGUAAUUUAAUUUGAAUCUGCGGUGAUGUUUUAUUAUCACCAUCGGAUCAUAUAAAAAAUCCGGCGGUUAAAAAUCCGCUGGUUUCGAUGAAAACCGACGGUGAUAGGAUGACUGUGAUAGUCUCUUCUCUAGUAGUGGUAUAUUAGUACCGGCUGCCAGACGGUGUUGCCGACCAGUACUUCUCCGGAGGCGAUUCAGUACUGCUGUUAGCAAAGCUUGUUCUCUAUGAAUCUGGGGAUGGAAAGCUAGUUCUCUAGUUGUGAUUUGUUACAUAUAUAUCUAUGAUAGUCUAGAAAUUGCAUGUCCUUCGUUGACAUAGUUGAAGCUGCGCGCUUCAAGAAUUUACUUCGUGCAGUCGUGCAGCAUAUUGGAUUAUCACCUAGACAGGAUACAUAGGUGAAGCAUUGGAUGUGAUUGUGGCCGAUAAUUAUGCAGGACGCUGUUGCAAUCAACCACCAAGAAGUCUGGAGUGAUGGGGUUGCCUCAUCAAUAAUUUUUAUAUAUGGCUGCAGUAUUAUUAAGCCCACGUCAAUAAUUUUUUCUCCGCACCAUAUAUCGAUGGGGUUGCCUCAUCAAUAAUUCGCGCAACCAGACAAGCUGCAGACUCAAUAUGGUACGAAGCUAGUUGCUCAGCCCACAUGCUCUGAUAUAACAUUGACAUCUGCUGAUCUACAGUAUAUAUGACCAGAAAUAUUGUGCCCACCUCAAUAACUUUCUGAAGUAUCGUGGGGAAGAACCUACUCGUACUAUGCCUCGGAACUAACUGACAUAUCGGCCUAGGCGGUCUAGGCCGAUUGGACUGGCUCUUCCUUGUGGCUUCUCACGUCCCCUUCGUCCCCAAGUAAUUUCAGGUGUUCUGCAGUUUCCUUUUCACUUGCAUCUGAGCCUCAUAUAUCAAUAGCUUCGGGAUAAGAAUGCCUCUUGAUAACCUUCCAAAUCCUCGCUUGAUUCACAUUGAUUCCGAAAUCAUCUUGCCAUAUCUUCAGAGACUUAGGUCCUAAGGCAUCAUGGAGGAUUGCUCGCCAGGAAUGAGCACCAUUGGGCUCCUGAGGACCCUAGGCCGAUCAGCCCGGGCUCUAUAGGUCGAUUGGCCCAGGCCCUCUCUGGGCCCGUUGGCCUUCAUCUUUCUCUGAGUCGACGCUUAUUCAGGGCUUUGUCCAAUUAUAGUCUAUUAUAGUCUAAUUUCCUACAAAAACAGAAUGUCCUCCAAAAUACAAUGCAUAUGUGAAAACAGCCCAAUUAUUAGGUAUGAUCAAUAGUUUAGGUAUAUAAAUUAAUAUUAUUAUUUAAGAUAAACAGGGGUAAAGGGUGUCAUUAAUAACAAGCGCCAACAAGCGUCCUGGCUGUUCAAUAAAUUUUUUCUAGUACCGAUUGGUAACACUAACCGGUGCUAAUAUGUACCCUUUAGUACCGGUUAUUUUACCAGGUACUAAAGGAGACAAGAGCAUCCUAACAUAAGGUUAAUAUCAUCCAUUUCAUGAGUAAAAUACUAUGAUUCAAAAAUAAUUCAAAUCCCUUAAGACAAUACCUAUCAAAUGAGUAAAUUGUAAAUAGAGUAAUCUUGAUCAAACAAUGUCCUAAUGAAACGGAACACUUCUGGUUCGUGUAGAGCACAAUAUAGAAAACAGUAGGGUAGCUGUACGAUUGACACGUGGUCCAUUAAUUCUUGAGCCAACACUAUGGACAUGUCUUCAUGAGUAGUGUACUAGUCAUGAUACAUGGUAUGCAGUAGGUGGAGGUAUUGACUUAGCCAUGCUAUGAGCACUUAGUUACAACAAACACUUUGCCAUUAUCGAGCAUCCCAAAUCACUACAAAAUCCAUAGUUUACCAUAUACUACAAAAUCUGAGUUAAAAUAAGAGCAUACACGGAAGAGUCCGAAUGCACCGGCACAUUGAAUUACUAGACAAAAAUUAUGGGACAAGGUUUUGGGUAACCGCAUGAAAAAUAUUGGAUUUUACUGAACACUUAGUUACAAUUACCAUGCCGUGAGCACUUAGUCACCACAAACAUUUAACCACUUUAGAUCAUCCUGAAUCCCUAUAAAUUCUAUACCUUACACCGUACCAUGAAAACGACAAGAACAGAGACAGAUGCGGUGAAAAUCUCCAGAGCAAGCCUGAAAUUAAAAUAAGAGGAGGCAGUCACUAUCGACAGGACACGGAGAUUGCUAGCCAUGACAGAGGAAGACAUGAUAUGAUAUUCACCUCUGAAAUGCAGCGUAGACUAAAUGAAGCACAAUUGCAAGUGAGUGUGGCAGAUAAUGGACCAUCGAGACCAUCGAUUGGUAUGAAGCAUGAUUAUCACCUAGACAUGAUAUCCUAGACAGGACGGUGAAUUGUAAAAAGAGUAAUCUUGAUCAAAGAAUGUCCUAAUGAAACGGAACAUUUUUGGUACGUGUAGAGCACAAUAUAGAAAACAGUAGAGUAGUUGUACGAUUGAACUGCAUCCAUCGACGUGGUGCAUGAAUUGUUGAGCCAACACUGGGGACAUGUCUUCAUGAACACCAUCUAGUGAGGACAGCAUGCAGAAAAAUAUCAAAACAUGUCAUAGGGAGGCAGACCAAUCUUGCGAGGUAGACGAAACGUGAUACACGAUCUGCCUACCUUGUCGUGGAUACCCCAAGUGAAGAUGUCAUAGAGGUGCAGACCAAGCUAGCAAGGAGGUAGAUGAAACGUGAUACACGGCCUGCCUACCUUGCCGUGGAUAUUAGUCCUGAUAUCAUUCUAUUGUUCAAGGAAUAACACUCAAUGCUGCUGCUGCUGCUGACCUGGCUCCAUAAAGUUAUAUUCCUCUAGCCGCUUGCACUAACUUUAUCUGAAGUAUUAUUCUCUCUGCACUGUAUAUAUGGUUACGGAGUUUGCUGGAGUAUCCGGGGGGAAGAACCUACAUAAUAUGUCUUGGAACUAACUGACAUUGAUUCACAGACAAGGUGCUGUUGUUGCCAUAUUUUAGAGCAUCCCAAAGGACUAUAAAUAAUAUAGUUUACCAUAUACCGUAUACCAUUAUAUGUUAGCUAAAAUAAGAGCAUAACAUGUCGCAGGAGUCCAAAAGCACCGGUUGAGGACCAGGUACAUUAAAUUACUAGAAAACGAAAGGGGACAAGGUUUAGGUAGCCACAUGAAAAACAUUUGAAUUUACUGUACCAUGAACACUUAGUUACCAUGCCGGGAGCACCUAGUUAACACUAACAUUUAGCCACUUUAGAUCAUCCCGAAACACCAAUGACCCUCAAUAGCGACAAAUUUUGGUUUAAAUGCCGUCACCAAUGAUCCUCAAUAGUGACGUGUUUAGGUUUAAAUCCCGUCACUAAUAACCCUUGGUAGUGACGUGUUUUGGUUUAAAUCUCAUCACCACUGAUCCUCACUAGUGACGUGUUUUUAGCAACACACGUUAUGAAUGACUUGUCAUUGGUGACAUGUUAAACGCGUUAUCUCAAUGGCAAAUCAAUGGUGACGUGUUUAAAAAAACAUGUCACCGUGAGAGUUAUUGGUGAAGGGUAAUUAAAAUGCAUCACUAAUUUUGUAGCAUUAGUUAUGAUAUAAUUUUGUAACGCAAAAAUCUACCAUAGUAACGAGGUUUAGAGCCGUCGCUAAUGUGGGUUUCUUACGUAGUGAUGCAAGCUCUACAAGGUGCUGUUGUUGCCAUUUUAAAGCAUCCCAAAUGACUACAAGUGUCUGGUUGAGGACUAAACAAAUUGAAUUACUAGAACCAAAUGUAUGUCCAGAACAAAGAAAGGGGUCAAGGUUUGGGUAACCGCAUUAAAAACAUUGGAUUUUACUGUACCAUGAACACUUAGUUACCAUUACCAUGCCUUGAGCACCUAGUUACCACAAACAUUAAUUUAGCCACUUUAGAGGUUCCUCAAUCACUAUAAAUAAUAUACCAACACCGUACCAUGAAAACAUCAAGAAGAGAGACAGGUACAUGGACCACCAUCAAGUGAGUAGUGACAGCAUGCACAAGAAUACCCGGAACCUUUUAGCUUGUCUGUAGUGAUCUGUUUUCUUCCCCGUAAAAUCCAUGAGUAUUGCCACAAAUAAUGAAAGAGGCUGACCAAGCUAGCAACGAGGUAGAGCAAACGUGAUACACGUAGGUUUCAUUCAAGACAUCCAUGUAAGAUUCAUUCAAAACAUUCAUGGAAAUUUCUUAUAAGUUUUCAUGUAAAUUUCAUUCAAGACAUUUGUUAGAGGUGUUGUAUAUAUACUUAACGUACAUAUAUCUAUGAUUUCAUGGUUGUUAGUGAUGGCAGAUGAGGAGCAUGCAAGGUAUUUAAUGGAGCAGAUUAUUGCUAGUGGCAGUGGCUCCAACCUGCCCGUAACGUACACCGACGAAGAGGGCAGCCAGGCGGACAUGUUCCUCAACAUGUCCGGUGAUGGCAAUGAAGAGCCCGAGCAAAACCUUGCCGUGACGGAAGGUUCCAGCGAGGUAUAUAUCAUUUCCAUUAUUUUACCCCAUCUAUAAUUUCAUAUUCAUUAUUACUAUGUACUAAUUAACGAAUCUUGAACCGUUAGCCCUCUAGAUCAACGAACCGAAAUAAGCCCCGAGGUCUUACAAAGAUAAUGCAGGGAAGGCUUCACAUCAUGGAAGUCACAGAAGAGGGCACCUCGGUUGCUCCCGAACAUGUGGCAAGAACGUACGUGAGUCAAACCGGGGCAAUCGUAAGGGACAACGUGCCCAUCAGCAUCAGGGAAUGAAAGAGCAAUAGAAAUGAUCUAUACGCACCCCCGGAUACACAAAAGGAUAUGCUGUGGGCAAAUAUCAAGAAACACUUCACAUUUCCCAAAGGAUAUGUUGAAAAAGAUGUGAAAGCGUGGAUGCUGAAGAAGAUGGCCACCCAAUUCCAAACAUUCAAGAAGAUGUUGGAUGCCAACUUCGUCAAGAAGGGUCGAACUCCGGGUUUCGAUGAGUGGCCAAAGUUAAGGGACCACUGGGAGUCAUUUGUCGAAUACAAGACGAGCGAAGGUGGUGCCAGUAAGGUUCGCAUCAAUGUUGCCAAUGCUAGCAAGGAGUACCAUCAUCAUCUAGGGCGACGUGGUUACAGCACUGCAAUUCCCAGAUGGCGCAAGAUGGAACAAGACUUGAUCGAUCGGGGUAUCGUACCAGCAACUCUUGACUGGCCUGAUCGAUUGAAAAAUUGGUAUUAUGCUCAUGAAGGCAAUCUGAGCCAAGAGGAUGCGACAUUGGUCUUCAAUAAAACAAUACAUCAGAAGGUCGGAAGGCUUAUUAGGAACAUUGAAGAUGCUAAAGCUGGGAGGUUCAAGGUGGAUAGAGAGAAUGAUGAACUCACAUUGGCCCUCGGGACUGUCAUCUCUAGCACUUCCAGCUCCAGGACUAUCAUCACCACCGGGACCGUCGCUUCUUGCUCGAUCACAGUCUCCAUCUCCAGCACAUCCUGGUGGUGCGAGCGACGACGACAACAACACCCCUCCCUGCCCACCAUUGCCGGGACUAAGACCCGCAUUGUGUAAGGAACCUGCAACACCACUGAAGAAGUCGCGACCACCACCUUCAAGGCAAGUCAGCAAAAGAAGAAAGCAGAGAAGCCUAAACCCACUGAGAAGCCAGCGACUGAUAUGACCGAUGCGGAAAGAUGGAAGGCACUCAAAGAAGAAUGCAUGGAGUGGUUCAGAAAAAGGACCAAAGAAAGAAAAGGAAAGGAGAUGGAGCCACCGCCAGUAGAUCCAAGAAAAUUAUAAUUUUUUAUUAAGAUGUCAAAAGGAGCUAAGAAGAUGAUGCCACAACUAUCAAACUACGACUGGGCGUUAGUCAAGGCUGAUGAGAGUUAAAAAAGGAAAGGAAAGUCAUCGUCAAGUGGUACUGUCCCCCAGCUCGAGGAUCUACCAGAAAAAGAUGCUAAAAAGAUAGUAGCAAUGCUCUUGGAUCAACAAACACAUAUAUCGUGAGAUUAAUGCAAGAAACAGGUAUGUCCCUUGCUGAAUGUCUAUGGCAAGUUGAUAUGCUAGCUCCAGAGCCAGUUGUACCGAAAUGGACCUUUGAGCUAGGCAAGCCUCUAGUAAGGCCUGAGUUGGUACAGAAGCUAUCCACAUAGAUGCAUGAAUUCCAUGAAUGGUACAUGAAGCAGUCUGCCAAUGAGAGGGAAAUGUUCGGUCUCGAGGAAAAACUAAUAAUUUUUUUCGGCGAAGGCGAGAAAGUCGUAUGAAUCAAAUUCAAGGAUAUAUAUGAAGUGAACCAUCAGGAUGCCCUUGAUGUCUCUCUCAUCAGCGCCUAGGUUUUGUAAGUGUAUGUUUAUCUAUACGUAAAUUUUGGCUCAUAUCAUUAUUUUUUUUGCGUGCGUCACCCUACUAACUUCGUCUUCCAUUUUAUGUAGGAUGCUAAUUCAGACGUGCCGCAUAGAAGCGUACUUCCAUGUUGGCUUCAUGGAUCCAUCCCUAGUUAACCAAAAGCCGAUACGGAAGUAGCUAGAGAAAACGUUGGAGGUGGUGUACAACUUUCUGGACAAACAAAACUACAGAAUAGGGGCAAUAUGUGAGGGUCUUGUAGGAUUCCUAGUGGACGAGGUGAUAAAUCCAUAAGGAGAAUAUCAUUACAACGGACGAGCAUUAGACACACUGAGCAACACCUAGACGGGAGGAUCCUAGGAAUGACCUCAACAGAUUUUGGUAUAAAUAGUAAUUGUGUAAAUACUAGUUUGAUUUGUAUAGGAAUAUACUAAGAAUUGUAUAUAUAGUAAUUGUACAAAUACUAGUUUGAUUUGUAUGAAUACUAGAUUGAUUUUAUUAUAAAAAAGUUUUAAGUCGUACGUGCAUGCGCCUACAAAGGCGCGGAUGCCCUUUAAUCCCAGUCGGAAAAACAAACCGGUACUAAAGGGGCUCGUGCCGCACCUGGCAUGACCACCCCUUUAGUCCCGGUUGAACGACCCAGGACUAAAGAUCUCCGCGUCUCAAAAAUUUUAUCUCGGAUGCUUUUUAGAGAGAUUUGAGGCCUAUCAACCAAGACUAAUAUCGAGUUUUCUACCAGUGGAACUAACUAACGUUCACAUGCUUUUGACAUUCACCUGCCAUUUGGUGUAGACAAGGGCACCCUAACAUAUGGUUAAUAUUAUUCUUGAAAGAAAAUCCUUUGAUUCAAAAUACUUCAAACCUAAUAAUACAAUACUUCUCACAUCUCAAAAAUAUGAGACGGCCCGACAGUAUUCUAACCGACGCAAUAAUAUUUUGAGGGCAGCACUACUACAGCGACCCUCAUUCGUGCCGGUGCUGGGACUCCUAUCACGACCCUGAUACAAAUGAGGGUACAUUAUUGGUGCCAGUGCUAGAACAGCCACCAAUAACUUGCUAAACGUGCUGUUACACUCACUACAGGGACCAAGAAGGUAGAUAAAUUACACGACAUAGCCUUGGUUGCCGUGGAAGCGCCAAGAAGGGAGACAAAUUACAGGGACCACACCAUCAAGUAGAUAGUGACAAUAUGCAGAUGAAUACCCGCGCCUGUUAGCAUGUGAACUGACCACACCACGAAACGUGAUACACGGCAAGCGUACCAAGGCCUUGCUGUGCAGACUAUGCGUGGACAACACAUGGUACCUGACCGCUUUUGGCCUCAGACACAUCGAAAAACUGCAUCGUUCCACGUUGUACAUCCACUGCUAGUUUAUCUAUAUUACAUAAUAUAUUAUUAGCUAUUUGAAUAGAAUGAACCAAUUAAAAAAUUGCGUUGUAUUUUAGUACCGGCUGCAGGAUGGUGUUACCAACCAGUACUAAUUAGCCUGUAGGAGUGAUGGUUAUUAGACUUGGUACUGUUGUUACAUCAUUAACCUAAUUGUGCGCGGUAUGAAUUUGGGGAUGCAAAGCUAGCUCUCUAUGAAUGUGAGGGACGGAAAGCUAGUUCUCUAGUAGUAAUUAGCUAUAUAUAUAUGACAGUCAAGAAAUCGAACACUAUGCUGCUACGAGUCACCAUCAUUUCCUUCAUUGAGAAUCUGACAUAGGUGAAGCUGCUUCAAGAAUUUCCUUCGCGCAGUCGUGGAGCUUAUUGGAUUAUCACCAGGACGGGACACGGAAAUGGCCAGCAAUGAAGCUGAUUGCCGUCUGAGGAAGACUACAUACUUUACCUAUGAAAUGAAGCGAUUGCAUAGACUAAUGAAGCAUUGCAUAUUUGCAUGUGAGUGUGGCAGAUAAUUCUGCAGGACAUGAUUGCAAUCCACGCACCAUCGAGAAGACUGGGGCGAUGGGGUUGCCUCAUCAAUAAUCACGUGGAUGCAUGCAUGCAUGUUCCCGCAACCGGACAAGGGUCUGAUAUAUGGCUAUAGUAUUACUGAGCCCACAUCAAUAAUUUCCGCUGGUGUAUCGUGUGGGAAGAAUCAACAUACUACACCUCGAGUUCUUGGAACUAACUGACGUUCACAUGCAACCUCCACAAGGUGCUGUAUAUAUGCUUUUGACAUUCACCUGCCAGUUCGUGUAGAGGACACCCUAACGUAUGGUUAAUAUUAUCCAUUUCAUGAGUAAAAUACUGUGAUUCAAAAAUACUUCAAAUCCCUUGAGACAAUACUUCUCACUUGACUAACCACUAACCAACCCCGAAACCCUAACUCAACUCCGAACCCUAACACCUAACGGCAUAACCACUCCGUUUUGCCAGCCAGAUGGAGGAACUGGCUGGGAGGGAGAGAGGGCAGCGGUCCAGGGUUGAAAACGACGGGCGAGCGCAGUAACAUGUGGAGGAGGAAGUGCCACGUAUUCGUUCACCGCUAUUGGGCAGCGACACACAACACGCCCAAUAAGAUCUUCGCACGGUAGAAGGACGUCAUGUAUUCAAUAAUGUUAUUGGUCCUCCAUGUGCAGAAGGGCGCGUAUGGAAUAACAAGUAGGGACACUGCAACUAAUCUACUCUGCUCGUCCAGUCCCUAGCCUAUAAAUAGAUGCCAUGCUAGCUCUUGUUGUGCUCACAGUUAAUCCGAUUACACACGAGCUCCUCUCCCUAGCCAAGACACAAUCAUAGUAUGAUGAAGAACAUGGCACUAGCCGGCAAUGGUAUGAAGAAGUUAAUCCUCGCUGUUCUCUUACUGUGUCUAGUUAUAGGGCAGAUACAAGUGGAAGCUAAGAGCUGCUGCCCAUCCACCACUGCAAGAAAUGUCUACAAUACCUGCCGUUUGACGGGUGCAUCCCGUCCAAUGUGUGCAAAACUGUCAGGCUGCCAAAUUAUCAGCGGGAACAAAUGCAAGCCCCCUAACGACCACCUCACCCUUGACCCGGACACUGGUAAAUAAUAAAUUUAUCUCACUUGAUUUCUUUGUGUUUUGAGUCGUUAAUGUAUUUUCCAUCUGAUGAAACGCAUUGGUUUUGCAUUGAAGAGGAAGUUAAUGUGCUUAACUUCUGCAAGUUGGGGUGUGCGUCGUCUGUGUGCAACAACAUCAACGCUGGUAAGCACCUUUUGCUCAGACAGAGAAAACAAUAAUCAUUAAUUAGCGGCAGCUAGAAUCCUAUAAUCUAAUAUAUAUAUAUAAUUUUAUCAGCUCUGGGAAAUGAAGAGGCGAACGAUGCCGUUGAGAGUUGCGACCAAGCCUGCUCUAGCUUCUGCAGCGUGCAUGUUGGCAGCGCCACCGUGGUUGCUUAAGCAAAUGCAUCCAACUAGAUCGUCCUUGUGCUGAAUAAUUGGAUAUCGUAUCCACUUAAAGCUGCCUUGUGUAGUACGUCUUUGUGUCUCUCUUUAUAUUCCAAUAAGGUCGGUGAUCUUGAUGCCACACACUCAGAUGUGUGUUCAUCUCCAGAUACUACUCCAUGCUACCUGCCCUUUGUGUUUUGUUCAAUAACUGGGUAUCAUAUCCGAGCCAGUAUGCCGUCUGUUUUGUGUUUGUUUCCUUCUAGUUCCAAAGGGGUCAUCAUGAUGUUACCUUCUUUCAAUAUGGUGCUUUGCAUGACUACUGUUGUAUGGUACCAUCUUGUGGCCAAUAAGUACAUCUUAUCCUAUGACCCUUUGCUAUGACCCUUUGCAAAUAAGUAGAAGAUUGUUAUAAGCGUCAAUACUCAGUAUAAUUGAUCGCUGCUGUGAGUUCCCUUUCAGCUUAUCGUAGGCAUACAUUAUUGCUAGCACGGUAAAGCCAACCAACACGAAUGAUGAAGUAAACGUAGCGGUACUUCUGUAUACCAACACCCUUACUUAAAUGUACCGGUGUCAUUCCCUACUGGCACAUAUAUUCUUAUAUGCUAGCCAGCUUGUAAAAUUAACCAAUUAAAAUAAUUAUUUCAAGAUAGAAAUAACUUAUUGGCUUCUCGAAGCAUGUGUAAUGUGAAUUCAUGAGACUUCAAGCAACCAGGAAAAGACACUAAUAAACAUCCAGAUCCCAUCCAGCACACAUCCAUGCACAUAUAUAACCCACAUAUUGCUCCAGCACACAUCCAUGCAUAUACGAUAUCCAAAUGUUAAUAUUGUAGACAUCCAUGCCUGAACUAGUCUGCCACACAAGUCAUUGAUGCUACAAAUUCUACAAUCGCAGCAUGUGCAUACAACUUACAGAAUGAGAUAAUGUACCAAAACUAAAACGUUAGCAUCAACUGUGCUUCAACCAAAGUUGUCAUCCCAACUCUCCUCUUCAUCCAUGCCAUUCUUGUCAUGGCCGUCGCUGUCAGUCUCCAUGGCAUUGCCAAUGCUGUGUAUGUCUUGGUAGGAACCUACAUGUGAUGAACAGUAACCUGCAAAAAGAGCUCAAAGGAUCUUGUUCUCAUAUUGUAGCUGUGAAAUUCUUGCAAGUAGUGUUGCAAUCUGUUCACUUUGAACCAAAAGAGCUCAAAGGAUCUUGUCCUAAAAGUUCCUCUUAAAGCUUAUGGGUUUGCUGGUGGAACCGGAAGGGCUUGAUGCAGCAGAUGCCAUUCUGCAAUAGAGAAAAAUUUAGAGGGCAGUACUAGUUAAAAUUUGAUGCAGCAGAUACACACGAAACUAGUAUUUAUACAAUUCUAUAUAUGUAAUAAUUUGUCCCCUAAAUUUUUAGGAUCCUCUUGAUGGUGGUGAGUCUUCCAGUAAGGCAAUUGAAUGUCCGUCAUAAUAAAAUUCUCCUUAGGAUUUAUCAUCUCGUCAACCAGAAAUCCUAGGAGUGCUUCUUGGAUUGCCAAAACCCUAUCCUGAUGCAGGAGUUCGUCCUUAAGCCUUAACAUUUGUAAUUUGGAAAUAUGUGAAAGUUAAACCAACAAUUAAAAUAUAAGGAGCCUUAUCAUCAUUUCCAUGUGUUGCGAAUUAAAAUAAUGAAUAAUACAGUGUUAGGUGAAAAUUCAAGAAACAAAAUUUUGCAUAGAGAUAAACGUCCAACAUUAUUACAAGUUAAGGUAGUUUUAAAUAUCCUUGUAAUCUUCCUUUGAUUUCCUCAACGAUUCGAAGACAAUAACCUUACUUCUAUCAAUGAUAAUUAUAAGGAGAACCCAGUGAAAACUGUGUAUUCAUAUUAGAACUACCUAAGGUUAAUUAGGUUAGGAAAGGAAAUCGAAAAUAGAUGGUACCCACACUUACUUAAAGUUGUCGGGCAAUAGUAUGUAAUGCUUGUAAUUCCGUUGCUCCAAGAAUUUGUAUAUGUGGUCCAAUGUAGACUUUGGUUGAUUCCGUAUCUGCUGUUGGUUAAAUAAGUGUUUCUAGCCAUUACUAGCCGUUAGAACUCGGACUAAAGGGGGCUCUUUAGUACGGGUUGAUAUUACUAAUCGGGAUUAAAGAGCCCCCAUUAGAGUUGGUUUUUGGACGCGGAACUAACAACUCCUUUAGUCCUAAGUACAAAAAUGACUGAAAUAUUUGUUGCUGGAUGGAAGGUCCUUUCUCUACCAUGAAUAUUGCCAGAAAGAAUUGAAAGAGACUGCUUGCUAAAAAUAUGUCAUAGAUGUAGACCAAGCUACCAAGGAUGUAGACCAAACAUGAUACACACCAUGCGUACCUUGCUGUGCAGACUAUGCAUUGACAAGAUAGAAAUAAUUAAUUCUAAUAUGCGUACCCUUACUUACACUAGUAGAGAAUUGGGCUUUAAUCCCGGUUGGUAAGGUGCAAAUAUCUCGAAAAUGCAUCCGGGAUAAACCAACCGGGACAAAAGGGGGAUCUUUUAUCCCGGGUCACUCAACACGCGAUUUUUCACAAAAAAAAAAUUCCCGAGCUCCCAGGCAGGCCCCCCACACGCGAUUUUUCACGCGAAAUAUGCGCGUGCGCGGUUCGUGGGAUUCGAACCCACAACCUCCAGCCUCGCGCGUAGUUUCCUUGCCAUCCCACCUACACACCACAUCUGACUAUGUAGGGGAUACUAUCCUUUUGUAUUAAAAGGCUCUUGACCCUUUUAUCUCGGUUGGUGUUACCAACCGGGAUAAAAGGGGGGGUCUUUUAUCCCGGUUGGUGUUUCAAACCGGGAUAAAAGGCCUCUCAGAGUCUUUUUUUCCCAUUAGCCUUUGCAACCGGGAUAAAAGGUUCCGGUUGGUGAGCCCCCCACCAGUGACCGAGUUUUAGUCCCGGUUGGUGAACCUUUUGUCCCGGGCCAACUUUAAACCGGGACAAAAGGGGGCGUAUGGAAAGCCAAUUCUCUACUAGUGUUAAAUAUACCGGUGUUAUUGCCCACUGGCACAUAUAUUCUUAUAUGCUAGCCGGCUUGAAAAUUAACCGAUUAAAAUAAUUAAUUCAAGACAGAAAUAACUUAUCGGCUUCUCGAAGCAUGUGUAAUAUGAAUUCAAGGACUCGAUGGAAGUUGAAUCGCUUCAUCUAGAUUGCUUUCAGGAUUUUGGGUAACUAAAUUUAACAUUUGCACACACAAAUGUUAAUGUACAAAUGUUAAAUCUAGUUACCCAAGCAGAAUAUGAAUAUACUCUAUAGUAUACAUAUACUAUAUAAAUCUAGUUAAUAUUUAGUCUAAAUGUUAAAUCUAGUUACCUAAAAUCCUGAAAGCAAAAUGUAUAAAUAUAUAUCUUUUAAGGCAGUAUAAACUUCGAUUCCUUUUGCUGCUCUGUUAAAUCUCAUCUUUCGUUGUGGCCCAACACUCUAGUAUGUAUGUUGCACCAAGCUUCCUUGAGCCGCUCUGCCCUCUGAUUUUGCUGCGUAGGGGAAUCUUUAUCAGGUUGGGCUGCUUCCAGUCAUACGAUGUGUGGCUUCAUAUCUUCUACAAGUUAGACAGGAAACCCGCGUUCUGGAAGAUUCUGCAACGUGCACGUUGGCGCUGCCACCGUGGUUGCUUAAGCAAAUGCAUCCAACUGAAUCGUCCUUGUGCUAAAUAAUUGGAUAUCGUAUCCACUGCUUAAAGCUGCCAUGUUUAGUACAUCUUUGUUUUUCUCUCUUUAUAUUCCAAUAAGGUCGGUGAUCUUGAUGCCACACACUCAGAUGUGUGUUCAUCUUCGGAUACUACUCCAUGCUACCUGCCCUUUGUGUUUUGUUCAAUAACUGGGUAUCAUAUCCUAGUCAGUGUGCCAUCUGUUUUGUGUUUGUUUCCUUCUAGUUCCAAAGGGGUUAUCAUGAUGUUACCUUCUUUUGAGGUGUCUAUGACUUUGUUAAUAUCAAUAUUAACCAAUUCAAUCUAUCUUAACUAUUUGUAAGGGGUAUGAUGUAUGCAUGAUUAUAACAAUGAUUGCGCAUACAAUCACUGCCAAAGAAACGGUCAAUACCAUAAAGACAUAUUACAGACAAUUCUCAUAAUCUAUAAUGAAUAUACAUAUUCACUACUGCAGAGACUGUCAUCUGUAUCAGCUCAUACGUGCCAGGGCAAAGGUCACCCUUGCAUUAAAAGUACAUUUGCACGGUAAAGAUAACCAACACGAAUAAUGAUGUAAACAUGCCGGUGCUUUUGUACACCAACACGCUUACUUAAAUGUACUGGUGUCAUUCCUCACCGGUAGCCGGCUUGAAAAUUAACCAAUUAGAACAAUUAUUUAUUGUAUCGGUGUGAAUUUUGACCUAUUGGAAUAUGAAUUUGACCAUUACUGCAUUCGUCAAGACUCAAGAGAGAAAUAACUGAUCGGCUUCUUAGAGCGUGUGCAAUGUGAAAUCAAGGACUGGAUGGAAGUUGAAGCGCUAGCUUCAUCUUCCGCUGCAUGUUAAUUGCUUGGAUAAGAAGUUGUAGCCGCGUAUAUAAAUAGUCCCGCUGAUGCUGUGCUCCGAAGUCUAUACUAUAUAUGCGAAAACUAGAUUGCUUUCAGGAUUUUGGGUAACUAAAUUUAACAUUUGUACAUAAAAAUGUUAGUUUACGAAUGUUAAAUCUAGUUACCCAAGCAGAACAAGAAGAUAGUAUAUACUAUAUACUAUGUAAAUCAAGUUAACAUUUAGUCUAAAUGUUAUAUCUACUUACCCAAAAUCUUGAAAGCAAAGAAAGAAUAAGUAUAUAUCUUUUGUUGGAAAAUUGGUCCACGGAGAGUGGCCUCGUUCGUUUCACCGGGAAGGAAUUCCAGUCAGGAUUACUUCCAAGUCCGGUUUAAGUGAUUCCACCCAUGUCACUCAAUUCGGCUAGGAUUCAUUCCAGGGGUGAGGAGGUAUGGUUUCAAUCCGGGCCAUCUAAUGUAGAAGGAUUCCAAUCCAGGCCGGUUUUCGUUCUAGGCUAGACUAAAACGAACAACACUUUCAAUGCAAGUCUGGUUUCAAACCGGGCCACUUCAAACCACCCGGAAUGGACCUCAUUCCGGGCCAAUCCGGUGAUAACAAACGAGGCCUUAAUGGAAUCCCAAAGCAAGAGUUCAGUGGCAUUCUAUAGUCCCAUGCUGCUAGUUUGAGUUGGUCGAAGCCAACUUAAAUAGGAGAGCUCUCUCACUUCUCUAAAAAUGUAACUGAAGGAGAGAAGGGGGCUUGGGUUACACAACGCACGCACGCACGCAUAUUUGCAUUCUUUUCGCGUAACCGACCGCGUGACUUGAAACUUGCGACGUAGCGUGCUGCUAAGUCAAGUUGAUAUAACCUUUUUGCCGUUUGCGUGUAAUCUUUUGACAACGGUCAUUGGAGGUGAUAAGCACGCAGUCAAUACCUUAAUCCUGAGUUAAUAGGGCGGUUACUACUGCCAAUUAGUGCAGCAAUUUUGUAGGGGAAACGGUUAGCAGAGGGCUACCGUCUUCUCUAUAAGAAGUUUUGGAGACGUCCAGGAACACACAUGUACAUGUGAGAGACCCACGGAUUCCUUCCCUUCUCCCUUUUCCAUCUGGUGAAGUGUGCUAUGGUACUGAGCUGCUGGAUCUCGCUGGCUCUUCUCCUUGGCGUGCACCGAGGAGGAGGAUGAGCGGUAUCUCUGAGCUAUUGCCGUCAGGAAGCCUGCACGAGGGACAACAAUAAAGUUUUUAGGUAGCGCCUGCCUAAUCUUCGAUCUGCACUGCAACGCGUAACCCUGCAGCAACUCUACACGAGGACGGAGCACUAAUCUGUAAGUCCUAGAUUGGUUUCUUACAGAGUUGUAGGUUACACAAGAUCUAGAAUGGUUACAUACCAAUUAUUAUGGGUUACAUGAUGUUUUGUACGGUUUCGUCUAUUUUGCAUAUGUUAUUUUUACAUACCGUUUACAUGCAUAUGUUAAUGGUUACACCUAGCUAUUUGAAUCUAGAAUUGGGUUACAUAGCAGUAGCAAUGAGUUACGUAAUAUGCCUCACGUUUAUAUCUGGUAGAAUUUAACACGUAUCUCCAACAUAUUUUGAGGCAGUAUAAAUUUCAAUUCCUUUUGCUGCUCUGUUAAAUCCCGUCUUUCGUUGUGGCCCAACACUCUAGUAUGCAUGUAGCACCAAGCUUGUUUGAGCCGCUUUGUGCUUUGAUUUUGCUGCGUAGGGGAAUCUGUAUCAGGUUGGAUUGUUUCUUUGUCUUGCGAUGUAUAGCUUCAUAUCUUCUAGAGGUUAGACAGCAAAACCCGCAUUCUCUUAAGGCAACAACCCGAAGAAUCUGCAGCGCCUCUGAUAUAUCACUGCUGCAGAAACGAUCUUUAGUACUGAUCUCCAACCCUCUUUAGUAUCGGUUGGGCAACCAGUACCACUAUGUCGGUACUAAAGGGAGUUCUCUAGAAUCGGAUCAAAUAACCGGUACUAAAAGGGCUCCUUUACUACCGGUUGGUAACAACAAUAGGUAGUGACUUUUUUGCACCCAAAAAAUUAAAGAAUAACAGCCGGGAGGCUCGCACACACACGCAUCAUGAGUAAUAUGCGCGUGCAUGGUUUGUGGGAUUUCAACCCACGACCAAGCUAUAAGAACGUAGUUACAACAAAUCAAACACUUAGACAUUUUAGAGCAUCCCAAAUAACUACAAAUUCUAUAGUUUACCAUAUACCAUAAAAUAUUAGUUAAAAUAAGAGCAUACACAUGUCGGAAGAGUCCCAAUGCACCGGUUGAGGAUCAGACCAGGCACUUUGAAUGCACAUGCCAUAAGAUAAUUCUGCAGGACAAUGAUUGCAAUAAUGGACCAUCGAGAAGAUAGGGGCGAUGGGGUUGCCUCAUCAAUUAUCACUUGGCGCAACAAGACCAGCAAAGUCUUUAUCGACGGGGGUGGAUCAAGGGGUGGGGCAGGCAGAGCUCCAGUCCUCCUACCGCCGCUCGAACAAUGGAGCCCCCUUAGCCCCUCCAUAAAUUUUUAGGUAGAAGAAAAAAGAAGAGAAGGGAAGCAAGGGGAAGAAGAGGGAGCCCCUGCUAAGUAGGUCGCCAUCGUGCUUCCCAACGCAUGAUCGCCGCACCGCAUCCAUUCCUCUACAAGCCUUCAGCGUCUCUCCCGCCGCUACCUCUGAACCAUGUGCAGCUAUAGACCCAACUAGUGUGUUGUCGCCCAUCUCAGUCCCAACAGAGCGGCGGCGGCUGCCAACACAAAUCUCCCUCCGCCUCUUCUUCACGGUCGAUGGCCGCCACAAGCAUAAACCUCGCCUUCGCAUCCAAGCAAAAGGGUCGUUGGGGUGCCUUCUUGCAUCACUUCUCAGCCUCCUUCACUUGCGGCCAGCGAAGAACUGCGCCACCACCUCGGGUGCGUGCCACCACUCCAGGGCCGCUACCCCAUGCCUGCGGCCGCCACCGGCCACCACGCGUGUGCAACCGCGUUGCACCGCUUCCCUGCUUUGUGCCACCACUACUGCUGUACCACCAGCUCCACCACCUUGGGAUGGUCGCCAGGGUGACUGAUUGGUGAUUAUUACUAAAAAUAAGUUCCUUAUUAUCUGCAACUACUAUUAACUCAGAGAUACAUGCGUCUUUUGCUUCUCCUGCUAAUAGGUCCUAAAAUAUCUAGGAUGCUUUAUAUUUCUGGACAGAGGAAGUAUUUGAAUAAAAUGAACCAAUUUAAAAAAAAUGUGUUGUACACUACUACAGAAAGACCUAUCAGUGUCAAACCCAAAAAUGUCGUCACCGCCAGUUUUAGGCAUCGUUGGUGAAAGGUUGGCGGUGAUGGGCAUCCCCUUCAACAACGGCACUGGAGCCGACGGUGAUUGACAUUAGAAAACAAAAAAGGGAACCCCACCUAGCCACCCCUGCAACCCAGCCGGCCGUGCCUCCCCUCAUGCCCACCACCUCGCCUCCCCCGUGACCCCCCGCCGGCGCCCUUGUGCCUAGCCCCCUCGCCUGCCCGGCCGGCCACCCUCGUCAUGAGAGAGAGAGGUGCAUGUUGUAUAAUUGCGUGAAUUUUUGAAUGUUUAAUUUUAUGUAAGUUCCAUGUAAUAAAUUGUACAAGUUUUAUUGUAUAUAUGAAUUCCAUAUAUAUGUAUUUAUAAUUUAAUGUAUGGUUUCAUGUGUAUAUUUCAAUCAUGUGUAUAAUUAGUAGAUUGCCGAUUUUCUUUUUCUACUAGACAAGGGUUGAUGUAUAAUUACGUGUAUAUGUUUAUUGUAUGGGCAAUUAGGACAAGUUUUGUAUAAAUUUCUUUUAUUUCAUGGUUGUUGUAUGGUUUCAUGUAUAUACAUUUAUUGUACUACUUGAGACAAUUUUAAUUUAAUAUUUCUAUGAUUACAUGUGUGUAUAACUAAUUGUAUUAUUAGUUAAGAUGGGAGCCAAAGAGGAUGAAAGGUAUAUAAUAGAGUAGAUUAUUGCUGGCGGUAGUGGCUCAAACGUUGCAAGAACCUACACCGAGGGUGAGGGUAGCUAGGUGGACAUGUACCUCAACAUGUCCAGUGAUGGCAAUGACGAUGAGGAGCACGAGCAUGACGUCUAUGAUAAUGCGGAACAAGACAUUGCAGAAUUGGAAGGUUCUAAUGAGGUGUGCUUCAUGUUGACGAUCUAGUUGGCUUUUUUUCUUUGGUCACACCUUAGUUACCAUAGAACUUCGUCUCGGGAGAAGAUUGGUGGUGCUAUGGUGAUUGGAAUUUUAUUGCCUCCAAAUUUGAUUUCCAUCGAAUCAUAUCCCUUGUAUUUAUCUUCUUUUUAUUUGUGAGAGCAUCUUCUUUAUGCUUGCAAAACAAUUCAAGUGCACAUACUACCCCUAGGGUGAUGAUUGGGAGUAGAAACAAUUGCCAACAAAACAACACCACAUCCUAAGAUUCUUAACUUGUGGCAUAAUUAAUCUAGUGAAAAGAAAGAUAAAAACCUAAUGGGUGUACGUGAGUGCAAUGUGUAUAUGCAUAUGAGUGGAAGGCAUAUAAGCAAAGACAAUAUUUACACAUAGUUCUAAACACCAUGUUUACAGCUAGGUUGCUGAAUUUCUCCAUAGCUAUAGAGAUUAAUUAACCAAGGUCAAAACACGAUGUCUAUCCCAAGAUCAGUAAUUCUUUAUAGCACAAGAAAAAUAAAGCGCAUUGCAAAGUUUAUAAACCAACCAAUACAGCAUGAAAACAAGAUGAAUAGCUAGCAAGGUUUAUUAAAUUGAAUGAUGACGGUCUGCAAGCAAGUUUGAACACCAUCUUUACACAAGAUUGCAAAUGGAAAAUGCCCAUAUGAAGCACUAACAUGGAUAUGAAAUCAUUCAUCAUAAAGCGUAAAGAACAACCAAGCCAACCAUAUGCAAAGCAUGAAUGGAAUGCAAUGAAGGUGCAAGAGAACAUUUUUGGAUGAACACAUUAUGAUGAUGGCAAAAUGCAAUGCGUGCAGAAAUAAUAAAUAUGAACAUGAAUAUGAUGAUCAGGGGCGGACCCACUAUUGUGGCCUGGGUAUUCCUGGGCAUACCCAAUAUUUUUGGGAAAAUGUUUAGUAGUUUUUAAUGGCAUAUACAUGUAUAAUAUAGUUUAGGUGUUAAAAUUGAUAUUCACAGCUAUUUUGGGCUCCAAUUCGCGUCCAAACCAACCUAGCCCACAGACCACACCCGGCCGGCCAGCCCAUCGGCCCAUCUAGUCACUGAUCCUUCCACCACCACACUCAGCCCAUCAGUCGGUCAGGUCCCGAGCUCCUGCCUGACCUAGUCUGCUACCGCCGCCGGGCGCCAAGCACAGCCGUACGCAUUGCACCGCCCCCGUCCACCCACGUCCGUUGGGGGGCCAAGCCGCGCCCCCCAGCCCCCGCGGUGAGAUCUCGACGCCCGCUGCCCCCAGACCCCAUUAGGCCUCCAUCGGCAAGUCCACCCACAGUCCCACGGGACGGGGCAGCCUUUUGGCUUUGGGCGCUCGGGGCGCGCCAAUGCCAGCGCAGCCCCAGCAGGCGACUGCCCCCCCCCCCCGCAUCAGGCCUCAGCCCCUCCCCAGCUCCCCCUCCCCCCUCCACCAGGACUGCUUGUUGGCCCCCACCGCGAGGUAAUCGAAAUGGACUGCUCAAUCACUCAAUCUGUUGACAUGAUGCACACGGNNNNNNNNNNNNNNNNNNNNNNNNNNNNNNNNNNNNNNNNNNNNNNNNNNNNNNNNNNNNNNNNNNNNNNNNNNNNNNNNNNNNNNNNNNNNNNNNNNNNNNNNNNNNNNNNNNNNNNNNNNNNNNNNNNNNNNNNNNNNNNNNNNNNNNNNNNNNNNNNNNNNNNNNNNNNNNNNNNNNNNNNNNNNNNNNNNNNNNNNNNNAUUUUUUUGCAAUGAGCAUACCCUACUCUGAAAUCCUGGGUCUGCCACUGAUGAUGAUGGUCUAAACAUAAAACAAGCCAAGAUUAAUUAGCCACAACUGAAAUUAAGCAAAGGUUAAUGUCAUUGACCCUAGCUCUAUCCUAGCUUUUACAAAAGUCCCAGCACAUAUAGUGGUUGGGCCCACUCUCUCUGCUUCCCUCUCUGCUGCAUGCAUGCACACGAGCAACGGGAGGCCCCACAAAGCCCAGAAGGGUUCGGCUGAACCCGGCCGAUCCAAUCUGAGCACCACUCCCUCCCAGCCUUCGCGCAGAUGCUCCUCCAACAUUCCUUGACCCCUCCCUCAGCGUCCCAUUGGGUUUAACAUUGCAGGAGAGGAGUCCCUUUUUUAAAAUCUCAACCACCUCCUCUCCUCAUUCACUCCACUCUCAUCUCCAUCAAACUCACCAAGAUCCACAUCGGAAAUCCCUGCUUACCACCAUGGCUGGCAAAGCCCUCGUCCCUUUCACCAACUUGGGCUUAACCAUUGAUCUCGAUGGGGAAAUCACUCCGGAAAUAGGGCAGUGACCCAGAGCAAAGGUGAUGCCAGAGUGUAGAUAGCAGUUAGCAUGCCAAAUUGUGAACCGCAAGCGCUCGGAUUAGUUGUUUUUUUUCCCUUAGAGAUUCCCCCAAGGUUUAUCAAUCCAUGGAACAAGGGAUUUGCACAUUUCACUAAGCAUUAAUCAAUGUAAUUGAAAGCUUUUUGAAUAAGAUAUGAUUAUGCUAACAAAGGAACUAAGCAAUCUAGAUUAAGAUGGAUAGAGAGUAAAGGUUGUGAACAAGAUAGAUUAAACGCUUAUAGAUGCAAUCACCAUGCAUGAAUGAAUUAGAUCUAGGUGUUAUUGUGAGUGGUUGUGAACCAUACCCCAACACUUUCCCACCCGCAACAUUGUCACUACAUGUGGGUACUCAACUAUCGAAACAUAAGAACACAUCAAGAUGAUCAUUCUAGGUAAGCAAAUAAGCAACCCAAAGUAGCGCUGGCCAGCCUUUUCAUGAAAGAGCAUCAUCAAGAUAAGAUUGAUAACAAAAUAGAUCUCAACCAAAGGUUCAGCGAUUACAAAUCAAGAUCUCCGUAUAACCCCGAUGACAAAUAGAGGUAUUACCCCCAUGAUCUUACACAUGUUGAUGAAUUUUAGGGUAAAGGACGCCCUGUAGAUCAACUGGACCAAAGAUGAUGAUGAACAGGGGCAGGGAAGGCCCAGGCUGAUCAGCCUGGGCACUUUUGAGCCGAUCAGCUUAGGGAGUUUCCUCCUCCCCUGGUGCUCCUCUUCGCGUGGCCUCCUCUGGAUCCAAUCUUCUCUUCAUUUCUCCUACUUGUGGUGGCAAUGGAUGGUGUUUGCAUGGUGAUUUCCUCUUCUCCCCAACUCUCCCUCCUUGAAGUCCAUGAGGGGGUAUUAAUAGUCUCCAAUAUGCGGCAGCUCUGGGUCAAUGUCGGUGAAAAAACCCUAGAGAUCAUCGUACACUUCACGCUGAGGAAACAAGAGGUCGACCGAGCCCUGGGAUAGACCAAGAGGAUCAGCCUAGAGGGUCCCAGGCCAAUCGGUCUAGGCCCUUCCUAGCCCUUCUAGUCCUCUCCUUCCUCGUGCUGGCUUUUCUCGAUGACCCUUGUCCAAAUAUCCAUUAAGCUCUAUAUACAUACCCCCUUGAUUAUGUCGUAUUUCCUGUCAAAAUACAAUGCUCCAAAAUACAACACAUAUGCAAUAAUAGGGUUAUUUCAUGUGCCAAUUGGUGCGUUAGUAUACGAAUAAGCAUGAAAAUACUGGUUAAAUGACACUAAAAGUGUGUCAAUAACGAGCACCAACAAUCCCCCCACGCUUAGAUCUUGCUCGUCCUCGAGCAAGUCUAGCGACUAAAAGAUCUUGAAUUAAACAUGAGCAAGCGAGUCAAGUACCUAGCCUUGAAACAAAAGAUUAGAGGAGCAGCAAAGAUAAUCAAAGUCUGGGUGUUCAAAGAUUUAUCUAAGCAAAGAUUCCCCUACAACUAUUAUUCAGAACCAAGUAACUUCAAGAAUCAACUACACUUAUUUUCUGGCUUUUUUCAGAGGGUUUUUCUUUCAUCACAAAACAAUCUCCCUGCAACAAAAUUGAAAAAAGAAUUAUUUUCCAGGUGCUUACAUGUCGUUUAAAUGAAUGUUCGCUAUCCUACUUAUUUGCAAGCUCUCAUCUCUCAAAAUUCAUUCAAUUAUAUGGUGGAGCUUGGGUAAGGUUAGCUAGAAUCAACACGUAUAUUAUUGAAUUAAGAAAACCCUCUAACGGUAGCCUACCUUUCGAGCCAUUGAUCAUAAGAAUAUCCACAUAAUGUGAAGUUUUCAAGGAUGAGAAUAGAAUGGUGGACAUGUGCAAAGGCAAAGAAAUAUAGUGACUCUGAGGCACAAGCAAUGUCCUCGUCGUUGGAUUGCAUAUGGUUGGAAUGAAAAUCUGUUCCUUAAACAAGUCCAUCUUUUCUUUGCACCACUCUUGAUCUUCAUGACAGUAAAAACUCCUCCUUUAUUUCUUUCUCUCUUUUCCUAUUAUUUCUUUUUAUUUGUCUCAAUACUUUUCUUUCUUUAUUUCUUUAUUUUAAUCUCUUCUCCGAACCUCUUCUGAACACCACACAAUAAAAAUCAGUUUUAGAUCCUUCUAGAGACCUUCCAGGAAUUUGCUACAUGAAAACCGAGGCAAGGAGACCCCAGGCCGAUUGGCCUGGCCACUCCUUUGCUCUCCUCUAGCUCUUCUUUCUUGUGAAGCUUCCUUAUCUUGUAUCUUUCCAAAAAUUUCAUAAAGCUCAACUAGAAACGGAACACAUCUUCAUAUAAUGAGUUGUGUUCAAGGAAUUGGUAAUAAAAUUGAGAAAUUUGUGGUUCGGGUUUACGAAUUCAGUACAAAAAUAUGAUUAUUCCAAUGAAGAACUCUCAUUACUGAAUAUUGACGAGGCAAGCAUUCAAAGAUGGUAAAAAGGAUAUGAUCAAUUCUCAGAAUUAAAGCAAACCAAGAGAGAGCGAUCCUAAUUCAAUUCAAAGUGUCAAAUGUUGCUUAUGGUGGUAUGAAUAAAUAUUUUUAGGCAUUGGGUAGGAUAAAUAAAAACUCUCAACCUGGUUAAAAGAUAUUGAUCAAUCUUGUUUUUGCAGAGGUUUUAAAUAAAAAAUAAAAUUUUAAAUCACCUCCAAUUCAAAGCCUUACUCAUAAAUCAUAAUCAAAACUGAAGCACUUGAUCAUCAUAAAGCAUGGGUAUUGCAUAAACAAAUCGAUUACUAAAACUCCACAACUACGAUUUAGAAUUCAAGACAAUGCUCAUAAUCUAAAGUUGCAAAGACAAAAUAAAAGACAAGCAAGCCAAGGUAGACACUAAAAACACUUGCACGAUCCUUGAAUUUUAUUCAUGCUUCUUCUCACAAAGACGCUAAAGUAGCCAUGUAGGCCUAAGUCUUCCCAAAAGCUUAAGAAGACUACUACUUUAUCUACUUUUGGUUCUAAUAAAAACACUAAUCUAGACUCUCACAUGAUUCGACUCGACCAAACUAGAUCCAAAAACUCAUACGAGCGACAAUCUCCCCCCCCCCCUCUCAAAUCUACGACCUCCUCGUGGUAACCAUAUGGAGUACAAGGAAAAGACGCUUGUAAACGCACUAAUGACGCUACCCGGACUACUUGCACACGGAAUGGUUGCUGUUUCCUUUGCUUUGUUCUUCGUCAUGUUGCUGCACAUCCCGAAGAGCUUCCUCACGUUCCUCUGCAAGAACUUGAACUUGAACUUGUCCUCCUGACGGCAAUCAUUAUCUUCUGCCUUUUGAUCCAGAGCUUGUAAGGCUUGCAUGAUGUCAUUGAACGCAUCGAAGAGGUAGUGGAUGUUCUUCCUGCAAGCUGUGGAACAUGUACGAUCAUGCUCCUACGAUUCUGGCCCGUCGUCUUCUAGAUCCUCCUCUUUGCCCUUGUCUUGACGGUGGCCAUCUUGCUCCUUGCUCGUCUUCUUGCCUUCAGCCCGAUCCCAGUACGUGUUGUCAUCUUCUUCAUCAUCACGGCCUGCAGCACCCUAUGAUCCAUUGUCUAUCUUGUAUGAAAGAAUCAGAAGCUUGUUCUCCUCAGGGUGUCUUGCGCGGUGCAGCGUUUGCAAGUGCAAGGCUUGCUAGUUCUUUUUACACAUUGUAAUGUUCAUUGCAUGCUCUAAUUGUUCUACAUUUGUAAUUUCUUGGUGAAGUUUGGUUACUGAUCCACUGUUUGAUUAACUCUUGGGCCCAAACACUGUACUACUUCUGAUUAGAUAUCUGUAUCUUAACUUUGACCAAAAAAAAUAUCCGGCAGUUUUUGCCAUUAAAGUUUCAUAAAUCAUCUUGCAAAAAUCGUACUAUACAACAAGGGACGGUUUAUUAUAAAAUAUACGUUCCCCUUAUCACAUGCCACUUCCACUCAAAAGGCAACGAAUCAGUUUUCAAUCCUGAGUGAGCAAUUUGCUUUUAUUACCGAUGCCUCCUAUUCCCUUGUGCACCAAGUUCAUUUUGGAUAGGACUGCAAAAAGCGACUAACCAGCUCGGAUUCUCCACCUGCAAAACCGCAUCUGCAGCAACCAACCCCACGCGGUGGAAAAAAAAACAAAACCCAGAAACCGGACGGGGGUGGAUGUGGGGCUCGGAGCCCAAGCAAAAAAAGGAUCGGGAGCGCCGGAGCAGGCCAUCACCGGAUGUUAGAGAUAGAAAAUGGUUGAAGUUGGAGUGGAAAUCAAACAAGCCUUGGAGCAAAGGAAAAAAAAGAUCAAACCACUCAAGCAUUCAUUUGAUUUAGAAAAGAGAACAUUUGUUAAGGUGGGGAGUUGAAAUCAUCUUUUAAUUAGUUCCACGUAUCUGGUAUCAUUACAGUUGGUUGACUUGUGUAAGUAUAUAAGUAGCUCUGCCGAAGCCUUUGCUCCUAUAAUUUAGUAACUAGUACAAAUGGAUCAUUAGGAAAAUCAAGUUGCAAUCAUUUCUCAGCCAACCAAACCUAUCUAAAUCAAAUUAUUGUCCAUGCCCGGCAUGCACAGGUGCCUGCCAUGCAUGCAUUGUUGCUCCAUUGUAAUAACCAUUAUUGUCCAUUGAUGUUCCAGCGCAUGUGUGCACUGUGCAGACACCAAGCAUCGAGAUUAUGUACUAGUAAGGUACCAAGAACACGUGAAGCACACGGGGGAGGCUGCUCCACUCGGCAUGCACAGGUGGGGCACGGCACCACUACUCGUCUCCUUCAGGCAGAGGACAAGUGAUGUACGCUGAUCAACCACUAGUAGAAAAACGACUUUCCAUCCACCCCCUUUUGUCCCGGUUUAAAGUUGGCCCGGGAUAAAAGGUUCACCAACCGGGACUAAAACUCGGUCACUGGUGGGGGGCUCACCAACCGGGACCUUUUAUCCCGGUUGCAAAGGCUAGUGGGAAAAAAAGACUCUGAGAGGCCUUUUAUCCCGGUUUGAAACACCAACCGGGAUAAAAGGUGGUCUUUUAUCCCGGUUGGUGUUUCCAACCGGGAUAAAAGGGUCCCCACGAGUUAAUACAAAAGGAUAGUAUCCCCUAUAUAGUCAGAUGUGGUGUGUAGGUGGGAUGGCAAGGAAUCUCCGCCCUCUCCACCUUCGGUACUCCAUGGGAAACCAUUCCUUUGGAACCAAGGAAGCUUGAACAGUAUAACGAAUAAAGUUUCAUAUAUCCAUUUGAUUUCACAUGAAAUAAAAUAUCCUGUCAGAACCAAUGGUUUCACUGAAGCUCCAGGCAGCGAGCGAAGGGGUGAGAGAGGAUAACGCUUACUGUGUGUUACCAUCACGUGCACCAUGGAUGACCAACGCGCAGCCGAGAUGAAACGGCGGACCUAAACAGGUCCUCGCUAUUUUUGCAGGUUCUCGACCAGGCCAGUUCUUUGGGCCAACCUAUAAUUCACGAGUUAAACAUACGGUGGCUGUAGAAAUGUUCUAUUCUUUUCAACAAUACCAGCUGGUUCCUCCGUUUUUAUUCCACCAAUACAAGCACCACCUUGUAACAUUUCCUAUGUUUUUUUUCCUUUCGUCUGUUUUCUCACUACAUGCGUUGCUCUUUCAUGCAUUUUUUUCCAUUCCUGUAUUCCAAAUAGGUCUACAUGAACACAAAAUGAACUAGGGGACAGAAAAAGCCAGUGAAGUUAGUUUUGAGCUUCACCAGCUACUUGCUACAUAAAGUGUGCUAUAGUCGCAGAAAAGCUAAGCUGGAUCAGACGUGGCCGAAACCAUGCCAAAGAGCUAGGUCCCUAGCUGAUGGCAACACAUCAGAUGACUAGCCUGCUUUUUUGUAAUAAUGAUAUUGAGCAAUACACUGCAUGGCUAACCUGCUUUACAAUAAUUGUCAUUUUAUAAUAUUGGUCAUCACGAGAGAUGCACAUUGCAUACACCGGUCCAUCCCUAUAAAUAGCCAAGCCUUUCAGCCAUCUUGGGCACCUCCUCUCAGGGCCUCGUCUCACCAUUAGACAUCUCGUUCCCAGUUAUAAUUUGCGAGGUUAGAUCAGGCUGCGCCAUGGCGUCCGCAGCUGCUGUCAAGAUCGCCGCCAUCUUCAUGCUGGUGCUGACCAUGGGCCACCUGAUGGCCGAAGCAUCACCGCAGCCUCGGCGUCUGCUUGCAGAAACGGAGCAUGCUGCGGUGUCCGGGAAUCCUGGCCUCCCAGGUGAUGCUAGCGUCAUGCAGGUCCUCGAACCCGCCCUAGUUUCUCCUCUUGCCUGCAAGCCAGAGUGCACAGUCCCUUGGCCUCCUUUUGUAUGUAUCUGCUAGAUCCUCUUCCUGGAUCAACGGAACUUCAGGGAAAUGGCUGUGACGUCGGCCAAAGAAUAAAUUGGCUGAACAUAAUAUACCCCGGGUAGUGUAGCUUGGGCUUUUGUUGAGCGUCUGGUACUAGUUGUAUUUUGUUUGCUCAUGUGGCUUUGUUUCUGGUUGCAUAUUGUCUUUCCUAUCGCUCUCUGUUGCAGCUAUGGUUUCUGCCAGGUGUGUGUCAAUGCGGUUUGUAAGCGGUGCUUGUUCCUACCUUCUGUUUUCAAUAAAAGAAGUCGGAGUCUCCCUCCGACUCUUGUUAUCAGUCAAGAAAAAUGAGUUGUAUCAUAUAUAUCUGCGUCUUUUUUCUAUGUAUCUCUGGGCUGCUUCAGCUGGAAGUUUAUCGUAAGUACGUGUAUCAGGAUGAUCGUUUGAAUUAAAACGAAAUGAUAAUGUGUGGCUGCUAGAAAUGGAAUGAGCAUCUUACUAUAUUACUAAUUGGAAGCCUCCACGUGAAGCCACCUAGAAAUUCUAGGUGGAUGUUUUAAAAAAAAGAAAACCAAUAGAAGCCUCCACCACCUAGGAAUCCUAGAUGGACGCUCUAAAAAGAGAGAAAUCCUAGAAAUUCUAAAAAAAGAAAAAAAAUAAUAACAAUAAGAUUUUUUUUGCAGUCAGUUACAUAUAUUUUUUUGAGACACCGUGCUGCUAGCUCUUGCCAUUGCGACCAAUAAAGCAAGCAGAUAGUAAGAUGACAUGCGUGUGGAUUGAUUAAAACAGAUUCUGUUAGUUGAUUCUAAAUCAUAUGUAUCCUAAAAGGAACUAGAUAUGUGCGUGCAUGGUCCCUAGCGAUGACAUGUAGACAUGUAUUGCAAUUUCUUUUUUAAAAAAUAUGUCUAUCUCUAAACCAACAAACAGAAAAAAUAUCAAUCUAAAUCUAAAUCUCUUCCGUUCUCACACGCCUAUUAAAGAGAACACAACCAAUCCCAUCCAUGUUCCAUAGAAUCCAUCUAAAAGCUUGCUCACUGCGGACGGCAAAUCAACGAAAGAUCAUCCUCUCCAAAUAGCUAGACGGCAUCACCAUCUUUAUCUCACCAACCUACAGAGCUACAACGAUGUUGUAGAGAUCAACUAGGUAACCUACCAAUCACCCUCCCCUUUUCUAUAUGCUCUAAAGAACACGUGGAGUAAUUAUAGGCCUAUAGGAGCCGACUAACCUAGAUUAAUAUGAAAAAUAUUCCAAUAUUAAAAGCAAGCAGAUAGUAAUACUUGCCUUUGAGCAUUUUUCAAGAACUGUUAUUCCUAUUGAAUGUUCAAGUGCUACGGCCAGGCAUCGAAUGUCUGCACGGAACCUUCCUAUUGAAUGGUUACUCUAGAGAUCAACGCACCGCGAGACAUUGUUUUUGGAAUUUGUUUGAUUCCCCUUCUACAAUUAGAUUAAUUUUUCAUGGUAUAUAUUACUACUAUUAAAUUAUUUGUUUAUUAUCUGGCCUGCUGCAUGUGUGGUAUAGAUGACUUGCUUCUCACCAUUGUUCUCAAACUGUUAUUCCUAUCCAAUCUUUCUAUCGAAAUAUAUUUUAAUUACUUGAUUGUUGUUUGUGUACCAUAACUUCUGUAUAGAAAAAUUCCAUGUUUGUAGAUAAUGUCUUUUGUAUAGAAAAAUAGCCCAAUUAGGUCCAUCACCAUCUUUUGCUUAUGUAGUUGAACAAGUUGCAAUGCUGAACAAAACUUUAAGUGAAAUUAGACUAGGAAAAGGAAUUGUGGAACAUUAAGGCAAGGGUAACCAGAUUGUGGAAUGCAACCUUACUCAGUAGUGGCGAACAAUUAAGUCUUGACAUGAUCCUUAUUGAUCAAGAGGUAUGAUAGAUGUUCACUUUGAUUGCAUUUUUGGUAUAAUUUUUGGCUUACAAAUUAUUAAUGAUGAUGCAAAAUUAGGGAACCAUGAUCCACGGUGUUAUCAAUAAGCCCUAUAUGGAAAAGUUCAAACCAUUGAUUGAAGAAGGCAAUGUGUACAUAAUUGCAAAUGUCAGAAUCACACCAGAACCACAGAAGUAUCGGCCAGUGGGAAAUGACAGGAUAGUCAACUUCUUACCCACAACUGCACUAAAAAAGGUCAAAGAUACUGAAGACAUUCCAAAGUAUAGUUUUAACUUCAUGAGCACGGAUAUGCUUUCAGCAAGAAUAAAUGUGGACAUGUACCUAUCAGGUAAAACAUUACUGGUUUUUCAAUUUUUACACUUCCACUCAUUCAAUGACCAUCUAAUAAUAAUUCAGAUUUAUGUUUCAUAGAUGUUAUAGGUAUCUCAGCUCACAUUGGACCGAUAGAAGAAACAAGGACAAACUUCGGAUUUACCAAAAUCCGUGAUAUUGUGCUCCUGAUCGAGUAAUUCUCAUUUCUUUUGUAGAGAACAACUAUGAAACUUUCAACAUUUACAUGUAUGGUAUAGAACUUCUGUUGAACUAAAAGAUAUCUUCUACAGUGCCCCUACAAAUAAUUAAUUUCGCAGUUAGGUAUUUAAAAUAUUAAUUAUUCACUUUUAAUUUUGUGGCCAUGAAGUUAAAGUUAGAUUUUGGGGAGACAAAGUUGAGGAAGUUGAUGAUAAGACAAAAUCCCAUGUCAUUGCAAUAACAUCUACAACUGUGAGGAAAUUUGGCAGUAAGUCUUCAUUCAAUAUGAGUUAUUCAAUAUUAGUCAUUCAACAAACUAACCUCCUAGGAAAAAUAAAUAAUUGAUAUUUUAUCAGGGUAUUCUCUAUCGUCAACCAAUGCAACAAAAGUUUAUGUAGAUCUACCUAUUCCUGAAACUAAGGAUGCGCAUGAUAGGUGAGAAAAAUUAGAUAUUGUUUUUCUAUUUUAAUCUAUGUAGCAUGCACUCUAACAUGAUACAUUCUUUCGUAUGAUGAAAAAAUGUUAGUUCAAUUGAUAAUAUUGUCAAAGAGAUUCAUUAUUGAGGACCAUCUAAAAGGGAUAUUGGAAGACCAAAUGCAGUACAAUAGAAGAACUUUAGAAGAAUUAAAUUUGAUAUUAUUUGAAACAUCAAAUCAGGUAUGGAUUAGUAUGUUCAUUGUACACUAUACUAUUUAGAGACAUACAUACAUAAUGAUGGUAUUGUUCCUACUUUCAGGAUGAGGUAUUUACGAUGAGGUAUUUACUAUUGAAGCAACAAUAAAUGAAAUUAAUGCAACAUAUGGUUGGUACUACAUCUCAUGUAGUAGAGGCGAUUGUAAGAAGCAACUUGAAAAGAAGUUUCAUCACUACUAUUGCAAUAAAUGUGACAAGAGAGCCGAACCUAAAGCAUGGUAAAUUAUUUAGUAGUUUACAAUCUUAUUAUAAUACUUCUAUUUCUAAUUGGAGAAUAAUAUUUGCAAAUUCAAAAUUAAGCUUCAAAUAAGUGAUCCAACAACAAGUGCAACUUCUGUACUUUUGACAAGGAAGCAGAAAUGAUAAUUAAUGAAUGAGCAGAUUCGAUGAUCACCUCCGUUGAUCAUGAUAAUAAGUAGCUACCAAAAUCAACUAUGCAAAAAGUAGGAACAGAUCUUAAUCGGCUAUGCAAAAAGUAGUAAAUUGAGCAAUAAGAUAUAAAAAAGCUGACAGUCCUAAUUCCAAGCUGUAUAACUGGUGAUAAAACUAGAACAACAUGCAAAACCUAGAAUUCUAGUGAUUAUCGAUAACUGGUGAAUAAAUCUAAACAAAACGACAGCAAUGCGCCCGAAGUUAAAGCUUAGAUAUUACUUGAUAAGCGGAACUUAUAGAAUCGGCCGGAGAUCAAGUUGAUGCAGCCCCGCCAACCCGUACGAACUCGUGAAAAGAAGAAAAGUAUUGGCGAAGUCGCCUGCUCGAAAGUAAAGUGCGAGGAAAUAGUAGUUUGUUGUAUUGAUUUGAUGAUGAUUACAGAUCUAUGAAAGCGGCUAUUUAUAGCCAGUUACAACCAAUCUCUUAACUGACUAGGACUCUAUCUCUAAUUUUAAACGAAAACGAAUAUUUACAAGCAUAAUUCGUAUCGGAGUUGGUCAUCGUGUUCCCAUGGGCCGAUCUCCUUUUUAUCUUCAUAGCUCACUUUAGGCCCAUAUUGGCCCAACUGCUCCAACCUCCCAAUCGGCCGAUUUCCACCAACUCCAUCCGCCGAAAUACUACAGCACCAAUCGGCCGAUCCUCAACUGUAGCACCAAUCGGCCGAUUCCCAAUCGUGACCUCCGUGUUUCGCCGCAUCAGCUGAUUCCUUCCCUUCUUGACGCCGAUUUCAUACGCGUCAAAAUCUGGCAUCAACACAUGCCCCAAGUUUCGGAGUAAAACAUAAUCUUUACUUCAAAAUUCCUUUCAACUUCCCUUCCGAAACAAACGCAUUGAAAAUACCCUUCCGUUUCGCGGUCUUCUGCCUGAUGAUUGCAAUCUUUUCGAAACGGGCGCCCACGACAACCACUCCUCCUGAAAAAAUCGAACCGCCGGCGUGGUAAAAAUUCCGCUUUUACCCUUUCUCAGACCGCCCUUAGAUAUCAGUACGUCCCGUACUUCUUCUUCACGAGCCCACGUCUUCCUUCUUUGGCGCACUGACCUCCUUCUUCUUCCGGCGUCUCUUUAGCCUCUAACCUCUCACUCCGGCGAGUUCUUCCAUCUACAUUCCACCCCACCUUCCCGAUGGCAACACCUUCAGGCACUCCACCAACAUCCGAGGUCCCGGAGACGGCUCCAUCAGCAGCGGCUCCAACAGCAAUGGUGGCAGCUCCAUUGGCAGGAGCAGGAGCUCCAUCGGGCGGGAGCGGGAGCUUCAUCAACGACCACAAUGAGCUUCAUACCAGAGGUUUCUACCAAAACUUUCCUUUCCGCUCCUCUAUGUCGAUGCAUUUACCUUAGAUCAUUUCUUACUGCCCCUUCCAUUCUUUACCUGUUUAGGCAGUUAGGCACCACAUUACUAUUCGCCUCACCGAAACUCCCGGCCUUAUCUAUUUUGGUCCCAUGGGAAACCCAGAUCCAACCGACCUAAUCAAUUUGGAAACCCAUAGGAUCCCUUUCAAGCAAUCAACCAUGGACCUAGAUCACUGGUCAGGUACCUUCAGAUCAUGGCCGAAUGAAACCCCCGGCUGGAGGGAAUGGUACAAAUGGAUAGCCGCCUCAAAAAGAGUUCAAUGGGACGAGCACAAAAUCGGCCAGUGCAUCGACUUAUCUUUGUCCCAAAUGGAAAGGAAUGAGCCUUUAGUAAUAGCAGCCUCCUACUUUUGGUCCGAUGCCCUAAACGCAUUCCCCUUAGGACACGGAGCUAUGACCGCUACCCUAGCCGAUGUGGUCAUGUUGACCGGCCUUGAUAUCUCCUCUCCCGAUACUCCUUUCCGUUACUUGGCCAAAACAUCCCAUCGGCUAGAGACGAAAGGAAUCGGCGGGUGGAAAGGAUUCAUCAAGUGCAACAGAAGGGCCGGGACAGCCCAGGAAAGAGAGCAUGCGGCCUUCUUGAUGAUGUGGCUAGAAAAACACCUUUUUUGCGGGAGGGCAGCCGGUCCAUCCACUAACACACAGGCUUUGGCCGAGGCACUAUCGAUAGGUGCCUCUGUUCCUCUUGGAAAGCACCUAUUGGGAUCGGUUUACCAUAUGCUGCAUCAGAUCGGCGUCAAGCUAUCCAAAGGAGAGCCGAUUGGAAACCCAGGUGGACCCUGGUGGUUCAUCAACUUGUGGCUUAAUCUAUAUAUGAGCAAGAUCUCCCAGCAGCGAGUGGAGUACAUGAUGUUCCCCAACAUCGAAUCGGCAGAGAAUCCCACUGUACGGUGCCGGUGUACUUCCUUCGGUGAAGCGGCAUCGGCCUUCUCCGGUUGCUCAUAUUCUGCUGCCAAGGUGGCCGAAUACUUCAGAUGCUUCUACAAUGGCUUCAGCAAAGACGCAACCAGCUUGUUCCCUUAUCAAAGGGAGGAACCACUCUUCGAGCUCCCCUCCUGUUUUGACUCGGCCACCAGCAAAUUUGAUGAGGACCUCACAGAUGAAUUGAUCAAGCCUCUCGGGGAAGGAUGCCCCCACUUAUGAGUUUUACCAUCCUUCCGUCACAGCACGGCAAUUCGGCUUGGGUCAACUGCCGAUUUAUGCAUACUUCACCGGCCGAGCAAAAUUUCGAGACGAGCUCACCAAAGGUCUCCACUACUACGAUCGGAUUCCAGACUCCAGCACCAUAGACUUGGCCAGUUGGAUAGUAGCCCCUUUCGCUGUUCAGCAGUUCAAGCUAUGGUGGGUGGAAUGGAAGCAACAUCUAUUCUGCGCCUCUACGGCGAUAUAUUGUAAUCUCCUGAAUCCCGACAACAUCGAUCCGAAUGCUGAGGUAUCGCUCUCUUUCUAGCUGAUUUUCAACUCCUUUUUUUUUAUACUGACUCUUAUUAUUAUUUCAGUCUGAGAGCCAUGCUCCCCCAAAAUGCAGUCGGAGUGGUCGGUCGAUAGAGGACCGUUAUCCAUACACAACAUUCCCCCUCAUCGGCUAUCACGCCCCCUCCGUUGAUGACAUAGCCGGCCGAGCGAAGCAAGCGCAGAAAAAGAUUAUCAAGAAGACAAGUCGCCGAGUACGCGCCCGCACAGAAUCGGCCGAUCCACCCGUGGUUGCAUCGGCAGAAAUUUCGGCUACGCCGACCCUUCCGGUCGCUGAAGAAGUUGACCUCCAAGCCGCUAAAGAGGCCGGAGCGGCUGCCGCGUCAUUGUUGGUGGAAGCUAUUCAGGUAAACUCACCAUCCGAUUUUCCUGACAGUCAUUUCAAUACUGACCUUUCCUUUAUUAGGCCGUGCAGAUUGCCUCAGCAGAUCCACAGCAAUCUGCAAUGCCCCAAGCAGAAGUUGAAAUACCAGUGCCCCUUCCCGUUGAGGUACAUGAUCUCUCAACUCACUUCUUUAAUAUUUGAAUGAUGAUCCUACCAACCUUGACGCAGGUCAUCGGCACGUUAACUAUGCUAUCCGACUAGCCAUCUGCCAAAGAAGUCCUUCAAGAGGCCGGCCCGAGCAGAACGCCGAUCGUUGUCGAAUCCUCUUCUUCCGAUGAGCCAAUGGCACCAGUCCCCGAGUCGAUAGUGGUUGUUCCACAAACGCAGAUGGAGGAGAUCCAUUUCAAAGAGGUGAGAAGUCAUUUGACUCGCAUUUACCGAUUCGUCACCACCAUCGGCUGACUCAUUUUCCUUUUAUUUAUCAUUCACAGGAAUAGGACACUCCCAAUAAUAGCCUCUUCUCAUUUGCGGUCGCGCUCUCUGAUGACGAGGAAGUUGCUUCUCGUCAAGUUACUUUGAGCUCCAUCCCCGAUGACGUCCGCGCUAAGCUUGAAAGUAUACGGUCCCUUCUUUAAGAGGACAUCAGCCGAUUGGUGGAGGACGCCUCGCCGAUUCGGCAGCUCUUUGGUGACGUCAACGGGCGAGUCCCAGAGGAAGCAGAAGAAGCCUUGGCACCGGCCGCUUAUAUCGAGUCGAUGCGGAUCCCGGUCUUCAGGGCUCUGCGUCACAUGGCCGAUCGCGCCAAGCUGGCCAAGACUCGUGAGGAAGAGGACUCGUACAAGCAACGGGCCCAGGAGGUACACCAUCGGAUUCACUUCCUCGAGAAUUCCCGACCUGGACUCGUCGGCACGAUAGAUCGCCUCAAGCACCGAAGGGCGGAACUUGCCAAGGAGAUGGAGUAGGUAACCAAAGAAAUAGCUAUUGAAGAGAAGAAGCUUCAGGAACUCCCUUCCGUUAUCGCCGAUUUAAAGCAGGAGAGGCAGCAUUUGGCCCAUGAGGCCCUUAGACUCCAUCGCCAUAUGUCAGAAGUUCCAGGGUCGGCAGAUGAUGACCAACGAGUCUUGGACUCGGCCGAUCAGAUCAGGCAUCGAGCGAUUGCGGCCAUUAACGCCCUUCUGGGUGACUUGUAAAAGUACUAGCCGUUUUGUACGAACAUUAAUGCCUUUUGACCGUCCUUCGCGGCGCUCUCCUAUUUAUUACCCUUUUUACUCUGACAGGACGCGUCUUACCAAACCUCCGCUCUUCCUCUUAUUAUAAAUACCGGCCCUGGUUUCGCUCUUGAGAAUACCUGCUCCACUCGAUUCCUUUUUCCCCCAUUACGUUUCCAUCGGAACGUUCGUAGUCAUGUCUUCUUCAUCUUCUUCUUUCUCCUCUCCUUGUAUCAAUCAGGUACGAGGUCCGUCUUCGCCCUUUUUUCAGUUUGAUCCCUUUAAAUCGUUCCAACUUUUAGGCGGCUAUGUGCUAACUUCUUCAGCCAAGGCACCUUAUCCCUGAACUCGAAUGAGCAAUCGAACUCGUGCACUCUAAUGAGUCGUUGUCGCAAGAGGACAAGGACUUGAUCAAGGAACACCGUGAAGAACUCAGAGAUCACGUUCCUGCCGACGUCUAACGGAUCUGGGACUUCAUCGACGGCAAUGAUUACGGGCGACCGCAAGUUGACAGGAGCCACCCACUUCCUCUUCCGGUUGUUCUUGAAAACGCCGCGGUAGGGACAUCGCGCCCGGUGAUGGAUCGGAGCCAUCCUCUUCCUUGCCAAGUUGAGGCGGAGGCCGCGAUGAGAGAUGUGGCAGAACGAAGCAUUCGCCUUCUAAUGGAAUUAGGUAGGAUUGAGAGGGAACUCAAGAAGAAGCGUAGUUGAGUAUUUUUUGUUCUAAGGGCGAAGUGUACUGUGUCGGUCGUGUAAUUCAUCGUUCGUACUGAAUCACAAAUCGGCCGAUUUGAACGAUUAUUUUUCUCCUUUAGGCGAUUUCUUCUCCCGUAUCGGCUGUGUGAUCGUUCAGGGAGCGAUCUUUCUGUCUUGUCAAUGCCUUGCGAUCGAUUCUUAUGUUCCGACCCAUAUACUGGGGUAAUACCUUUUCAAGUACCUCCCGUUUAAGGCCCUAGUAAAUUCUUCUCCUUCGAUCAUUUCCAGAAUGUAAGCGUUUCCCAGGGCACAUCGGCCGAUUCUAUACAGCCCUUCCCAAGUGGGAGACCAUUUACCGAAUUUAGGAUCUUUUGAUCCAAUCGGCAACACUAACUUCCAUACCAGAUCCCCUUGGGAGAACUGCUUGACUUUGACCUUCUUGUCAUACCAUCUGGCCACUUUCUUUUUGUUUUCCUUGAUACUGAUCAAGGCUCUCAAACGUUGGCCCGCCAAAUCGUCGAGUUCCCUAUUCAUGAGCGAGGAGUAAUCAUCGGCCGUCAGCUGAUCUUGAAGCGACGUGCGUCUCGACCCUGUUCUCAACUCCCAUGGCAAUACUGCCUCAUGACUGUACACCAAUUGAUAAGGAGACACCUUGGUAGCCCCAUGGCAGGCCAUCCUGUAUGCCCAUAGAGCUUCGGUUAGACAUAAGUGCCAUUUUUUGGGUUGUUCUUCGAUCUUCCUCUUGAUCAACUUGAUUAUCCCUUUAUUGGAAGAUUUGGCCUGGCCGUUAGCCUGAGGAUAGUACGGGGAGGAAUUUAGCAACUUGAUUCCCAUAUCGGCCGUGAACUCCUCGAACUCUCCCGACGUGAACAUCAUCCCUUGAUCAGUUGUGAUAGUCUGAGGGAUGCCGAAACGAUAGACAAUAUGAUCCCUCACGAAAUCGACCAUAGCGGCCGAUGUUACGGCCUUUAAUGGAACCGCCUCCACCCAUUUGGUGAAAUAAUCUGUGGCUACCAGAAUGAAUUUAUGUCCUUUACUUGACGGAGGAUAAAUUUGUCCAAUGAGGUCUAUUCCCCAACCUCUGAACGGCCACGGCUUGAUAAUUGGAUUCAUAGCCGACGCGGGCGCGCGUUGCACAUUCCCAUAUUUCUGACAAUCUUGGCAUCCUUUAUAAUACUUGAAACAGUCCUCAAGGAUUGUCGGCCAGUAAUAUCCAUUAUUCCUAAUCAUCCACUUCAUCUUAUGCGCCGAUUGGUGGGCUCCACACACCCCUUCGUGCAUUUCUCCCAUCAGGGUCUUUGCCUCCUCCGUCCCUAGGCAUUUGAGUAGAACACCAUCAAUCGUCCGGUAGAACAAAUCAUUUUCCAAUAACACAUAUUUUGUGGCCUGAAAUCGUAUUCGCCAAUCCACUUUCUUAGAUGGGUCUUUUAAAAAAUCGGCGAUCUCUUUUCGCCAGCCGUCGGCCGCGAGUUCCAGAAUCAUGGCGCCUUGAAUCGGCCGAUACCCGAACGCGUGCUGAGCCAGCCUGUUGGCUUCUUCAUUGUAAUCCCUGGGGAUAUGCUCAAUAACUGUGGAUUUGAAUUCUUUCAGAAGUUGGAGGCAAUCCUCAUAGUAAACCCUUAAUACAUCAUCUUUGCACUCGGAUCUUCCUGUCAAUUGGUCCACGAUGAGCAUGGAAUCUCCAAAAACCUCGACGGUGUCGGCCUUAAUUUCUCUUAACAAUUGUAACCCUUUCAGGACAGCCCGGUAUUCCGUCUGGUUAUUAGUGGCGGAUGCUUCUAUCGACAGAGAGAAAUCAUAGCAUGCCCCCUGAGGCGAUAUGAGAACGAUGCCGAUUCCCGAUCCGGCCCCACAUGACGAGCCAUCAAAAUAUAAGGUCCACGGUACUGGUUCCACGACAGCGAUUUUUGGUCCGCAGUGUUGGGCGACGAAAUCAGCCAUAACCUGACCUUUGAUGGCGUUUGCCGAUUCGUACCGUAGAUCAAACUCUGAUAAAGCCAAAAUCCACUUUCCGAUCCACCCUUUCAAAAUCGGCAAUGACAGCAUAUACUUUACUACGUCAUUCGUGCAUACAACCACGCAUUCUGCCGAUAACAAGUAGUGCCUGAGCUUGGUGCAUGAGAAGUAAAGACAUAAGCACAGCCGCUCUACCGGGGGAUAUCUUGAUUCGGCGUCCAAAAGUCUUCUACUAAUAUAAUAUAUUACCCGUUCCUUUCCUUCGAACUCCUAGACCAGUGCCGAUCCGAUAGCUCGCUCAUCGGCUGAUAAAUACAGCUUGAAUGGCUUACCAGUUUCUGGUGGGACCAAGUACUGCUUGAUGUCUUCUAGUGCCUUGCGUUGCUCUUCUCCCCAUACGAACUCUUGGUUGGGUUUCAAUUUCAACAACGGUGUGAAGGCCUGGAUACGUCCAGAUAGGUUGGAUAUGAACCAGGCAACGUUGGUAAAGAAAACUGCUAAGAGUAAACUAAACAACGCUACAGUAGCAACACUAGGAACGGAUCUUAAUCGGCUAUGCAAAAAGUAGUAAAUUGAGCAAUAAGAUAUAAAAAAGCCGACAGUCCUAAUUCCAAGCUGGAUAACUGGUGAUAAAACUAGAACAAUAGGCAAAACCUAGAAUUCAAGUGAUUAUCGAUAACUGGUGAAUAAAUCUAAACGAAACGACAGCAAUGCGCCCGAAGUUAAAGCUUAGAUAUUACUCGAUAUGCGGAACUUACAGAAUCAGCCGGAGAUCAAGUUGAUGCAGCCCCGCCAACCCGUACAAACUCGUGAAAAGAAGAAAAGUAUUGGCGAAGUCGCCUGCUCGAAAGUAAAGUGCGAGAAAAUAGUAGUUUGUUGUAUUGAUUUGAUGAUGAUUACAGAUCUAUGAAAGCGGCUAUUUAUAGCCUGUUACAACCAAUCUCUUAACCAACUAGGACUCUAUCUCUAAUUUUAAACAAAAAUGAAUAUUUACAAGCAUAAUUCCUAUCGGAGUUGGUCAUCGUGUUCCCAUGGGCCGAUCUCCUUUUUAUCUUCAUAGCUCACUUUAGGCCCAUAUUGGCCCAACUGCUCCAGCCUCCCAAUCGGCCGAUUUCCACCAACUCCAUCCGCCGAAAUACUGCAGCACCAAUCGGCCGAUUCCCAAUCGUGACCUCCGUGUUUCGCCGCAUCAGCUGAUUCCUUCCCUUCUUGACGCCGAUUUCAUAUGUGUCAAAAUCUGGCGUCAACACAUACAUAAUGAUGGUAUUGUUCCUACUUUCAGGAUGAGGUAUUUACUAUUGAAGCAACAAUAAAUGAAAUUAAUGCAACAUAUGGUUGGUACUACAUCUCAUGUAGUAGAGGCGAUUGUAAGAAGUAACUUGAAAAGAUGUUUGAUCACUACUAGUGCAAUAAAUGUGACAAGAGAGCCUAACCUAAAGCACGGUAAAUUAGUUAGUAGUUUACAAUCUUAUUAUAGUACUUCUAUUUCUAAUAGAGAAUAAUAUUUGCAGAUUCAAAAUUAAGCUUCAAAUAAGUGAUCCAACAACAGUGCACUUGUGUACUUUUGACAAGGAAGCAGAAAUUAUAAUUAAUGAAUGAGCAGAUUCGAUGAUCACCUCAGUUGAUGAUGAUAAUAAGUAGCUACCAAAAUCAAUUCAGAAAAUAUGUGAAGAAACAUUGAUUUUUCAAUUCAAAUUGACCGAGUACAACUUGACAAGUUUUAGACCUGAUUAUACUGUUUCAAAGAUAUUUUUUCCAAAAGAAAAGAGCAGUUCUAGAAUUGGUAUGGAAAGUGUAAAAAAGGUAACACUUUAUUCUUAAGUUUUUAUUGCACUUUUUUCUUUUGAAUCCUUAAUAUUUAAUAAUUUUACUAUAUCAAUGAAACAAAUUCUAACCUAAAUUUACAACUCAGACAAAUGCUACAUGAUAACUACCGAGAAUGAAGAGGUAGACACUGAUGACUCUUUUACCGAGAAAGUAACAUUCGUAGAAGAAGCCAUAAGGACUGGGGAAAGAUUGGCUAGAAAAGUAUACUCACUUCCAUCUAAGUAUUCAUUCUAUUUACAAUACAUGCAAAAAAAUAUUAUUCAUGCAAAAUUGCAGGUCUACUAAGCAUUAAAGGAAUAGCGGAUAGUGCAAUAUCUAAUUUGAGCAGCAUGCAUUACAAAGUGCUCUACUGCAAUUAAAUUAAAAAACAUGAUAUAUGUUGAAUUCUUAGACUUUAUUAUUAUACUUUUCUAUGUGACAAUUCACAAUUUUUUAGAAAAAAGAAGAUCCCAGAAGAAGUGACCAUGAAAAAAGGUCUAUGCCCAGCAAUAAGAAAAAAUGCAAGCAUAGAAACAAAUCCGUAGAAAACAUAGAAAAUAAGGUACUCCAUAAACAAAAGUAUUCUCUUAUAUUUUUAUUAAAUAUUUCUUUAACACUUGACAAGUUCUUUUUUAGGAUCAAUAUAUCAGCAAUUCAGAUGUCAUUGGAGAUGAAAACCUUAGUUCGUCCAAAAGGUCAAAAAAAACAUCUGAAGAAAGGUGUUUGGCUGAAAAGGAAAAGCAAGAAAGUUGUAAUGCAGACAAACACAUGCAGAAAAAUAUAAAAACAUGUAAUAGGGAGGCAGACCAAUCUUGCAAGGAGGUAUAGACGAAACGUGAUACACGACCUGCCUACCUUGUCGUGGAUACCCCAAGAAGAUGUCAUAGAGGUGCAGACCAAGCUAGCAAGGAGGUCGAAACGUGAUACACGGCCUGCCUACCUUGCCGUGGAUAUUAGCCCUAAGAUCAUUCUACUGUUCAAGGAAUAACACUCAAUGCUGCUGCUGCUGCUGACCUGGCUCCAUAAAGUUAUACUCCUCUAGGUGCUUGCACUAACUUUAUCUGAAGUAUUAUUCUCUCUGCACUGUAUAUAUGGUUAUGGAGUUUGCUGGAGUAUCCUGGGGGAAGAACCUACAUAAUACGUCUUGGAACUAACUGACAUUGAUUCACAGACAAACUCUACAAGGUGCUGUUGUUGCCAUUUUAGAGCAUCCAAAGGACUAUAAAUAACAUAGUUUACCAUAUACCAUAUACCAUAAUAUGUUAGCUAAAAUAAGAGCAUACACAUGUUGCAGGAGUCCAAAAGCACCGGUUGAGGACCAGGUACAUUGAAUUACUAGAAAAAGACAGGGGACAAGGUUUAGGUAACCACAUGAAACAUUUGAAUUUACUGUACCAUGAACACUUAGUUACCAUGCCGGGAGCACAUAGUUAACACUAACAUUUAGCCACUUUAGAUCACCCCGAAUCACCAAUGACCCUCAAUAGUGACAAAUUUUGGUUUAAAUGCCGUCACCAAUGAUCCUCAAUAGUGACGUAUUUAGGUUUAAAUCCCAUCACUAAUAACCCUCAAUAGUGACCUGUUUUGGUUUAAAUCUCAUUACCACUUAUCCUCAAUAGUGACGUGUUAAAACGCGUUAUCUCAAUGGCAAAUCAUUGGUGACGUGUUUUAAAAAAACAUGUCACUGUGAGAGUCAUUGGUGAAGGGUAAUUAAAAUGCGUCACUAAUGUUGUAGCAUUAGUUAUGAUAAUUUAGUAAUGCAAAAAUCUACCAUCAGUAAUGAGCUUUAGAGCCAUCGCUAAUGUGGGUUUCUUACAUAGUGAUGCAAGCUCUACAAGGUGCUGUUGCUGCCAUUUUAAAGCAUCCCAUGACUACAUGUUAAUAACAUACUUUACCAUAUACCAUAAAAAUAUUAGUUACAAUAAGCACAUACGCAUGUGGAAGAGUCCGAAUGCACCGGUUGAGGACUAAACACAUUUAAUUACUAGAACCAAAUGUAUGUCCAGAACAAAGACAGGGGUCAAGGUUUGGGUAACCGCAUUAAAAACAUUGGAUUUUACUGUAGAUGAACACUUAGUUACCAUUACCAUGCCUUGAGCACCUAGUUACAACAAACAUUAAUUUAGCCACUUUAGAGCUUCCAGAAUCGCUAUAAAUAAUAUACCUACGCCGUACCAUGAAAACAUCAAGAAGAGAGACGGAUACAUGGACCACCAUCAAGCGAGUACUGACAGCACGCACAAGAAUACCCAGAACCUGUUAGCUUGUCUGUAGUGAUCUGUUUUCUUCCCCAUAAAAUCCAUGAGUAUUGCCACAAAUAAUGAAAGAGGCUGACCAAGCUAGCAAGGAGGUAGAGCAAACGUGAUACACGGCCUGCCAAGAUUGCCCUGGAUACGCCAAUAAGAGCGACAGAUACAUGGAUCACACCAAUAUGGUGAAACGUAUAUUCAUCACACAAGCAAAGCUGGUCAGUUUAUCCAUGGUCAAAUUGUGGUCUUUGUUUUCACUUGAGAGCUAAUUGAGGCACUAUAAUAUGGGCAGGCCUAUCUUCAACAGACAUGACAGCUACAGGGAACUUGACAUAAUUUGCUGGACCGCCUGUGCACAAUUAUUUGUUUUAUUGUCCUUGCAUAGAAUGCUAAAAUACUCUUUACAAAAUGUUGGAUCUAAUAUUUGAAAUAUAGAGUAGUAAUCAUAUAUUGAUCAACAACUUGAAAUUAUCUGUACAUUCUCGGUGAAGCUGUUGAACUAAUUUUUGCAAAUUAUUAAUUAAUUCAUCUCAUUACGUAAAGAAAACAGUAAGUGGAUAAGAUAUUUCGUGGACCACAUCACUGCAAACAUGUCAUGGAGAGACAGACCAAGGAGGCAGGACGUGAUACACGACUUACCCUAGGUUGCCGUGGAACCGCCAAGAAGAGAUACGGAUACAUGGACCACACCAUCUUGGGAGUAGUGACAGCAUAUAUGCAGAAGAAUACCCCGUGCCUAUUUGCAUGCAUGUCUCAAGUGAUCUGUUUUCUUCAGAAAAUACAUGAGCAUUGCCAGAAAGAAUGGCAAGAGACAAACAUGUCAUAGAUACUUGCAUGUCUUGCCUUGGAUACGCCAAGAAGAGGGACACAUACAUGGAUAACACAAAUCUAGUGACACGUAUAUUCAUCACAAAGGCAAAUCUGAUAAUUUUAUCCAUGGAGCAGACCAAGCAGAAAUUGAUGACGGACAUGUGAUCUCUGUAUUCAGUUGAAAGCUAAUUGAGCUACACUAAUAUGAGCAGGACUAUAUUCAAGAGACUUGUUGAGAGCUACAGGGAACUUGUAAUAAUUUGCUGGGCGGCCUGCGCACAAUGAUUUGUUAUACAUAGUUGAAAUAUUUCAAGAAUUUAUCAACCUCGUACUCUGAAACCCUUGGUGCAAUGUACUCUGCUUUCCGAGGUAGACUGUUCACGUAAAAUGAGGUCAUGCGUAAGACGGAAUCGGAUUGGAUUCGCAGGGAAUCAGAUUUGGAUAGCACCUUUUAGCCGGUUUUUAGUCAAAUGCAAAUUCGGAUCCAGAUGUGGUUGAAUGCGAGUUCAAAAUUCUACUUGGAUAUCCAUUUAAUUUAGGUGAUAGCAAUUAGCACAAAAUGUUGGAAGAACAAAAUCAUAGUUAGACAUACAAUUACAUGUAUUGUUAAAGUAUAAUACAAUACACCAAGAUUAUUCCUUCAAAAUAUUUCUUAAAAAUAUUAUAAUAAAUGAAUAAAUAUAAUUGUGGCCACCAACAAAUAGUCGGUGGUCACUAAGUUGGAGCCAUUUCUGGUUACUAAUGCGGCCUGCUCCUCGACCAGCGACGACAGCUGAGCUUGUUCCUUCUGACACCAAAUCAUCAGAGUCUUCCCUCCACUACUAUAGAAUGCACCUUUAGCACCAAUUGGGAAAUCCCCUUCAGUAUCGGAUGCUGCAACCUGUGCUAUGAAAAUGGAGACUAAAAGCCUCGGUCUUGGGUACCGGUUGCAUGACGCAUUACUAAAGGAGGCAAAAGAGAAAUGUAACAAAAAAAUAUUUUGAAUUCCAAGAAUGUUUCACUAUUCAAGAUGACUAACUGAGAGUCAUCAGACAAGAUACUAGGAAUGUGGGUGCUUGAAUGCAUUUGUACAGAGGUCAUACUAUUUACAAACUCUUCUGUGUUUCCAUAUGACUACCUACUUCAAUGUCACGCGAGCCAUUCAGGACACAUGGCACACAAGCUUGCAUGUCGAAUCCAUGAUUAAUUAUUUCCACUUGUGAUCUCUUACCAGUAUUUGUCCAGACUAGAAACGUGCAACACAUUUUUUGGAUAUGGACACGCAUAUAUUUGGACUAGUAUACAGGUCACCUUUGGAUGAGUACAAGGAUGACCGGGAGGGACUAAUGGAUACAAGGAAGGGACCAUCAGGAUUAAUAGUGACAUAUGCCACAUGACAAUCUUCAUUGUCAUGCAAUCCCUAUCAACAAUCAUGGAAUCCCUAGUGUACUAAUCCCUGGAGGGUUGUGUGGAAAUUUAUUUUACCUUGCGGUGAAAAUCUCAUGAGCAGUCAUUAGUUAAGCUGACUAGCUGAGAUAUAAUAGACAAGCUAGUAAGAUUGGGAGCAUCAAUGCAUCCAUACAGGGUCACAAUAUCCUUUCCAUUCACUUUUAUAUAUAACCCUACGAAUACAAGUCCAACGAAACGCGGGCCUUUCGAUCAAGAUAAAUUAAAUGGCCCACUUGUAUUUCUAAUCCAGGAUUAAUUAUGCCCUCUGUUCAUCUCUUGCAAGCACGUGCAACACAUUUUCACGAUAUGGACAUGCAUGGAGGUUAUUAUACUGUUUGGACAAACUCUGAUGUGCCAUGACCUGGGCCUGUUUGGUUUGAGUUGCUUAUUAUAAGCAACUUAAAGUUGCUUAAAGUUGCUUAUUUGAAGUUGCUUAUUUUUAGUCUAAACUGUUUGGAUACCCUUGCUUAUGAGCAUUGAAUGAGAUGGACAUUGUCAUAUUUGCCCCUUGUGUAGCUACCCCUCCAAUUUGCCUCCCCACCCUUCUUCUUCCUGCACACGCCCGAUCCCGGGGGCCGACGGCGGGCAGGGAGCAGCAGCAGCUGGCUGGGGCGGCGGUGGGGCGGGAGCGGCGGCGCACACCAGCAUGCGCUCGCACGCCAGGUGCUGGAGCGCGGCGAGGCAGUCGUCGUAGACCGCCGGGAGCGGGUGCUCGGGCGUGAGGCGGUACUCGACGGAGACAUCGAGCGUUGGGCGCGUGGCGGCGAGCGCGUUGAGGAAGCGAUGGUAGUGCGGCGACGUCGCGGACUCCGCCACGAAGCCGCCGCCGUGGACGUACACCACCACGGGCAGCUUCGUCUUGCCGUCGGCGGCCACGGCCGCGGCCUAGGGUGGCAGGUAGAGGCGGAUGGAGCAGGAGCCGAGGUCGACGUCCCCGGAGUCGACGCCCGUGGCGGCGUCCAGGCCGGGCCCGACCGGCGGCGGCACGAGCGACGCAGCCGCUCUUGUAAAUCCAGCAGGUCUGCGCGGAGGCGGGCGGCGGGCGGGAGCGGCGGCGGGUGGUGCGGAGGCCGGCGGCGGCGGGUGGCGCGGAGGAAGGGGAGCUGGUGAGUGGUGACAGGGGAGGGGGGAGAGAGAGAGGGGGGUAGGGUGCAUUGAAUGAGGGCAGGAGGUGUAAAGUGCACCUUUUAGUCCCCAUAAGCAACCAUAAGCAGCCCAAGAGUUGCUUAUUUACUUAUAAUAAGCAACCCCAUAAGCAAGAGUGAUUGGUUUCAUAAGCAACUUAUUUGCUUAUUUUAAGUUGCUUAUGCGUAAGCAUGUGAAACCAAACAGGCCCUUAACCUAUGGUUGUGGCACACAACCAUACAGUAGAUAGUAUUUAAUAAUGCUAUUCGUUUGGUAUGUGCAGAAGGGCACGCAUGAAAUGUCUGGCCCACGGUAAACAAGUACGGACGCUGCAAAUAAUCUACUCUGCUCGUCCAGUCCCUAGCCUAUAAAUAGAUGCCAUGCUAGCUCUUGUUGUGCUCACAAUUAAUCCGAUUACACACGAGCUUCUCUCCCUGGCCAAGACACAAUCAUAGUAUGAUGAAGAACAUGGCACUAGCCGGCAAUGGUAUGAAGAAGUUAAUCCUCGCUGUUCUCUUACUGUGUCUAGUUAUAGGGCAGAUACAAGUGGAAGCUAAGAGCUGCUGCCCAUCCACCACUGCAAGAAAUAUCUACAAUACCUGCCGUAUCACGGGUACAUCCCGUCCAACGUGUGCAAAACUGUCAGGCUGCAAAAUUAUCAGCGGGGACAAAUGCAAGCCCCCUAACGACCACCUCACCCUUGACCCGGACACUGGUAAAUAAUAAAUUUAUCUCACUUGAUUUCUUUGUGUUUUGAGUCGUUAAUGUAUUUUCCAUCUGAUGAAACGUAUUGGUUUUGCAUUGAAGAGGAAGUUAAUGUGCUUAACUUCUGCAAGUUGGGGUGUGCGUCGUCUGUGUGCAACAACAUCAACGCUGGUAAGCACCUUUUGCUCAGACAGAGAAAACAAUAAUCAUUAAUUAGCGGCAGCUAGAAUCCUAUAAUCUAAUAUAUAUAUAUAUAAUUUUAUCAGCUCUGGGAAAUGAAGAGGCGAACGAUGCCGUUGAGAGUUGCGACCAAGCCUGCUCUAGCUUCUGCAACGUGCACGUUGGCGCUGCCACCGUGGUUGCUUAAGCAAAUGCAUCCAACUGGAUCGUCCUUGUGCUGAAUAAUUGGAUAUCGUAUCCACUUAAAGCUGCCUUGUGUAGUACGUCUUUGUUUGUGUCUCUCUUUAUAUUCCAAUAAGGUCGGUGAUCUUGAUGCCACACACUCAGACGUGUGUUCAUCUCCAGAUACUACUCCAUGCUACCUACCCUUUGUGUUUUGUUCAAUAACUGGGUAUCAUAUUCCGGCCAGUGUGCCAUCUGUUUUGUGUUUAUUUCCUUCUAGUUCCAAAGGGGUCAUCAUGAUGUUACCUUCUUUCGAUAUGGUGCUUUGCAUGACUACUGUUGUAUGGUACCAUCUUGUUGGCCAAUAAAUACAUCUUAUCCUAUGACCCUUUGCUAUGACCCUUUGCAAAUAAGUACAAGAUUGUUAAAUACUCGGUAUAAAUUGACUACUGUUGUGAGUUCCCUUUCAGCUUAUUGUAGGCAUACAUUAUUGCUAGCACGGUGAAGACAACCAACACGAAUGAUCAAGUAAACGUACCGGUACUUUUGUAUACCAACACCCUUGCUUAAAUGUACCGGUGUUACUCCCCAUUGGCACAUAUAUUCUUUUAUGCUAGCCGGCUUGAAAAUUAACCGAUUAAAAUAAUUAUUUCAAGAUAGAAAUAACUUAUCGGCUUCUCGAAGCAUGUGUAAUGUGAAUUCAAGGACUCGAUGGAAGUUGAAUCGCUUCAUCUAGAUUGCUUUCAGGAUUUUGGGUAACUAAAUUUAACAUUUGCACAUACAAAUGUUAAUGUACAAAUGUUAAAUCUAGUUACCCAAGCAGAAUAUGAAGAUACUCUAUAGUAUAUAUAUACUAUAUAAAUCUAGUUAACAUUUAGUCUAAAUGUUAAAUCUAGUUACCUAAAAUCCUGAAAGCAAAAUGUAUAAAUAUAUAUCUUUUAAGGAAUCCCAAAGCAAGAGUUCAGUGGCAUUCUAUAGUCCCAUGCUGCUAGUUUGAGUUGGUCGAAGCCAACUUAAAUAGGAGAGCUCUCUCACUUCUCUAAAUACGUAACUGAAGGAGAGAAGGGGGCUUGGGUUAUACAAUGCACGCACGCACGCAUAUUUGCGUUCUUUUCGCGUAACCAACCAUGUGACUUGAAACUUGCGACGUAGCGUGCUGCCAAGUCAAGUUGAUAUAACCUUUUUGCCGUUUGCGUGUAAUCUUUUGACAACGGUCAUUGGAGGUGAUAAGCACGCAGUCAAUACCUUAAUCCUGAGUUAAUAGGGUGGUUACUACUGCCAAUUAGUGGGGCAAUUUUGUAGGGGAAACGGUUAGCAGAGGGCUACCGUCUUCUCUAUAAGAAGUUCUGGAGACGUCCAGAAACACACAUGUACAUGUGAGAGACCCACGAAUUCCUUCCCUUCUCCCUUUUCCAUCUGAUGAAGAGUGCUGUGGUACUGAGCUGCUGGAUCUCACCGGCUCUUCUCCUUGGCGUGCACUGAGGAGGGUGAGCGGUAUCUCCGAGCUAUUGCCGUCAGGAAGCCUGCACGACGGACAACAAUAAAGUUUUUGGGUAGCGCAACUGUGCAACCGCUCGAUUCGAUCGACUAUGUUAUGCGCUGCCUCAUCUUCGAUCUACACUGCAACGCGUAACCCUGCAGCAAGUCUACACGAGGACGGAGCACUAAUCUGUAAGUCCUAGAUUGGUUUCUUACAAAGUUGUAGGUUACACAAGAUCUAGAAUGUUACAUACCUAUUAUUAUGGGUUACAUGAUGUUUUGUACGGUUACGUCUAUUUUGCAUAUGCUAUUUUUACAUACCGUUUACAUGCAUAUGUUAAUGGUUACACCUAGCUAUUUGAAUCUAGAAUUGGGUUACAUAGUAGUAGCAAUGAGUUACGUAAUAUGCCUCAUGUUUAUAUCUGGUAGAAUUUAACACGUAUCUCCAACAUAUUUUGAGGCAGUAUAAAUUUCAAUUCCUUUUGCUGCUCUGUUAAAUACCAUCUUUCGUUGUGGCCCAACACUCUAGUAUGCAUGUAGCACCAAGCUUGUUUGAGCUGCUUUGUGCUCUGAUUUUGCUAUCUGUAUCAGGUUGGACUGUUUCUUUGUCUUGCGAUGUAUAGCUUCAUAUCUUCUAGAGGUUAGACAGCAAAACCCGCGUUCUCUUAAGGCAACAACUCGAAGAAUCUGCAGUGCCCCUGAUAUAUCACUGCUGCAGAAACGAUCUUUAGUACUGAUCUCCAACCCCCUUUAGUAUUGGUUUGGCAAUCAGUACCACUAUGUCGGUACUAAAGGGAGUUCUCUAGAAUCGGAUCAAAUAACCGGUACUAAAAGGGCUCCUUUACUACCAGUUGGUAACACCAAUAGGUAGUAAAUAUUUUGCACCCAAAAAAUUAAAGAAAAACAGCUGGGAGGCUCGCGCACACACGCAUCAUGAGUAAUAUGUGCGUGCAUGGUUUGUAGGAUUCCAACCCACGACCAAGCUAUAAGCACGUAGUUACAAAAAAUUAAACACUUAGACAUUUUAGAGCAUCCCAAAUAACUACAAAUUCUAUAGUUUACCAUAUACCAUAAAAUAUUAGUUAAAAUAAGAGCAUACACAUGUCGGAAGAGUCCCAACGCACCGGUUGAGGAUCAGACCAGGCACUUUGAAUGCACAUGCCAUAAGAUAAUUCUGCAGGACGAUGAUUGCAAUAAUGGACCAUCAAGAAGAUAGGGGCGAUGGGGUUGCCUCAUCAAUUAUCACUUGGCGCAACAAGACCAGCAAAGUCUUUAUCGACAGGGGUGGAUCAACGGGUGGGGCGGGCAGAGCUUCAGUCCUCCUACCGCCGCUCGAACAAUGGAGCCCCCCUUAGCCCCUCCAUAAAUUUUUAGGUAGAAGAAAAAAGAAGAGAAAGGAAGGAAGGGGAAGAAGAGGGAGCCCCUCCUAAGUAGGUCGCCAUCAUGCUUCCCAACGCAUGAUCGCCGCACCGCAUCCAUUCCUCUACAAGCCUCCAGCGUCUCUCCCGCCGCUACCUCUGAACCAUGUGCAGCUGCAGACCCAACUAGUGUCUUGUCCCCCAUCUCAGUCCCAACAGAGCAGCGGCGGUUGCCAGCACAAAUCUCCCUCCGCCUCUUCUUCAUGGUCGAUGGCCGCCACAAGCAUAAACCUCACCUUCGCAUCCACGCAAAAGGGUCGCUGGGGUGCCUUCUUGCAUCGCUUCUCAGCCUCCUUCACUUGCGGCCAGCCAAGAACCGUGCCACCACCUCGGGUGCGCGCCACCACUCCAGGGCUGCUACCCCAUGCCUGCGGCUGCCGCCGGCCACCACACAUGUCCCGCCGGCCACCACACGUGUCCAACCGCGUCGCACCGCUUCCCUGCUCUGUGCCACCACUUGUACCACCAGCUCCACCACCUUGGGCUGGUCGCCAGGGUGACUGAUUGGUGGAUUGUUACUAAAAAUAAGUUCCUUAUUAUCUGCAACUACUAUUAACUCACGGAUACAUGCAUAUUUUGCUUCUCCUGCUAAUAUGUCCUAAAAUAUCUAGGAUGCCUUAUAUUUCUGGAAAGAGGAAGUAUUUGAAUAAAAUGAACCAAUUUAAAAAAAUGUGUUAUACACUACUACAGAAAGACCUAUCAGUGUCAAACCCAAAAAUGUCGUCACCGCCAGUUUUAGGCACCGUUGGUGAAAGGUUGGCGGUGAUGGGCAUCCCCUUCAACAACGGCACUGGAGCCGACGGUGAUUGGCAUUAGAAAACAAAAAAGGGGACCCUACCUAGCCACCCCUGCAACCCGGCCAGCCGUGCCUCCCCUCGUCCCCGCCACCUCGCCUCCCCCGUUACCCCCCUCCGGCGCCCUUGCGCCUAGCCCCCUCGCCUGCCCGACUGGCCACCCUCGUCACGAGAGAGAGAGGUGCAUGUUGUAUAAUUGCGUGAAUUUUUUAAUGUUUAAUUUCAUGUAAGUUUCAUGUAAUAAAUUGUACAAGAUUUAUUGUAUAUAUGAAUUCCAUAUAUAUAUAUAUUUAUAAUUUAAUGUAUGGUUUCAUGUGUAUAUUUCAAUCAUGUGUAUAUUUAGUAGAUUGCCGAUUUUUUUUUACUAGACAAGGGUUGAUGUAUAAUUACGUGUAUAUGUUUAUUGUACAGGCAAUUAGGACAAGUUUUGUAUAAAUUUCUUUUAUUUCAUGGUUGUUGUAUGGUUUCAUGUAUAUACAUUUAUUGUAUCACUAAUUGUAUUAUUAGUUAAGAUGGGAGCCAAAGAGGAUGAAAGGUAUAUAAUGGAGCAGAUUAUUGCUGGCGGUAGUGGCUCAAACGUUGCAAGAACCUACACCGAGGGUGAGGGUAGCUAGGUGGACAUGUACCUCAACAUGUCCAGUGAUGGCAAUGGUGAUGAGGAGCACGAGCAUGACGUUUAUGAUAAUGCGGAACAAGACAUUGCAGAAUUGGAAGGUUCUAAUGAGGUGUGUUUCAUGUUGAUGAUCUGGUUGGCUUUUUUUCUUUGGUCACACCUUAGUUACCAUAGAACUUCGUCUCGGGAGAAGAUUAGUGGUGCUAUGGUGAUUGGAAUUUUAUUGCCUCCAAAUCUGAUUUCCAUCGAAUCAUAUCCCUUGUAUUUAUCUUCUUUUUAUUUGUGAGAGCAUCUUCUUUAUGCUUGCAAAACAAUUCAAGUGCACAUACUACACCUAGGGUGACGAUUAGGAGUAGAAACAAUUGCCAACAAACCAACACCACAUCCUAAGAUUCUUAACUUGUGGCAUAAUUAGUCUAGUAAAAAGAAAGAUAAAAACCUAAUGGGUGUACGUGAGUGCAAUGUGUAUAUGCAUAUGAGUGGAAGGCAUAUAAGCAAAGAUAAUAUUUACACAUAGUUCUAAACACCAUGUUUACAGCUAGGUUGCUGAAUUUCUCCAUAGCUAUAGAGAUUAAUUAACCAAGGUCAAAACACCAUGUCUAUCCCAAGAUCAGUAAUUCUUUAUAGCACAAGAAAAAGAAAGCGCAUUGCAAAGUUUAUAAACCAACCAAUGCAGCAUGAAAACAAGAUGAAUAGCUAGCAAGGUUUAUUAAACUGAAUGAUGAUGGUCUGCAAGCAAGUUUAAACACCAUCUUUACACAAGAUUGCGAAUGGAAAAUGCCCAUAUGAAGCACUAACAUGGAUAUGAAAUCAUUCAUCAUAAAGCGUAAAGAACAACCAAGCCAACCAUAUGCAAAGCAUGAAUGGAAUGCAAUGAAGGUGCAAGAGAACAUUUUUGGAUGAACACAUUAUAAUGAUGGCAAAAUGCAAUGCAUGCAGAAAAAAUAAAUAUGAACAUGAAUAUGAUGAUCAUGGGGCGGACCCACUAUUGUGGCCUGGGUAUUCCUGGGCAUACCCAAUAUUUUUGGGAAAAUGUUUAGUAGUUUUUAAUGGUAUAUACAUGUAUAAUAUAGUUUAGGUGUUAAAAUUGAUAUUCACAGCUAUUUUGGGCCGCAAUUCGCGUCCAAACCAGCCUGGCCCACAGACCACACCCGGCCGGCCGGCCCAUCUAGUCACUGAUCCCCCCACCACCACACUCAGCCCGUCAGUCGGUCAGGUCCCGAGCUCCUGCCUGACCUAGUCCGCUACCGCCGCCAGGUGCCAGGCACAGCCGCACGCACCACGCCGCCCCCGUCCGCCGCACGGCCGCGCCGCGCCCCCCAGCCCCCGCGGUGAGAUCCCGCCGCCCGCUACCGCCAAACCUCAUUAGGCCUCCACCAGCAGGUCCACCCACAAUCCCGAGCGACGCGGCAGCCUCUUGGCUCUCGUCGNNNNNNNNNNNNNNNNNNNNNNNNNNNNNNNNNNNNNNNNNNNNNNNNNNNNNNNNNNNNNNNNNNNNNNNNNNNNNNNNNNNNNNNNNNNNNNNNNNNNCCCCCCCCCCAUCGGGCCUCGGCCCCUCCCCAGCUCCCCCCCUCCACCAGGACUGCUGCUUCCCCCCACUGCGAGGUAAUCAAAAUCGACUGCUCAAUCUCUCAAUCUGUUGACAUGAUGCACACGGUUGCAAAAAUAGAUGUGUCAAAUAGAUGUAUUGCCAAUUGCUAUAGAUGCAUACGGUUGACAUGAAGAAGUCAAAAAUGACAUUUGGUUCCUUGUAGGCAGUCAAAACUGAAGAAGUCAAAAAAUAUUGAUCUGAAAUCAAUGUGGGAAAGGGCUACAAAGACACACAGGUAGAUUCCCUUGUGAACUUUUUAUGUCGUUCGUCUAAAUAUUUUUUUGCAAUGGGCAUACCCUACUCUAAAAUCCUAGGUCCGCCACUAAUGAUGAUGGUCUAAAAAUAAAACAAGCCUAGAUUAAUUAGCCACAACUGAAAUUAAGCAAAGGCUAAUGUCAUUGACACUAGCUCUAUCCUAGCUUUUACCAAAGUCCUGGCACAUAUAGUGGUUGGGCCCACUCUCUCUGCUUCCCUCUCUGUUGCAUGCACGCACACGAGCAACGGGAGGCCCGACGAAGCCCAGAAGGGUUCGGCCAAACCAGUCUGAGCGCCGCUCCCUCCCAGCCUUCGCGCAGAUGCUCCUCCAACGUUCCUUGACCCCUCCCUCAGCGUCCCGUUGGGUUUAACAUUGCAGGACAGGAGUCCCUUUUUUAAAAUCUCAACCACCUCCUCUCCUCAUUCACUCCACUCUCAUCUCCAUCAAACUAAACGAGAUCCACACCAGAAAUCCCUGCUUACCACCAUGGCUAGCAAAGCCCUCGUCCCUUUCACCAACUUAGGCUUGACCACUGAUCUCGAUGGGGAAAUCACUCCGGCAAAUGUCAUUGUCCCUGUCGGGCGAUCUUGCGAUGGAGGAGGUCCAGGCACUAGAGGUCGAGCCCCUAGCCAUCAUACCGCCCAAGGGGUAAAGCAGGGGUGUGACAGGCGCUGCUAGGGGUUCAGCCAAACUCCUAGUUCGGCCAAACCAGGACGGCGCCGCCUCGGCCUCCCGCUCGACUGCACGCUCGCCCUUGCCAAGGAGGACUCUAGAACAGCGGGCGCGAGCGUCAAGUCCCUACAAAAGGCUGAAAUACAAUGAAUAUCCAGGGCCACCCUUGAAGAUGGGUGAACGCUACGCCGGGUCCUUGUUUGACUAGUACGGCGAUGCAUUCUGCCACCGCUAUGAGGAGGACUUGUGGGCAGAAAGUCGGCUACCACAAACUUGCCUCCGAAUAUUUGGAUUGCGAACCUUGGAUGGUGGUUGUGGAGACCCCAAGCCAUACCUCGCACCCUUGGAGAGGUAAUUGGCUGGAUUGCUUGGUUCGUCUCUAGAAUGCGACAAGGUCAGGCGCCACCUCUCACUGCUACCAGUUAGAAGGCCGAGGGGCCAGUUUCAACAUAGUAAUGAGAAUCUCCGAAGGCCACCAUGGUUAAGCAGCUAACCUCCAUGAUCAUAGACUUACGUUUAGAAAAUAGGAGGCUUAGCGAUGCGUUAACAGAGCAGAAGUUAGAAACAGAAGAACUUAAGGACAACUUCCGUGUCCUCCGUCGUGGUCUUUGUGCUAAGAUAAAGCGCUUGUACAAUGCCACGGGGCAUGACGGUCUCUACGAUGCAGCUCAAUAGACGUGCCCCUUGUAUCCCUUCCUUUAGGCACUUUAGAAUAUGUUUAUUUGUUUUCCUUCAUUUUAAUUUCCAAUCAGAUUGUUAGCACCUCCAAUUUAAUUUCAAUAAAGUGUAGACUCACCGGUCAUCCAACCUGAUGGAGUCCUUGUGUCACUUAGUUGUCUUUGGAAGAAGUAGCUAGGUACAAAAUAAGUGUGGGGGAGAGCCACGGACUCUCUAGAGUUGAAACAAUGCACAACACCCACAAAUAGAGAAAACCACGCUGCACCAGCACGUACGUGAAAGGGGAGCCAGAGCUGGACCCAUAGGGGUUUGGCCAACCCAGGGUGUGGCCCACUCGGGCCAUCUUCAUCCACCGCGUCGGUUUGUGUUUCUUUACCCCUGAUCUCCCUGAUUCAUGAGUUUGAAUGAAUUUUAAAUCUGACCAACUAAUUCAAACUCAACUAAAAUGAAUCAAUUGCUCCACCUGCUCUACAUGUUUUCUAUGGUUGGCUUGCAUAUGUUUUAUUCCAUGCUUAUCAUCUUGAUGCUUGUGAACAAAUAUCUUUAGGACAGCAUGCUCAUCUAAGUAGUUGAUGUGUAUGAUAUGGUUUGAUGAUAUGAUCUUCGCUCUUAAUGCUUAAGUGCUUGGAAAAUUCUAUUUGAAAAUUUAAAGCCUUUUUUGAAAUCUCCUCUUUGAUGUGCCAAGGUCCUACCAAAGCCGUAUGAUAAGUUGUCUUGAAGAACCAUUUGCAUAUAUUGCUUGUCUUUGCAUUAAGCUUUGUCAAAGUGGUGUGACCCUUGAAGAACCAUUUGCAUAUAUUGCUUGUCUUUGCAUUAAGCUUUGUCAAAGUGGUGUGACCCUUGUGACAAUUCUUUUCAUACUUUCAUGAUCAAGACUCAUGUGCACACCAUAUACCCCUUGCUAUGCUUCUAUGAGAUGUUAGCAUUGUACCAUCCAUUGAUUCCACAAAAUAAAUGCUCCACCAUAUGUGUUGGUCUCCUUCUAAGAUUAUUGUUACAAAAGAGAUAUGGGCUAUCAAAAAAAAAUAUGAAUGUCCUAGAAAGUUGGACACAUAAAUGUCAAGAGAUCAUACAAAAAGGAGUUUCCAUUCCAUCCACCACAUCCAUACACGUGCACAUCUUGAUCUGAUUGUAUGACUUAUUUUUCUCUUUGGAUCUGGUCUUUGACUUUGCAAUAUAUGUGAUGCAAGUAUGCCUUAUCCUUCAUAGCCUACCUUGAGCUCCACAUAUAGCCAUCAUUAGAAGUAGGAUGAAGAAAGGCAAGUCUAAUGCCUUGGUGAGGACAUAUACACAUUGAGUGAUCUGAGAGAAUCAAAUGAGGAGCUAAGCAAGGUUUUGUUUUGAAAACUAAUUGAAAAAUCCCAAGCUACUUGGCAUAUGGAGUUGCGGUGACUUGAUUCAAGAUCAUUCCAUUCCUCAACUACCCAAGAUGGCAUGAUAGACACUCCAAAGUUCACAAGUGCAGGUAUGGUUUGGAAUAUCUUUUAGGCUCGCUUCAUACCUUUGAAAGUUAUGUUUCACCUUAGUCCUUUCUUCUUCACUCGAGGAUAAGCAAAGGCUAAGUGUGGGGGUGUUGUUGAUGGCUCUUAAGUACCAAAUCUGCACCAUCAACUCUUGCAUAAACACAUAAAAUAUGAGCAUCAACAGUAGUGGUAGCAGUUAUUACAAACGAAUUCCACAAGUCUUGGUGAAUAUUUGUAUGCAGGCCCAUUAGGAGAGAAAAGACACCUCAAGAGCAAGGAAACACACUCUCAACCAAUCAGGAGCAAGCACAUGGAACCAUGGGCCCACAACCGGAAGGAAAUCGACUACAUUCACCACCAAACACCCUAUACCCACAUGAGAACCCAUAGGCAGUGACCCAGAGCAGAGGUGGUGCCAGAGUGUAGAUGGCAGUUAGCAUGCCAAAUUGUGAACCGCAAGCGCACGGAUCAAUUGUUGCUUUUCCCUUAGAGAUUCCCCCAAGGUUUAUGAAUCCAUGGAAUAAGGGAUUUGCACGUUUAACUAAGCACUAAUCAAUGUAAUUGAAAGCUUUUCGAAUAAGAUAUGAUUAUGCUAACAAAGGAACUAAGCAAUCUAGAUUAAGAUGGAUAGAGAGUAAAGGUUGUGAACAAGAUAGAUUAAAUGCUUGUCCUAGGGAUCUAGGAUCACUUGUAGAUGGAAUCGCCAUGCAUAAAUGAAUUAGAUCUAGGUGUUAUCAUGAGUGGUUGUGAACCAUGCCCAACACUUUCCCACCCGCAACACUGUCACUACAUGUGGGUACUCAACUAUCAGAACAUAAGAACACAUCAAGAUGAUCAUUCUAGGUAAGCAAAUAAGCAACCCAAAGUAGUGCUGGCUAGCCUUUUCAUGAAAGAGCAUCAUCAAGAUAAGAUUGAUAACAAAAUAGAUCUCAACCAAAGGUUCAGCGAUUACAAAUCAAGAUCUCCGUAUAACCCCGAUGACAAAUAGAGGUAUUACCCCCAUGAUCUUACACAUGUUGAUGAAUUUUGGGGUAAAGGACACCUUGUAGAUCAAUUGGACCAAAGAUGAUGAUAAACGGGGGCAGGGAAGGCCCAGACCGAUCAGCCUGGGCACUUUUGAGCCGAUCAGCUCAGGGGGUUUCCUCCUCCCCUAGAGAUCAUGGUACACUUCACGCUGAAGAAACAAGAGAUCGACCGAGCCCUGGGAUAGACCAUGAGGAUCAGCCUAGAGGGUCCUAGGCCGAUCGGCCUAGGCCCUUCCUAGCCCUUCUGGUCCUCUCCUUCCUCAUGCUGGCUUUUCUCGACGACCCUUAUCCAAAUAUCCAUUAAGCUCUCUAUACAUACCCCCUUGAUUAUGUCGUAUUUCCUGCCAAAAUACAAUGCUCCAAAAUACAACACAUAUGCAAUAAUAGGGUUAUUUUAGGUGCCAAUUGGUGGGUUAGUAUACGAAUAAGCAUGAAAAUACUGAUUAAAUGGCACUAAAAGUGUGUCAAUAAUGAGCACCAACAAUCCCCCCACGCUUAGAUCUUGCUCGUCCUCGAGCAAGUCUAGCGACUAAAAGAUCUUGAAUUAAACCUGAGCAAGCGAGUCAAGUACCUAGCCUUGAAACAAAAGAUUAGAGGAGCAGCAAAGAUAAUCAAAGUCUGGGUGUUCAAAGAUUUAUCUAAGCAAAGAUUCCCCUACAACUAUUAUUCAGAACCAAGUAACUUCAAGUAUCAACUACACUUAUUUUUUGGCUUUUUUCAGAGGGUUUUUCUUUCAUCAUAAAACAAUCUCCCUGCAAAAAAAUUGGAAAAAGAAUUAUUUUCCAGGUGCUUAUAUGUCGCUUAAAUGAAUGUUGGCUAUCCUACUUAUUUGCAAGCUCUCAUCUCUCAAAAGUCAUUCAAUUCUAUGGUGGAGCUUGGGUAAGGUUAGCUAGAAUCAACACGUAUAUUAUUGAAUUAAGAAAACCCUCUAACGGUGGCCUACCUUCCGAGCCAUUGAUCAUAAGAAUAUCCACAUAAUGUGAAGUUUUCAAGGAUGAGAAGAUAUAGAAUGGUGGACAUGUGCAAAUGCAAAGAAAUAUAGUGACUCUGAGGCACAAGCAAUGUCCUCGUCAUUGGAUUGCAUAUGGUUGGAAUGAAAAUCCGUUCCUUAAACAAGUCCAUCUUUUCUUUGCACCACUCUUGAUCUUCAUGACAGUAAAAACUCCUCCUUUAUUUUUUUCUCUCUUUUCCUAUUAUUUCUUUUUAUUUGUCUCAAUACUUUUCUUUCUUUCUUUCUUUAUUUUAAUCUCUUCUCUGAACCUCCUCUGAACACCACACAAUAAAAAUCAGUUUUAGAUCCUUCCAGAGACCUUCCAUGAAUUUGCUACAUGAAAACUGAGGCAAGGAGACCUCAGGCCGAUUGGCCUGGCCACUCCUUUGCUCUCCUCUAGCUCUUCUUUCUGGUGAAGCUUCCAUAUCUUGUAUCUUUCCAAAAAUUUCAAUAAGCUCGACUAGAAGCAGAACAGAUCUUCAUAUAAUGAGUUGUGUUCAAGGAAUUGGUAAUAAAAUUGAGAAAUUUGUGGUCCGGGUUUACGAAUUCAGUACAAAAAUCUGAUGGUUCCAAUGAAGAACUCUCAUUACUGAAUAUUGACGAGGCAAGCAUUCAAAGAUGGUAAAAAGGAUAUGAUCAAUUCUCAAAAUUAAAGCAAACCAAGAGAGAGCGAUCCUAAUUCAAUUCAAAGUGUCAAAUAUUGCUUAUGGUGGUAUGAAUAAAUAUUUUUAGGCAUUGGGUAGGAUAAAUAAAAACUCUCAACCUGGUUAAAAUAUAUUGAUCAAUCUUGUUUUUGCAGAGGUUUUAAAUAAAAAAUAAAAUUUUAAAUCACCUCCAAUUCAAAGCCUUACUCAUAAAUCAUAAUCAAAACUGAAGCACUUGAUCAUCAUAAAGCAUGGGUAUUGCAUAAACAAAUUGAUUACUAAAACUCCACAACUACGAUUUAGAAUUCAAGACAAUGCUCAUAAUCCAAAGUUGCAAAGACAAAAUAAAAGACAAGCAAGCCAAGGUAGACACUAAAAACACUUGCACGAUCCUUGAAUUUUAUUCAUGCUUCUUCUCACAAAGAUGCUAAAGUAGCCAUGUAGGCCUAAGUCUUCCCAAAAGCUUAAUAAGAUUACUACUUUAUUUACUUUUGGUUGAAAUAAAAACACUAAUUUAGACUCUCACAUGACUCGACUCGACCAAACUAGAUCCAAAAACUCAUAUGAGCGACGAUCUCCACCCCCCCUCACGCUUAAAAUCUACGACCUCCUCGUCGUAACCAUAUGGAGUACAUGGAAAAGAUGCUUGUAAAUGCACUAAUGACGCUACCCGCACUACUUGCACAUGGGAUGGUUGCUGCUUCCUUCACUUUGUUCUUCCUCAUGUUGCUGCACAUCUCGAAGAGCUUCCUCAUGUUCCUCUGCAAGAACUUGAAGUCGUCCUCCUGACUUGCAUGAUGUCAUCGACAGCAUCGAAGAGGUAGUGGAUGUUCUUCCUGCAAGCUGCGGAACAUGUACGAUCAUGCUCCUCUGAUUCUGGCCCGUCGUCUUCUAGAUCCUUCUCUUUGCCCUUGUCUUGAUGGUGGCCAUCUUGCUCCUUGCUCGCCUUCUUGCCUUCAGCCCAAUCCCAGUACGUGUUGUCAUCUUCUUCAUCAUCACGGCCUGCAGCACCCUAUGAUCCAGGGCUCCUAUCGUCCUCCGAAUUGCUAUCACCUCCAUAGUCAGCUGGCGUGUACUCGGGCAUCUUCGCUAUGUAGCUCUUGCGCUUCAUCAUGAGGAGCCUUGCUGAAAUCCUUGUGGGAGUGACGACGACCUCCUUCUUCUUCUUGGGUGCUUCAUCUUCGCUCGAGAAGAUGAUCAACAUGCGAUUCGCAAGCUUUCCGGAUGGUGCCUUGCCUCCAACACUGAUGUGAGCGUUACGAGUAGUCCUUGGUGGAGUUUUGGGACCCUACUCACACCUCUUGGCUUCCAUAUGAAGGGUGAAGGUGGCAGCCAAGGGAGGGGGUGGUGCUGAUCGGCUUGGGGAGGUCAGGUCGAUCAGCCUGGCCGCCUCCUUCGCCGGCUGCUGCCCCCUCUCGUCUCCCGAGCUCCUGGACGUCACCACUGCACUUUUUUUUUGGUUUGGUGGAUCUGAAUUGCUUGUGUAGAUGCAAAACUCAAGCUCCAAUUGGCCUCAUUAUAUACUCUUGAAGUCUUUGUCAAGGAUCCACACAUUUCCAAAAACUUCCUUGCCCCUUCCCGCAAAAAUUCACUUCCAUAAUCUGUUGUUACCAAAGAUGUGAAAGAGGGAACUGAAUCGGAAAUUACAUAUAUUUUUAGACGUACGCUCUGCCUCCCAAAUUUUCAUGGCAGCGCGUAUGUCUAAAAAUAUAUGUAAUUUUUUGAGUCUUACACAAAAUUCAAAUGAAAAUAAUAGAAUUUAAGAUAGUGUAUGUACAAGGUACCUAUUUUAGUGUCGUCAAGCUUGACUUGGCCAUUCUUCCUUCAUGGUAUAGACGUCAAUAGAAUUGAUAGGCACGAUGUCGGCUUCCAAGAAUACCUUUAGCCGCUGUCCAUUCACAAUAUAUUGAUCUCCUUUGACGUCCAUGAUUGUUACUGCUCUGGUAGGUGACGCAGAAUACAUGACGUAUGGUCCACCCCACUUGCUCAUCAAUUUUCCCUUACCGAAGAAUUUAAACAUGGAGUUGAACAAUAACACUUUAUCCCCUUCUUUGAAUUCCUUCUUAUGAGGCCUUUUAUCAAACCACCUCUUGAUUCUUUCCUUGUAAAUGCUUGCAUUGUGGUAAGCUUUAAGCCUCAUCUCUUCCAAUUCACUUAUUUGAAUCCUUCUUUUUACUCUCGCAGCAUUAAAAUCAAGAUUCAUCUCUUUUAUGGCCCAAUAAGCUUUAUGUUCAAGUUCAACAGGAAGAUGACAUGUUUUUCCAUAGACAAAUUUAUACGGGGUCAUACCUAUAGGUGUUUUAUGAGCUGUCCUAUAUGCCCAUAAUGCUCCGUCUAGUUUCUUUGACCAAUCCUUCCCUCCUUUGACUAUGGUCUUUUUCAAUAUAUCUUUGAGUUGCUUGUUUGAAGUUUCUGCUUGGCCAUUUGUUUGAGGAUGAUAGGCUGUAGACACUCUGUACUCAAUCCCCAGUUUCUUCAAACAUUUGCCAAAAUCUUUUUCUAUGAAAUGUGAUCCUCCGUCGCUUAUCAAUAUUCUGGGCACUCCAUACCUAGGAAAUAUUAUCUUCUUGAUCAUGUGAAUUGAUUCCUCUGUUGAUGCCUUCCGACAUGGGAUAGCUUCUACCCAUUUAGACACAUAAUCAACUAUAACCAAGAUGUGCUCAUAGCCAAGUGAAUUUAAGAAUGGUCCCAUGAAAUAUAUACCCCAAACAUCAAAUAGAUCCACUUGCAAACUAUAGUUCAAAGGUAUAGAAUUUCUAGAUGAAAUAUUUCCUUUUCUUUAGCAUUCUGAGCAAGUAGCAAUGAACCUCUUUGCAUAUUCGUGCAUCUCUAGCCAAUAAAAUCCCCUUGCCCAUACUUUUGCUUGAGUUUUGAAGUGUCCAUAAUGUCCUCCAUAUUCUGAUGAAUGGCAUUUCCUAAGCACCGCAUCUCUUUCUUCUCUAGGAAUCCAUCUUCUCAAUACUCCAUCUACUCCAUACCUAUAUACAAAAGGUGCAGACCAAUAGUAUUUCUUAUUUUCAGCAAUAUUUUUUCUUCUGUCAUUCCUAUCCAAGUGAUGCAAGGGCGCCCUUUUGAAGACUCUGAUAAUGUCAUGCAUCCAAUCAUCCUUGUCAAGUAUUCUGUAUAAAUGGUCAUCUCUCAUUCGAUCUUUAAUUGGCUCCUUCCCAUUAUCUUGUUGGUACAUCCUCGACAAGUGGUCAGCUACCACAUUUUUUGACCCCUUUUUAUCUCUAAUUUCCAUAUCAAACUCUUGUAGUAACAAUAUCCAAUGAAUCAGACCUGGUUUAGCAUCUUUCUUGGACAAAAGAUAUUUAAUUAAAGCAUGGUCGGUGUCCACAAUCACUUUAGAAUACACAAUAUAUGAUUUGAAUUUUUCCAAAGCAAAUACUACGGCAAGCAGCUCCUUCUCUGUAGUUGCAUAAUUUAUUUGAGCCUCAUUUAAAGUCUUGCUAGCAUAGUAAAUUGCGUGUACCUUCCCUUCUGUUCUUGUCCAAGUACUGCUCCAACAGCAUAAUCACUUGCAUCGCACAUUAUCUCAAUGGGUAGAUUCCAAUCCGGAGGUUGAAUGAUGGAUGCACUGAUAAGUGAUUGCUUUAAAGUUCUGAAAGCAUAGAGACAGUCUUCAUUGAAUUCAAAGCUCACAUCUUUCUGUAGAAGUUGUGUUAAUGGUUUUGUUAUCUUCGAGAAAUCCUUAAUAAAUCUUUUGUAGAAUCCGGCAUGUCCGAUAAAGCUUCUCAAUGACUUGAUGUCUGUUCAAGGAGCUAACUUUUCCACAGUUUCAAUCUUCGCUUUAUCAACUUCUACCCCCCCCCCCCCUCUAAGAUGACAUGCGCCAGCACUAUUCCUUGCUUCACCAUAAAGUAGCACUUCUCCCAGUUUAGAACUAAAUCAACUNNNNNNNNNNNNNNNNNNNNNNNNNNNNNNNNNNNNNNNNNNNNNNNNNNNNNNNNNNNNNNNNNNNNNNNNNNNNNNNNNNNNNNNNNNNNNNNNNNNNNNNNNNNNNNNNNNNNNNNNNNNNNNNNNGCGUUGAAUUGAUGUGGGCGCAUUGCAUAGACCAAAAGACAUUCUUCUAUAAGCAAAAGUUCCAUACAGACAAGUGAACAUCAUCUUAUGUUGGUCAUUCGGAUGUAUAGGAAUUUGAUCACUAUCCUGUCACUAUCCCCUGGAGAAUUAGCUCAUUCUUCUCAUUUGUCACAACAGUCAAUCUAUCCUUCUUUGGCACGCAAUGCACUGGGCUUACCCAUUCACCGUGUGGUACUGGAUAGAUUAUUCCAGCAUUAAGCAAUUUGAUCGCCUCCUUCUUUACUACAUCACGCAUAGCAUGCUCAAUCUUCUCUAGUUCUCCACAACUAGUUUGUAUUGAUCUUCUAAUUGUAUUCAAUGAGUGCAUAAGGUUCGAUUGAUUCCUUUCAAGGCUUUGAUUGUAUAUCCAAUCACUUUCUAAUGUUUUCUUAAUAAAUUCAGCAGCUUCUCAGUUUCUUCCUUCCUCAACUCGUUGUUGAUAAUGACUGGAUAUGUCUUGUUGUUCCCCAAAUAUUCAUAUUUUCAUCCCUUGGGUAAUGGCUUCUGCUCAACAUCUGGUGCUUUAGUCUCUUGCUGCUCCAAAUCUCCAAUGUCUUCAAAUUUUUUUGCUUCUAAAGUUCCGUAUUGCAGUGAUAAUGCUUCGGUUGCUUCUGCCAGUUCAUCAUCCUGACCACCCUCAUUGUUUUCCAUUGCUCUUAGUAGAGGAUCCCUGAAAUUUUCAGCAAAACAUACACUUUCUAAUUCCUCGUUAUCAGGAAGUAGAGGUAGGGUUUGUUGAGAAGCAGGCAAAAAAUUAUAAGUGUAUUUGGCACUGCCAAGAUUAAUCGUUACUUUGUCCUUCCCAGCAUCAACCACAACAUUAACCAACUUAAGAAAAGGUCUACCAAGGAUAAUAGCAUCAUGGCAAUCAUCAAUAACAAAGAAGUCAGUUGGUAUAACUUUUCCCGAGAUAGCAACAUCUAGAUCUCUAUGCACACCUAGAAAGACUUUCCGUAUGGUUGCACGUUUCACUAGAAAGACUUUCCCUCAAGUCGGUCUUUAUGUGAUCGGAGUAAGCUAUUGGGACAGGAUCCUCUACCGAGGCUGCCCUCUUACUCCCUUGUACUGUCCUUAAUAGUUUCUAACUCUUUAGUUGGUAAUUUUAGAUUUAUCUCAAAAACUCACACAUUGUGUUUGCAUAUUCCUAGGGAGUUCUAUCUUCUAAAAUGAUGCUCGAUCAUCGAUCUAGUCAUGAUCGGGGUAAUUUAUGGGAUUUUUUGCUAGAAGUGGCUUCAUGUCAAGGCGAGAAAGAGAACAGAUGUGGGUUGCUUCUGUAGGUUUGUAAAGAGAUGAAAGUUAGAUUAUUAUCUUGGUAGAUUUUAAUAUCUAUGAAUACAAGGGGUACGUGCUAGGAAUUACCUUCAUUAAAAGUCCUUAGCACGUUUUCCUAGGUUGACUAGAGCCCUGGCUUCUCAAUCUUCAGGUCUUCCGCUUCUACUUCUUGUUGGGGUCAUUGGAGCUUCCACCAGGAUCUCUGGAGUCCGGAUCUUCCAUUUCUUGUCGCAAUUCGAGCCUUACCAGGCUAACGCAUCUACGCAUCUGCUGGACGGCCAAAAAUUUGACUUCACAUAUUUUUUUGGAUCCUUGGCUUCCAACCGGGUCUUGGUUGUGUCCUCGCCUCCAACAAGCAUGCAAUCAUACAAAUAAUUCUAACAAUCAAUUUCUUGCAAUCAAUAUAUGACUAAAGGAAAUGGAAAAAGAAUGGAUGAUGGAUGCUUUAGGAAUUAUCAGAUUUCUAAGGAUAAUUCCAGAAUAAUUGAUGGAUAUCUUAUCCAUUAUUUAGAAAUAUUUCUAAAUAAUUGAUGGAUAGGAUAGUUGGAUUUCUAGGAUAAUUUUAAUAAAUUAAUAAUAGAUUUUCGAGCAGUACGACCGCUAGGGUUUUGUUGAUAUCUAGGGUUUUGAUUGGGCAACAUAUCAACUAGGUUUGGUUAAUAUAGGAGGUUUGGAUUGGGUACUAUAACGGCUGGGUUUUGGAAUGGAUCCUAAGUGUGAUUCGGGCGCUAGGUGUUGUGAAUGGAUUUCAAGGCUAGGAAACUUGCAUGACAAGCUCGGCUUCGACCCUACGACGGGUGGAGCUAGUCAAGUUUCCUUGGGCUUGGGUUGGCUGUCAGGCUUGAGAGUUUGUGCGACGGGCAUCACUUCGACCUGACCUGGUGCUAGAAGUUAGCAACCCAGCGAUAGGUGGAGCCAAGCAAGACCAAGUGGAAGCUAGAGAGCUUGCACGACAAACUCACUUCGACCACUAGGGUGGAGCUCGGGCAAGAUCAAGUGGAUGGAAGUUAGAGCUUGCUUGACAGACUCACAUCGGCCACUAGGGUAGAGCCUGGGCAAGGUGACCAAGGAUGGGCAUGGGAAUAGGCUUGGAUGGCUCUAAGAUAUUUUAAGGAAUUUUCCUAGGGUUUUUGGAAGUGAAAUAAAUGAAAUGCAACUUUUGGUGUGCACUUUAAGAGGGUUUUUCUACUAUGUAAGUAAGAAAAGGAUAUUUUGGCGAAGGGGUCAUAUGAGGUGAUCAAUGGGAAAGGAACACAUGGAUAGGUUUGGAAUAUUUUGGAAAAUUUUAGGAACUUUUGGAGUACAUGAAGGGCUCUAAGUGAACUUGUGUGUGCAUUUGGCUAGGUACGCAUAGCAAUUUCAGGAGCGCUGCCGCAACAGGGCGGGGCUGCGGGUACUGUGGUGUGGAACCGUGGUCACAACGAGCGAGCUGCGCAUGUGCAGUGGGCCGAGGUAAGGCAGGCUGAGCGAGUGUUCAGAUUUAUUUACCGACACAAACAACAACCAGUAAAAUCAACAAAUCAAGCACAAGAGAUACAAGGAUUUAUUUACCAAAGUUCAGAUUCCUUCAUCGAGGAUUCCUACAUCUCCGUUGGGUUCUUCCAAUAAAGCCGAGUCACUCUCAACCCUUUCCCCACUUCAUAUCUUGAUUUCUUCCCCUACGGAGGCGAAAUCAAAGCCUUCACAAACUUUUCAUGGCACACCACAAGCUUGGGUACUCACCAGGUGAUGCCUAGCCAUCUUGGAGGCUUGACCUAGCCACUCAAUCUGUCAAUCUGUCCACCCAACGCAUUUUUCUCUUCAAAUCUGAUAGGAACACUCAAGCUCUAGUAACAAAAUGGAGGGGAUGGAAACACAGAAGCGUAGUGGUGGGUGGAUUGGAUAAAACUAGCUAGAAUCACUUGAAGAUCACUCAACAAGAUCAACUAGCACCGAAUAUUACUCUACGGUUUUCUCAACUAGGAUAACUCGGAGAUUACUCGACGAGAUCAAUUAGCACCGGAGGUUACUCUACGGGUUUCACAAGGAAGAGCAACACUCAAUUCUCGUAUCAUAUCAAUUCAUCAACUCUGCACAACACAUUGCAUAGCAUCCCUUUAUAUAGAGAGGGAGAGACAGACACUUAAUACUUUGAACUCUUAGAAAAAUUAAAUGGACACUUAGGAACUGACUCCCUAAUUACUAGUCUUAGACUCUAAGAUACAUAUGACUCUUGGGAAACAAAGAGAUAAUAAAGCAACUGAAGAGUCUUGGACUUUCGCGCGGCUUCCUGGCAGCCUGCACACUUUACACUAAAAUGACCAUAACUCUUGACUCGGAAGUCCAAAAGAUGCAUCGUUUGUGGUGUUGGAAACUGUGCCAAUUAUUUCUCUCUUUUUCAUUCUCUCUUGGCUUAUAUCCAAAAUCAUAGCAGCCGUUGUUGAACAUUGAACUCAGAUCCAAAAAUUCCAUACAUGGAUCCAAAAAAUUUUCACUGAUAUGUUUGUCCUCAAAAAAGAUAAUACUUGUUGGCGCAUAAUAGAUAGAAACUUCAGGAUUAAUGGACAGAAAAGUGUUCGUCUCAUCACUUUGAAAGAAAUCAUCCAAUAUAUUUUCAUUAACAGAUUCAAUAGGAUCAAAAUCAAUGGAUAUAUUUUGCUCCUCAUCAUAGAUAGGUGGCAUGCAAUAACACCACUUCUUGGAGACACCAUACGAAUCAUAAGAUGCCAAACCAUAAAUCUUGCAACAAUGAUAGUCCAAAACUUCCCAUUUGCUGCAAACCAAGGACAUCAAGUUGAUCAAAAUCAGUACCUUCAUAACCAGUAGCGCCAUGAAGAGCAGCUUAACAUCCAGAAACAUCACAACCAGUAGGAGCCCCACAAGCAACUUGAUGGCCAUAAUCCUCACAGCCAGCAGUGGCACGACCAACAACCUCUUGACGAGGUACUUCACAACUAGCAGCCUCAAGACCCUAUAAGCGUUCUUGUACUUGACGAUUUUCUUCUCCAAGACCUGCAAGGAUCACAUCAUGGUGAUCAUGCUCUUGGUUGGCAAUGUCGUUGUCGGAGUCUGCUUGAUGACGUUGAUGACAAGCCAUCAACCUUAAUCCAGAUGAUAGAAAUCUUGAAGCAUGGAACAAUAGCUCUGAUUAUCAAAUGAUAGGAACACUCUCACUCUAGUAACAAAAUGGAGGGGAUGGAAACAUGGAAGCAUAGUGGUGGGUGGAUUGGAUAAAACUAGAAUCACUCGGAGAUCACUCAACAAGAUCAACUAGCACCGGAGAUUACUCUAUGGAUUUCUAAAAUAGGAUAACUUUGAGAUUACUUGAUGAGAUCAACUAGCACUAAAGGUUACUCUAUGGGUUUCACAAGGAAGAGCAACGCUCAAUUCUCAUAUCAUAUCAAUUCAUCAACUUUGUCCAACAAAUUACAUAGCAUCCCACCCUUUAUAUAGAGAGGGAGAGAUAGACACUUAAUACUUGAACUCUUAGAAAAACUAAAUGGAAAUAAAGAGAUAAUGAAGCAACUGUAGAGUCUUGAACUUUCGCGCACCUUCCUGGCAGCCUGCACACUUUCCACUAAAAUGACCCAUAACUCUUGACUCGGAAGUCCAAAAGAUGCCUCGUUUGUGGCAUUGGAAACUUAACUCAUAGGACUUUCUAAUGAUGUAUCAUAUGAAUACGGAAACCAAGUAGAUCAGUACCAGAAAUCCAUGAAACUUAGAGAUGUUGCUGCAUGUUCUUCCAACUUGUGUAAACCACCACCAUUUCAUGUAACCGGUUGGUUUACCUUCCCAUGAGGAUAUCAAAAUAUCUUGAAAAUCUAGAGAGGGGAGAGCUUCUUCGGUCUGUGAAUAUGUCUUUUUUGUGUGGGAAACCAGUAGCAGCUAAUGGGAGGCGGUGAGUGGUACAAAUACCUAUCCCAAAAAACUAGCUGUUGGGCUGUUAAGUUCCAGAAUCUCUGGAAAAAAUCUCCGAAAACUCUGGAACCCUAAAACUAGCCAUUAGAUUCAAAAAGUUUCAAACACUACGAAAAAUCGUAAAUUUGCCGAGUGUUUUUUCCUUUGUCGAGUGUUUUUUUUCGGACACUCGACAAACAAGCUCUUUGCCGAGUGCCGAGCUAAAAACACUCGGCAAAGAAAAAACACUCAACAAAGAGGGGCUUUGCCGAGUGUCAAAAACAAAACACUCAGCAAAGAGGGGCUUUGCUGAGUGUUUUAUUUUCACACUCGGCAAAGAAUUUUUUUUUUGAAAAAAAAGUCUUGCCGAGUGUCCAGAUUGGGACACUCGGCAAAUGUCAAAAAUAUAUCUCCCGUCCCCGACCCCCCUACCCCAGCACCCCACCCGCCCGACGCCCCCCUCCUCUUCCUCCGCGCAACACCGGCCCCCACCUCCCUCUCCCUGCCGCCGGCUAGCUGCCGCUGCCGCCGCCCCUUCCCUCCCUCCCUCCCUCUCCCUCUCCCUCUCCUACCGGCGCCCCUCCCCCUCCUCUCCCCUCCUCCCUCCCUCACGCAGCCGCCCCCUCUCUCCGGUGGCGACCUCCGGCCGCCGCCCCGCGCCUCCUCCCCGGAUCCGGCGGGGACUCGCAUCGGGGACGCCGGAUCUGGCGGGGACUCGCGUCGGGGGCCCCGGGAGUGGCGGUCUUCAAGCGGCGGCGUGGAGAUGUGGUGGUGGUGGUGGUCGGCGGGAGGCAGCUCGUGGUGGUCUGCAGGCUGUGGUGGUGGUGGUGGUGGCCGGCUGUGGUGGUGGCAGCGGGCGUGGAUGGUGGCCGGCUGUGGUGGCGGUGGCGGCGGUGCGGAUCGUGGCGGCGGGCGUGGAUGGUGGUGGCAGGUGUGGAUGGUGGCCGACUGCGGUGGUGGCGAUGCCGGCGUGGAUGGUGGCAACGUGCUGGUGGUGCUGCCGACGGUGUCGGCAUGCCUUUUUUUUUAUUUUUUUCAAAAAAAUUGUUUGCCGAGUGUUUUCUGGGCACUCGGCGAAAGCUUUGCCGAGUGCCCGACCGAAAACACUCGACGAAUGUUACUUUGCCAAGUGCCAGAUGCCGAGUGUAACACUCGGCAAAUUUGUUGCCGAGAGUAUUUUGGGUUUCGCCGAGUGCUCCUGGCGCUCGGCAUAAAACCUGUGUCCAGUAGUGGAAAUCUCCACAAAAAUCUCUGGAAACUCUAAAUAUUUUUGUUCUCUCAAAAAUCUACAGAAACUCCACAAAAUUCUCCGAAAUCUCUGCAACUUACCGAUUCUCCGUAGAAUUCUCUGGAAUUUCCGCAAGUCCACUGGACAACAUAAGUCACCCAAGAGAAAGGGAUCUUGGACUCUAAGGAAAUCUUGUUCAAAGAACUAUCCAGUCCAAUUUAAAACAAGCCACCAGAUCACUCAGUGCAAGUGUUGUGACAAGUGUUUCUCUCAUGUUAAAACUUGAAAGGAUAGGUUUGAGCACUAAGGCAUAGGUGAAGCAAUCAUUGCAUCCCUCUCGAUAGCACGGCAUUACAUAUACUCAAGAUCAAAAAAUAGACACAAUAUCAACCACUUGAGCUUGAAUACCUUCACCAUGCUGCUUUUCUUUAAAAUCACACUUUGAGGUGUUUGCAAGCAUUUCUUUCUCUUUCUAUCGGUGUUUUAGACCGGCAACCCGCCUAGGGGUACCCUAGGUGGUCUUUUAUGCGGUAAGGGUCGUCGAGAAUCAAGGAAUCAAUGGUGACACAAGGAACACGAUUUAGACAGGUUCGGGUCGCUAGAUCGCGUAAUACCCUAUGUCCUGUAUGCUUGUAUGUAUUGAUCUUAGAUGCACUUGGAGUUGUUCUGUUUGAGGGGGGUCCCUGCCCGCCCUUAUAUACACGGGAGGGCAGGGUUACAAGUCUGAGUCCUAGUCGAGUACAAUUACAGAGUUCUACUCGGUAUGGCCCGAGUAGUUUUCCAUAUGCAUACUUGACUAGUCCGAGUGGAGAAGCCUAUCCCUUUGUCCUGAUCAUAUCCGAGUACGUCCCUUAGUGGGCUGUCCAAGGUCUACUCGUGGGCCUAGGGUGCAUGCUCGACAAGCCCCCGAGUACUUUGUAGUCGUGCACUGUAGUCUUGAGUACUGUGGGCAUUAUCUGAGUAGUUCUUUUGUAGAGGUUGCGGUGUCCAAAGUGCUCGAGUAUUGUUCGCGUGGCUGGAAGGUACUCUUCUUGCUCCUUUGAGUUGCUUUUGUUCCGAGAAUUUUUUAUAUGGUAGUGCGAUGACAAUCGUACUCCAUAUGGAGUAGCCCCAGAGCCUUAGGUUGAGUCGAAGAGUCAGGCUUAGGGUCAAUCCUGCUUCUUGGCUGUUUUACUCUUGGUAAUCUGAAAAAGAAAAUUCUGACCAUCGGGUACGGUACCCGCAGCCCCCGAGCACUUAGGCAAUUUUUUUCGUUGAAGUGGUCAAGACCCAUUGAACAGAGUAUCCGUUGGGUGUUUAAGGCAAUUAAUUUGUUUAAAAACCCAUCCGUUGCGUAACUAAUGCUUGGAAUCCGGAGGUGGCGGAGAUAUAAUCGGAGGGCCCCCUUUCAGUUAGGUUUACGCCCCACUGUAGCAGAUCUGUUUCUCUUCUUCCCCCACCUUUCCAUUCCUGUUUUCCUCCACCGUGAUUGUCUAGCGCCGCCGCCACCGUUGCUGCUCCUCUGAGAGAGGUCCGAGGUUGAGUGCAUUUUGCUGCGGGUGAAGCCGGUGGAUGCGCACCAAGAAGAUGGGGAAAAAACCCGAGAAGGCUCAAGGCAAGGCUCCUGCGGCGGGCAAGGUGAAGUCCAAGAAGGGGAAGGAGGUGGUGCUACUGGCGCCGAAGGUAGGGCCGACAAACCAGACUGCGCCGCUGCCGCCUGGAGCGAUGUGGUAGCAUUCGGUGAUGAAGGAGGCGGCCAUUCAGGUGCUUGUCGAUGCCAAACUUCUGCACUCGAAAUAGGUACUCGAGUGGAGGCCUACCUUCGCUGACGCGUGGCAAUUCGAGAAGCAUCCGAAUGAGACGGUUAUGCUUGCUCACUUUGUGGAGAGGGGGUUGGCAGUGCCCACCUCCGACUUCUUCAGAGGUAUUCUUGAGUACUACAAGCUUCAACUUGUACACUUGAACCCCAAUGGUGUACUGCACAUGUCUAUUUUUGUGCACCUUUGUGAAGUUUACUUGGGAGUUCCUCCUAGUCUUGAGAUGUUUAGGAAGUUGUUCCGUAGCAGGCCUCAACCUAGUGCUGUUAGGACAGAGGUCUUUGGGGGCGCUGGGUUCCAGCUCAGGAACUCAGGCGCGUAUAUUGAAUAUAACUUGACUGACUCCCAUGGGAAGUGGAAGAAAAGGUGGUUUUAUAUUGGGAACCAUAACCCUCGCUUGCCGGUGGUCACUGGUCAUGCGCCGAAGCACGCAGAGAAUUGGGUGAGCGAGCCUGAAGAUAGCCCAGAGCUCGAUCACUUAAUUCCCCAGAUUGCUGAGUUGAAGGCACUCGGUUUGACUGGAGUCAAUCUGGCAGCCAGCUUCCUCAAGAGAAGAAUUCAGCCCUUGCAAAAGCGGGCGCACUUGGGUGGGGAGUACUCAGGUUUUAAUGACCCGUCCCGUAUGUCUCCGGAUGAUAUUUCUGAUGAUGAUGUUGAGGCACUGUUGGCCAAGUUCUUUAGGAAUUAUCAAGGAGUACUAGUUAUUCCUUCAACGCUUCGUCAGUUUGAUGCUUGGUAUCAGCCAGAAGUGGUAUGGUCUUUCACUUUGAGUUGUACUUUUUGAACUGUUCGGGAUAUUGUUUGAGUGUCGACUUGCUUUUGUAGUCCCGAGUUCUUACUGGCUACUUGGUGUAGUCGGAAGAAGAAGAAUCUGUUGUUGAGGAGUCAGAGGACGAGCCCUCUCCUCCUGUGAAGAAACGCUGAGUAGUCCGCAAGAUGUCUGCUGCUAAGUCUACCACGACUUCUCCUGAGAAGUCUCGGGGUGCCAAGGUAUGUAGCUGUGUACUCACUUGUAGCUGACGGAUUUUAACUUGUAAUCUUUGAUCACUUUAUCUGUCUUCAAAAGGCUGACGACGCGGCGCUUGGUGACGAUGAGGCUGCUUCGGAUGAAGUAGUCAUGAGCGCCUAGGGUGUUGAUGUUGUGUCUGUUGAGAAGGUACUAGGGAAGGUGCCACCAACAGAUGCUGGAGUAGCCCCCGAGCUGACAGUCCAAGCUCCAUCGGCUACCGCGCUGCCGGUCCCAGACCAGGCAGUCCUGGGUUUGCCUGCUGGAGUGGCGGACGAUGUUGGGAAAGGAGUAUCACCAGUAGUUGCUACUGGUUCUUUGUCGUCCAAGGUGAUUGCUAGUGGUGAGCUUUCUUUCCCGACUGGUUUCGUUAGUCUGAGUUGUAUUUUAGUCUUGACCCUGUGUUUCCCAGGUCUUGGCGAGAAGACAGAGCCAGCAGCUGCUCCCGUGGCGUCGAGUACUCGGCCACCUGUUGCCGAGAAGAAGCGUGUGCGAUUGCCGCCACGAUCAACUCGGUGAGCUGUUUAUCCUUGGUGUGUAUCUUCAAGGUUUCUUCAAGUCGUGUAAUGACUUUGUAUUUUGAUGUAGGGAUGCGGAGGAGACUAUCCCUGUGGAGGCAAGAGUAGAUUCGUGUCCCCCGACUACUCUUUCUGCUCCUUUUGAGGAUUUGACUGUCGACAAAGUAUCCGGAGUUGAUGCUAGUCAUCUUGGAGCGUCCAUGUCUAUGCUUCAAGAAGUGAUCCGCUCGGUGGAAGAUCCCCCUGCUGCCUCGGGUUCUAGGAAUGUAUCCUUGUCAGCGUCUACUGGCGGAGAUUUGGCUGUAAUUGAUGCAGGGAAAUCUAAGGAACCAGCUACCCUAGGUAUGUAUCCGCAGUCUUGGUAUUGUAUUCGUAGUAUUGAGGUGGCUGAUGUUAAUCUCUUAGGUACUGCCUUGGGUGCAGCUCCUCAUCUUGCGAAGAGUACUCAAGGUCCAGUAAUCGGGCUCCCGUCUGAGUCAGAGUUCCAGAGAGCUGUCAAUGUUUUUCAAAGCUUCCAGGUGUGUUUUAUUUACUUAUCUAACAGGUUUAGUAACUAGGGGAGUUGACCGUUUGCUUUGCUGUGUAGGAUCUGUAUGACCAAAUGCAAAGGAACACUCGGGCCCUUCAGGAGCGGAACGAGCAAUUGGAGCAGGAGUGUGUCCGACUUGCGGAAUCCUUGAGGGUUCAUGAAGCUGGAGGGAAAUCCUUUGCUGUGGAGCGGUCAGAUCACGAAGUCUUACAGCAAAAGCUAGAGAGCCGCUACAAGUCUUUGAAUAAAAAGUAUCAAGGUGAGUACUUUUCAUGUUCUGGGUAUGUCCGACUAUUGUCGGUUGUGUUUGAACUUGGCCGUUUUUGCAGAACUCAAGAGGAAGGAGGCUACUGCAAGUAGCCAACUCCUUGAUUGGAGAAACUCGCAUGACCGAGUAGCGGAUGAAGCUGAACAUCUUCAAGCCGCGCUGACAGAGGCACAGGCUGCCUGCGAGCAUCAACGGGAUAGGAAGAUCCAGAAUGGAGUGAUGCUUGCUAUGGCCAUAGUGGUGUGCAGAGACCAUGCCCAGACCGUUGGAAGAUUUUGAAGCGAGCUCCAAGAGUUAACUGAUGCCGCUCAAGACUUGGUGAACGCCAUUGCCCCCUUAGAAGAGGAUGCAGGACCUCAAUCACUAGUCGAGCGCUUCAAGGCUGCUCCGGGUAAGGUGGCAGGCCUCUGCAAGGCUGUUUGCAAAUAGCUCCUUGCUAUGGUAAGGUCAUACUACCCAAGGGCAUAUUUUUCAACGGCUGGUGACAGCGUUGCUCGCAAUUGCACAGAGAAAGCCUAUGCGCAGUACCUCGAGGAGGCGGAACCAAUCGCGUCGAAGAUGUCAGAAUUUGUAUCUCUGGAGGAGCCUUGAGCGUUUAUGUACUCUUGUAAACUUUCGAGUACUUUGAAUGAUAUUGUGUCUGAGAGUUGAACACUUGUCUAUACUUUGUUGUUUGAAGUGGGUCUGACCCAUCAUGGGUAAGGAACGUUUUACUCUAUCUCACCUGACCCAAGGUCCCAUGGAUAGACACGCCCGACCCUAUGAGGAUGGAACUCCGCCUUGCCCGACCCCUUGCCGUAAGGCUUCAUAUCGCCCGACCUCGGGUGUAGGGAGUCGGACUCAACUGGGCCCCCAGGACAAGGAUCCGCUACAGGCACAACCCAGGUUUUGGCAGAAGUUGUUCUGAGGAUUGAGUUUGAGUAGUCACGAUGUAGUCGAGUAACCUUGUUAUUCUGUGAAUAGGAGGUGCACGGGUGUACUGUACUCUUUUGUCCUUCGUGGCAUGAAUGCUUUCACGUGGGCAGUCAGAGAUCAUCCAGACUCAUCGAUCACGGGCGCAUAGUAAAUUCUGGGUGGUUGAUGGUUGCAGCCCUUGGCUAUAAAUAGACCCUCCUGGAGGUCGACCCUGAAUCAAGCUUUGAGUAGCGCUAGAUUGCCUUCGGUUGCUGUUGUUUGAGUGUAGAGAGCCUUCAAAGAGUACACCGGUGCUAGAAGAUUCCUCGUAGGUCCCUGCACAGACUCUAGCGCUCAUAGGGAUAGCUGCGAUGCUAGAAGAAUCCUCGUAGGAGGUUUCAUCGCUGUCGUUUUGGAGUAGCUUUGGGAUCAACAUUUAGAGAGUGUUCGAUCAGCUCCUUGGGCACACCGGGCAUGUCAGCUGGUUUCCAAGUGAUGAUAUCGUGGUUAGCCCAAAGGAAACUGAUGAGCACGGAUUCCUAUUUAGGAUCUAGCCCUGUUCCAAUCAGGGCUGUCUUGGAGGAGUCACCCGUCUGGAGAUCGACUGGUUUGAAGUCUUGCUUGCUUGCGGGUUUCACCUUUGUAGACCCCGACUUGUUUUCUGGGAUCUCGAGUUCGGUUAGAUGGAGUUUCUUUGAAGCUGUGAAGACUUAUUGCAUGGGACUAGGUGUUUGAGAAGUCGCAGCGAUCUCCACGGCUUUAGUGUCGCAUUCAUAGGAUCACCGUAGAUCUCCCCGUAGCGUUAGUUCUCCCUUGGGACCUGGUAUUUUGAGUACCAAGUAAACGUAAUGUGGUAUAGCCAUGAACUUGGCGAGUGCUAGCCUUCCGAGUAUGGUGUGGUAGGAUGUCUCGAAAUCGGCGACUUCAAAUAUGAUAUAUUCGGUGCGGUAGUGUUCCUUAGUUCCAAAGGUAACUGGGAGGACAACUUGUCCAAGUGGUAUAGCUGCAUUUCCAGGUACGAUGCCAUAGAAGGGUGAAUCUGUUGGGGUCAACAUUUCUGUGACGUCGAGGCACAUCUUUCUUAGUGUUUUGGCGAAAAUGACAUGGAGUCCACUUCCACCAUCGAUGAGUACCUUUGUCAGCUUUGACCCUGCCACAAUGGGAUCGAGUACUAGAGGGAAUCGGCCUGGUUCUGAGAAUUUUGUCCACUGGUCUUUUCUGCUGAAGGAUAUGGGUACUUCGAACCAUUUAAGUGGUGUUGGAUCUAUUGGCUCGAUGGCCAUGAUUUUCCUGAGUACGAGUUUGUUGGCUCGCUUGGAUGCAGUGCCUGGGAUUCCGCCAAACAUGACGUUGACUGUCUUGGAGGCGGUCUGGAAGUCGCCUUCUUCUUCGUCGUUGUGGUUGUUCUUGCCCUUGUCCUUUUUCUUGUUGUAUUCUUCAGGGGGUGGUGGUGUGGGUAAGUCUUGCAUGACUUGACGCAUGCUGUAGCAAUCUAUUGCCGAGUGCUUGCUAGUCGGGUGCCAUGGGCACUGCUUUUUGAGUAGCUUGGUGAAGGUUGGCCCUUCAUCGUUUUUACGGGAUCCCUUUUUCCCGGAGUUGGUCAUGGCAGCAACGGUGUUGUCGGGCUUCCUUUUGCGAUUCUGAUUACUCGAAAAGUUAUUUCAAGUAUCAUUGUGCUGAGUUCUAUCUUGGUCAUUGUUGUUGUCGCGUCCUCGGUUGCGAUGAGAGCCAAACCAUUCACGCUCUUUGUCUUCUUCAUCCGCCCACUAUUGCACCAUGACUUUGAGGUCUUUGACGUUAGCUGGUCAUCAUUGACCGAAGUCUUGGUAUGUUCGCCGAUCAUAGGGUCCGUUCUGGAAACACUCGAUGACGUCUGUUUCUGAAAUGUCAACUAUAGUUGCCUUCUUUUCGAAGAAUCAUCUCAAGUAGUCGCGUAAGCUUUCACCUUCUUUCUGCUUUAUUUGACUCAAGUGGAUCUUGUUGCCUGGUCUAGCCAUGGAGCCAGCAUAGUUGUUGGUGAAAGCCUUUGUCAAAUCUGCCCAAGAGUCAAUUGACUUGGGUUUGAGUGACUCAAGCCACGUCAGUGGUUCGGGUUCCAUGCAUAUGGGAAAGUGGAUGACUUUGGUGUCGUUAUUGCCCCAAGCUGCUUGAACUGCUAGCGAGUAGCAUCGUAGCCAUUGAAUUGGGUCUUGUUUGCCAUCAUACUUGGUGAUUCCUGUUAGCUUCAACUUCUUGGGUAGUCUUGUCUUCAUUACCCUAUUUGUGAAAGCAGGAAAGUGGUUGUAGUUGUCGACUUCUCGCUCACGCCAACUGUUGAGUAUUUCUCGUAGAUCACUAAAGUUUGACACUUCGUGUUUCUUCUGAGUAGGGUGAAUACUUUUGUUGGCGCUAGAAAUCAGCCGAUUGAAUCUCUAGCGUCGGACACACGACCCGGGAGAAUCUACUUAACUCCUGUUCCGGUGAUCGCCCUGGUGCGGUUCGCGCGACGUGCCAGCCAAUCUGACCUAUUGAUUGGCACGGAAAGAAACGUGUCAGGUCCUAGAGGUUGCGAUCGGCUAAGGUUCCGAUCUUGAGAGAGCUUAUCAGCGAAUGGGUCGAUUUGCUGUAAUAAAGGAAUCGGCUAUAAUACAGCCGAUUACCAGGCAACAUUGGUAAAGAAAACUGCUAAGAGUAAACUAAACAACGCUACAGUAGCAACACUAGGAAUAGAUCUUAAUCGGCUAUGCAAAAAGUAGUAAAUUGAGCAAUAAGAUAUAAAAAAGCCGACAGUACUAAUUCCAAGCUGGAUAACUGGUGAUAAAACUAGAACAACAGGAAAAACCUAGAAUUCUAGUGAUUAUCGAUAACUGGUGAAUAAAUCUAAACGAAACGACAGCAAUGUGCCCGAAGUUAAAGCUUAGAUAUUACUCGAUAAGAGGAACUUACAGAAUCGGCCGGAGAUCAAGUUGAUGCAGCCCCGCCAACCCGUACGAACUCGUGAAAAGAAGAAAAGUAUUGGCGAAGUCGCCUGCUCGAAAGUAAAGUGCGAGGAAAUAGUAGUUUGUUGUAUUGAUUUGAUGAUGAUUACAGAUCUAUGAAAGCGGCUAUUUAUAGCCAGUUGCAACCAAUCUCUUAACUGACUAGGACUCUAUCUCUAAUUUUAAAUGAAAACAAAUAUUUACAAGCAUAAUUCUUAUCGGAGUUGGUCAUCGUGUUCCCACGGGCCGAUCUCCUUUUUAUCUUCAUAGCUCACUUUAGGCCCAUAUUGGCCCAACUGCUCCAACCUCCCAAUCGGCCAAUUUUCACCAAGUCCAUCCGCCGAAAUACUACAGCACCAAUCGGCCGAUCCUCAAUUGUAGCACCAAUCGGCCGAUUCCCAAUCGUGACCUCCGUGUUUCGCCGCAUAAGUUGAUUCCUUCCCUUCUUGACGUCGAUUUCAUAUGUGUAAAAAUCUGGCGUCAACACAUGCCCCCCAGUUUCGGAGUAAAACAUAAUCUUUACUUCGAAAUUCCUUUCAACUUCCCUUCCGAAACAAUUGCAUUGAAAAUACACUUUCGUUUCGCGGUCUUCUGCCUGAUGAUUGCAAUCUUUUCGAAAUGGGCGCCCACGACAACCACUCCUCCCAAAAAAAUCGAACCGUCGGCGUGGUAAAAAUUCCGCUUUUACCCUUUCUCAGACCGCCCUUAGAUAUCAGUACGUCCCGUACUUCUUCUUCACGAGCCCACGUCUUCCUUCUUUGGCGCACUGGCCUCCUUCUUCCGGCGUCUCUUUAGCCUCUAACCUCUCACUUCGGCGAGUUCUUCCAUCUACAUUCCACCCCACCUUCUCGAUGGCGACACCUUCAGGCACUCCACCAACAUCCGAGGUCCUGGAGACGGCUCCAUCAGCAGUGGCUCCAACAGCAAUGGCGGCAGCUCCAUUGGCAGGAGCAGGAGCUCCAUCGGGCGGGAGCGGGAGCUUCAUCGACGACCACAAUGAGCUUCAUACCAGAGGUUUCUACCAAAACUUUCCUUUCCGCUCCUCUAUGUCGAUGCAUUUACCUUAGAUCUGUUCUUACUUCCCCUUCCAUUCUUUACCUGUUUAGGCGGUUAGGCACAAGAUUACUAUUCGCCUCACCGAAACUCCCGGCCUUAUCUGUCUUGGUCCCAUGGGAAACAUAGAUACAACCGACCUAAUCAAUUUGGAAACCCAUAGGAUCCCUUUCAAGCAAUCAACCAUGGACCUAGAUCACUGGUCAGGUACCUUCAGAUCAUGGCCGAAUGAAACCCCCAGCUGGAGGGAAUGGUACCAAUGGAUAGCCGCCUUAAAAAGAGUUCAAUGGGACGAGCCUUUAGUAAUAGCAGCCUUAUCUUUGUCCCAAAUGGAAAGGAAUGAGCCUUUAGUAAUAGCAGCCUCCUACUUUUGGUCUGAUGCCCUCAACGCAUUCCUCUUAGGACACGGACCUAUGACCCCUACCCUGGCCGAUGUGGUCAUGUGGAUCGGCCUUGAUAUCUCCUCUCCCGAUACUCCUUUCCGUUACUUGGCCAAAACAUCCCAUCGGCUGGAGACGAAAGGAAUCGGCGGGUGGAAAGGAUUCAUCAAGUGCAACAGAAGGGCCGGGACAGUCCAGGAAAGAGAGCAUGCGGCCUUCUUGAUGAUGUGGCUAGAGAAACACCUUUUUUGCGGGAGGGCAGCCGGUCCAUCCACUAACACACAGGCUCUGGCCGAGACACUAUCGAUAGGGGCCUCUGUUCCUCUUGGAAAGCACCUAUUGGGAUCGGUUUACCAUAUGUUGCAUCAGAUCGGCGUCAAGCUAUCCAAAGGAGAGCCGAUUGGAAACCCAGGUGGACCCUGGUGGUUCAUCAACUUGUGGCUUAAUCUGUAUAUUAGCAAGAUCUCCCAGCAGCGAGUGGAGUACAUGACGUUCCCAAACAUCGAAUCGGCAGAGAAUCCCACUGUACGGCGCCGGUGUACUUCCUUCGGUGAAGCGGCAUCGGCCUUCUCCGGUUUCUCAUAUUCUGUUGCCAAGGUGGCCGAAUACUUCAGAUGCUUCUACAAUGGCUUUAGUGAAGACGCAACCAGCUGGUUCCCUUAUCAAAGGGAGGAACCACUCUUCGAGCUCCCGUCCUGUUUUGACUCGGCCACCAGCAAAUUUGAUGAGGACCUCACAGAUGAAUUGAUCAAGCCGGGGAUCCUGCCGGCGAACUUCUUCUCGGGGAAGGAUGCCCCCACUUAUGAGUUUUACCAUCCUUCCGUCACAGCACGGCAAUUCGGCUUGGGUCAACUGCCGAUUUAUGCAUACUUCACCGGCCGAGCAAAAUUUCGAGACGAGCUCACCAAAGGUCUCCACUACUACGAUCGGAUUCUAGACUCCAGCACCAUAGACUUGGCCAGUUGGAUAGUAGCCCCUUUCGCUGUUCAGCAGUUCAAGCUAUGGUGGGUGGAAUGGAAGCAACAUCUAUUCUGCGCCUCUACGGCGAUAUAUUGUAAUCUCCUGAAUCCCGACAACAUCGAUCCGAAUGCCGAGGUAUCGCUCUCUUUCUGGCUGAUUUUCAACUCCUUUUUUUUUAUACUGACUCUUAUUAUUAUUUCAGUCUGAGAGCCAUGCUCCCCCAAAAUGCAGUCGGAGUGGUCGGUCGAUAGAGGACCGUUAUCCAUACACAGCAUUCCCCCUCAUCGGCUAUCACGCCCCCUCCGUUGAUGACAUAGCCGGCCGAGCGAAGCAAGCGCAGAAAAAGAUUAUCAAGAAGACAAGUCGCCGAGUACGCGCCCGCACAGAAUCGGCCGAUCCACCCGUGGUUGCAUCGGCGGAAAUUUCGGCUGCGCCGACCCUUCCAGUCGCUGAAGAAUUUGACCUCCAAGCUGCUACAGAGGCCGGAGCAGCUGCCGCGUCAUUAUGGGUGGAAGCUAUUCAGGUAAACUCACCAUCCAAUUUUCCUAACAGUCAUUUCAAUACUGUCCUUUCCUUUAUUAGGCCGCGCAGACUCCCUCAGCAGAUCCACAGCAAUCUGCAAUGCCCCAAGCAGAAGUUGAAAUACCAGUGCCCCUUCCCGUUGAGGUACAUGAUCUCUCAACUCAAUUCUUUAAUAUUUGAAUGAUGAUCCUACCAACCUUGAUGCAAGUCAUCGGCACAUUAACUAUGCUAUCCGACUAGCCAUCUGCCAGAGAAGUCCUUCAAGAGGCCGGCCCGAGCAGAACGCCGAUCGUUGUCGAAUCCUCUUCUUCCGAUGAGCCAAUGGCACCAGUCCCCGAGUCGAGAGUGGCUGUUCCGCAAACACAGAUGGAGGAGAUCCGUUUCAAAGAGGUGAGAAGUCAUUUGACCCGCAUUGACCGAUUCAUCACCACCAUCGGCUGACUCAUUUUCCUUUUAUUUAUCAUUCACAGGAACAGGACACUCCCAAUAAUAGCCUCUUCUCAUUUGCGGUCGCGCUCUCUGAUGACGAGGAAGUUUCUUCUUGUCAAGUUACUUUGAGCUCCAUCCCCGAUGAUGUCCGCACUAAGCUCGAAAGUAUAUGGUCCCUUCUUCAAGAGGACAUCGGCCGAUUGGUGGAGGACGCCUCGCCGAUUUGGCAGCUCUUUGGUGAUGUCAGCGGGCAAGUCCCAGAGGAAGCAGAAGAAGCCUUAGCGCCGGCCGCUUAUAUCGAGUCGAUGCGGAUCCCGAUCUUCAGGGCUCUGCGUCACAUGGCUGAUAGCGCCAAGCUGGCUAAGACUCAUGAGGAAGAGGACUCGUACAAGCAUCGGGCCCAGGAGGUACACCAUCGGAUUCACUUCCUCGAGAAUUCCCGACCCGGACUCGUCGGCACGAUAGAUCGCCUCAAGCGCCGAAGGGCGGAACAUGCCAAGGAGAUGGAGCAGGUAACCAAAGAAAUAGCUAUUGAAGAGAAGAAGCUUCAGGAACUCCCUUCCGUUAUCGCCGAUUUAAAGCAGGAGAGGCAGCAUCUGGCCCAUGAGGCCCUUAGACUCCAUCGCCAUAUGUCAGAAGUUCCAGGGUCGGCAGAUGAUGACCAACGAGUCUUGGACUCGGCCGAUCAGAUCAGAAGUCGAGCGAUUGCAGCCAUUAACGCCCUUCUGGGUGAUCUGUAAAAGUACUGGCCAUUUUGUACGAACAUUAAUGCCUUUUGACUGUCCUUCGUGGCGCUCUCCUAUUUAUUACCCUUUUUACUCUGACAGGACGCAUCUUACCAAACCUCCGCGCUUCCUCUUAUUAUAAAUACCGGCCCUGGUUUCGCUCUUGAGAAUACCUGCUCCACUCUAUUCCUUUUUCCCCGAUUACGUUUCCAUCGGAACGUUCGUAGUCAUGUCUUCUUCGUCUUCUUCUUUCUCCUCGCCUUCUAUCAAUCAGGUACGAGGUCCGUCUCCGCCCUUUUUUCAGUUUGAUCCCUUUAAAUCAUUCCAACUUUUAGGCGGCUAUGUGCUAACUUUUUCAGCCAAGGCACCUUAGCCCUGAACUCGAAUGAGCAAUCAAACUCGUGCACUCUGACGAGUCAUUGUCGCAAGAGAACAAGGACUUGAUCAAGGCACACCGUGAAGAACUCAGAGAUCACGUUCCUGCCGACGUCCAACGGAUCUGGGACUUCAUCGAUGUCAAUGAUUACGGGAGACCGCAAGUUGACAGGAGCCACCCACUUCCUCUUCCGGUUGUUCUUGAAAACGUCGCGGUAGGGACAUCGCACCCGGUGAUGGAUCGGAGCCAUCCUCUUCCUCGCCAAGUUGAGGCGGAGGCCGCGAUGAGAGAUGUGGCAGAACGAAGCAUUCGCCUUCUGAUAGAAUUAGGUAGGAUUGAGAGGGAACUCAAGAAGAAGCGUAGUUGAGUAUUUUUUGUUCUAAGGACGAAGUGUACUGCGUCGGUCGUGUAAUUCAUCGUUCGUACCGAAUCACAAAUCGGCCAAUUUGAACGAUUAUUUUUCUCCUUUAGGCGAUUUCUUCUCCCGUAUCGGCUGUGUGAUCAUUCAGGGAGCGAUCUUUCUGUCUUAUGUUCCGACCCAUAUACUGGGGUAAUACCUUUUCAAGUACCUCCCGUUUAAGGCCCUAGUAAAUUCUUCUCCUUCGAUCAUUUCCAGAAUGUAAGCGUUUCCCAGGGCACAUCGGCCGAUUCUAUACGGCCCUUCCCAAGUGGGAGACCAUUUACCGAAUUUAGGAUCUUUUGAUCCAAUCGGCAACACUAACUUCCAUACUAGAUCCCCUUGGGAGAACUGCUUGACUUUGACCUUCUUGUCAUACCAUCUGGCCACUUUCUUUUUGUUUUCCUUGAUACUGAUCAAGGCUCUCAAACGUUGGCCCGCCAAAUCGUCGAGUUCCCUAUUCAUGAGCGAGGAGUAAUCAUCGGCCGUCAGCUGAUCUUGAAGCGACGUGCGUCUCGACCCUGUUCUCAACUCCCAUGGCAAUACUGCCUCAUGACCGUACACCAAUUGAUAAGGAGACACCUUGGUAGCCCCGUGGCAGGCCAUCCUGUAUGCCCAUAGAGCUUCGGUUAGACAUAAGUGCCAUUUUUUGGGUUGUUCUUCGAUCUUCCUCUUGAUCAACUUGAUUAUCCCUUUAUUGGAAGAUUUGGCCUGGCCGUUAGCCUGAGGAUAGUACGGGGAGGAAUUUAGCAGCUUGAUUCCCAUAUCGGCCGUGAACUCCUCGAACUCUCCCGACGUGAACAUCGUCCCUUGAUCAGUUGUGAUAGUCUGAGGGAUGCCGAAACGAUAGACAAUAUGAUCCCUCACGAAAUCGACCAUAGCGGCCGAUGUUACGGCCUUUAAUGGAACCGCCUCCACCCAUUUGGUGAAAUAAUCUGUGGCUACCAGAAUGAAUUUAUGUCCUUUACUUGACGGAGGAUAAAUUUUUCCAAUGAGGUCUAUUCCCCAACCUCUGAACGGCCACGGCUUGAUAAUUGGAUUCAUAGCCGACGCGGGCGCGCGUUGCACAUUCCCAUAUUUCUGACAAUCUUGGCUUCCUUUAUAAUACUUGAAACAGUCCUUAAGGAUUGUCGGCCAGUAAUAUCCAUUAUUCCUAAUCAUCCACUUCAUCUUAUGCGCCGAUUGGUGGGCUCCACACACCCCUUCGUGCAUUUCUCCCAUCAGGGUCUUUGCCUCCUCCGUCCCUAGGCAUUUGAGUAGAACACCAUCAAUCGUCCGGUAGAACAAAUCAUUUUCCAAUAACACAUAUUUUUGUGGCCUGAAAUCGUAUUCGCCGAUCCACUUUCUUAGAUGGGUCUUUUAAAUAAUCGGCGAUCUCUUUUCGCCAGCCGUCGGCCGCGAGUUCCAGAAUCAUGGCGCCUUGAAUCGGCCGAUACCCGAACGCGUGCUGAGCCAGCCUGUUGGCUUCUUCAUUGUAAUCCCUGGGGAUAUGCUCAAUAACUGUGGAUUUGAAUUCUUUCAGAAGUUGGAGGCAAUCCUCAUAGUAAACCCUUAAUACAUCAUCUUUGCACUCGGAUCUUCCUAUCAAUUGGUCCACGAUGAGCAUGGAAUCUCCAAAAACAUCGAUGGUGUCGGCCUUAAUUUCUCUUAACAAUUGUAACCCUUUCAGGACAGCCCGGUAUUCCGUCUGGUUAUUAGUGGCGGAUGCUUCUAUCGGUAGAGAGAAAUCAUAGCUUGCCCCCUGAGGUGAUAUGAGAACGAUGCCGAUUCCCGAUCCGGCCCCACAUGAUGAGCCAUCAAAAUAUAAGGUCCACGGUACUGGUUCCACGACAGCGAUUUCUGGUCCGCAGUGUUGGGCGACGAAAUCAGCCAUAACCUGACCUUUGAUGGCGUUUGCCGAUUCGUACCGUAGAUCAAACUCUGAUAAAGCCAAAAUCCACUUUCCGAUCCACCCUUUCAAAAUCGGCAAUGACAGCAUAUACUUUACUACGUCAUCCGUGCAUACAACCACGCAUUCUGCUGAUAACAAGUAGUGCCUGAGCUUGGUGCAUGAGAAGUAAAGACAUAAGCACAGCCGCUCUACCGGGGGAUAUCUUGAUUCGGCGUCCAAAAGUCUUCUACUAACAUAAUAUAUUACCCGUUCCUUUCCUUCGAACUCCUAGACUAGUGCCGAUCCGAUAGCUCGCUCAUCGGCCGAUAAAUACAGCUUGAAUGGCUUACCAGUUUCUGGUGGGACCAAGUACUGCUUGAUGUCUUCUAGUGCCUUGCGUUGCUCUUCUCCCCAUACAAACUCUUGGUUGGGUUUCAAUUUCAACAACGGUGUGAAGGCCUGGAUACGUCCGGAUAGGUUGGAUAUGAACCAGGCAACGUUGGUAAAGAAAACUGCUAAGAGUAAACUAAACAACGCUACAGUAGCAACACUAGGAACAGAUCUUAAUCGGCUAUGCAAAAAGUAGUAAAUUGAGCAAUAAGAUAUAAAAAAGCCGACAGUCCUAAUUCCAAGCUGGAUAACUGGUGAUAAAACUAGAACAAUAGGCAAAACCUAGAAUUCAAGUGAUUAUCGAUAACUAGUGAAUAAAUCUAAACGAAACGGCAGCAAUGCGCCCGAAGUUAAAGCUUAGAUAUUACUCGAUAUGCGGAACUUACAGAAUCAGCCGGAGAUCAAGUUGAUGCAGCCCCGCCAACCCGUACAAACUCAUGAAAAGAAGAAAAGUAUUGGCGAAGUCGCCUGCUCGAAAGUAAAGUGCGAGGAAAUAGUAGUUUGUUGUAUUGAUUUGAUGAUGAUUACAGAUCUAUGAAAGCGGCUAUUUAUAGCCUGUUACAACCAAUCUCUUAACCGACUAGAACUCUAUCUCUAAUUUUAAACGAAAAUGAAUAUUUACAAGCAUAAUUCCUAUCGGAGUUGGUCAUCGUGUUCCCAUGGGCCGAUCUCCUUUUUAUCUUCAUAGCUCACUUUAGGCCCAUAUUGGCCCAACUGCUCCAGCCUCCCAAUCGGCCGAUUUCCACCAACUCCAUCCGCCGAAAUACUGCAGCACCAAUCGGCCGAUUCCCAAUCGUGACCUCCGUGUUUCGCCGCAUCAGCUGAUUCCUUCCCUUCUUGACGCCGAUUUCAUAUGUGUCAAAAUCUGGCGUCAACACAUACAUAAUGAUGGUAUUGUUCCUACUUUCAGGAUGAGGUAUUUACUAUUGAAGCAACAAUAAAUGAAAUUAAUGCAACAUAUGGUUGGUACUACAUCUCAUGUAGUAGAGGCGAUUGUAAGAAGUAACUUGAAAAGAUGUUUGAUCACUACUAUUGCAAUAAAUGUGACAAGAGAGCCUAACCUAAAGCACGGUAAAUUAGUUAGUAGUUUACAAUCUUAUUAUAGUACUUCUAUUUCUAAUAGGAGAAUAAUAUUUGCAGAUUCAAAAUUAAGCUUCAAAUAAGUGAUCCAACAGCAAGUGCAACUUGUGUACUUUUGACAAGGAAGCAGAAAUGAUAAUUAAUGAAUGAGCAGAUUCGAUGAUCACCUCAGUUGAUCAUGAUAAUAAGUAGCUACCAAAAUCAAUUCAGAAAAUAUGUGAAGAAACAUUGAUUUUUCAAUUCAGAUUGACCGAGUACAACUUGACAAGUUUUAGACCUGAUUAUACUGUUUCAAAGAUAUUUUUUCCAAAAGAGAAGAGCAGUUCUAGAAUUGGUAUGGAAAGUGUAAAAAAGGUAACACUUUAUUAUUAAGUUUUUAUUGCACUUUUUUCUUUUGAAUCCUUAAUAUUUAAUAAUUUUACUAUAUCAAUGAAACAAAUUCUAACCUAAAUUUACAACUCAAACAAAUGCUACAUGAUAACUACCGAGAAUGAAGAGGUAGACACUGAUGACUCUUUUACCAAGAAAGUAACAUUCGUAGAAGAAGCCAUAAGGACUGGGGAAAGAUUGGCUAGAAAAGUAUACUCACUUCCAUCUCAGUAUUCAUUCUGUUUACAAUACAUGCAAAAAAAUAUUAUUCAUGCAAAAUUGCAGGUCUACUAAGCAUUAAAGGAAUAGCGGAUAGUGCAAUAUCUAAUUUGAGCAGCAUGCAUUACAAAGUGCUCUACUGCAAUUAAAUUAAAAAACAUGAUAUAUGUUGAAUUCUUAGACUUUAUUAUUAUACUUUUCUAUGUGACAAUUCACAAUUUUUUAGAAAAUAGAAGAUCCCAGAAGAAGUGAUCAUGAAAAAAGGUCUAUGCCCAGCAAUAAGAAAAAAAUGCAAGCAUAGAAACAAAUCCGUAGAAAACAUAGAAAAUAAGGUACUCCAUAAACAAAAGUAUUCUCUUAUAUUUUUAUUAAAUAUUUCUUUAACACUUGACAAGUUCUUUUUUAGGAUCAAUAUAUCAGCAAUUCAGAUGUCAUUGGAGAUGAAAACCUUAGUUCGUCCAAAAGGUCAAAAAAAACAUCUGAAGAAAGGUGUUUGGCUGAAAAGGAAAAGCAAGAAAGUUGUAAUGCAGACAAACACAUGCAGAAAAAUAUAAAAACAUGUAAUAGGGAGGCAGACCAAUCUUGCAAUGAGGUAUAGAUAAAACGUGAUACACGACCUGCCUACCUUGUCGUGGAUACCCCAAGAAGAUGUCGUAGAGGUGCAGACCAAGCUAGCAAGGAGGUCGAAACGUGAUACACGGCCUGCCUACCUUGCCGUGGAUAUUAGCCCUAAGAUCAUUCUACUGUUCAAGGAAUAACACUCAAUGCUGCUGCUGCUGCUGACCUGGCUCCAUAAAGUUAUACUCCUCUAGGUGCUUGCACUAACUUUAUCUGAAGUAUUAUUCUCUCUGCACUGUAUAUAUGGUUAUGGAGUUUGCUGGAGUAUCCGGGGGGAAGAACCUACAUAAUACGUCUUGGAACUAACUGACAUUGAUUCACAGACAAACUCUACAAGGUGCUGUUGUUGCCAUUUUAGAGCAUCCAAAGGACUAUAAAUAACAUAGUUUACCAUAUACCAUAUACCAUAAUAUGUUAGCUAAAAUAAGAGCAUACACAUGUUGCAGGAGUCCAAAAGCACCGGUUGAGGACCAGGUACAUUGAAUUACUAGAAAAAGACAGGGGACAAGGUUUAGGUAACCACAUGAAACAUUUGAAUUUACUGUACCAUGAACACUUAGUUACCAUGCUGGGAGCACAUAGUUAACACUAACAUUUAGCCACUUUAGAUCAUCCCGAAUCACCAAUGACCCUCAAUAGUGACAAAUUUUGGUUUAAAUGCCGUCACCAAUGAUCCUCAAUAGUGACGUAUUUAGGUUUAAAUCCCAUCACUAAUAACCCUCAAUAGUGACCUGUUUUGGUUUAAAUCUCAUUACCACUUAUCCUCAAUAGUGACGUGUUAAAACACGUUAUCUCAAUGGCAAAUCAUUGGUGACGUGUUUUAAAAAAACAUGGCACUGUGAGAGUCAUUGGUGAAGGGUAAUUAAAAUGCGUCACUAAUGUUGUAGCAUUAGUUAUGAUAAUUUAGUAAUGCAAAAAUCUACCAUCAGUAAUGAGCUUUAGAGCCAUCGCUAAUGUGGGUUUCUUACAUAGUGAUGCAAGCUCUACAAGGUGCUGUUGCUGCCAUUUUAAAGCAUCCUAUGACUACAUGUUAAUAACAUACUUUACCAUAUACCAUAAAAAUAUUAGUUACAAUAAGCACAUACGCAUGUGGAAGAGUCCGAAUGCACCGGUUGAGGACUAAACACAUUUAAUUACUAGAACCAAAUGUAUGUCCAGAACAAAGACAGGGGUCAAGGUUUGGGUAACCGCAUUAAAAACAUUGGAUUUUACUGUACAUGAACACUUAGUUACCAUUACCAUGCCUUGAGCACCUAGUUACAACAAACAUUAAUUUAGCCACUUUAGAGCUUCCAGAAUCGCUAUAAAUAAUAUACAUACGCCGUACCAUGAAAACAUCAAGAAGAGAGACGGAUACAUGGACCACCAUCAAGCGAGUACUGACAGCACGCACAAGAAUACCCAGAACCUGUUAGCUUGUCUGUAGUGAUCUGUUUUCUUCCCCAUAAAAUCCAUGAGUAUUGCCACAAAUAAUGAAAGAGGCUGACCAAGCUAGCAAGGAGGUAGAGCAAACGUGAUACACGGCCUGCCAAGAUUGCCCUGGAUACGCCAAUAAGAGCGACAGAUACAUGGAUCACACCAAUAUGGUGAAACGUAUAUUCAUCACACAAGCAAAGCUGGUCAGUUUAUCCAUGGUCAAAUUGUGGUCUUUGUUUUCACUUGAGAGCUAAUUGAGGCACUAUAAUAUGGGCAGGCCUAUCUUCAACAGACAUGACAGCUACAGGGAACUUGACAUAAUUUGCUGGACCGCCUGUGCACAAUUAUUUGUUUUAUUGUCCUUGCAUAGAAUGCUAAAAUACUCUUUACAAAAUGUUGGAUCUAAUAUUUGAAAUAUAGAGUAGUAAUCAUAUAUUGAUCAACAACUUGAAAUUAUCUGUACAUUCUCGGUGAAGCUGUUGAACUAAUUUUUGCAAAUUAUUAAUUAAUUCAUCUCAUUACGUAAAGAAAACAGUAAGUGGAUAAGAUAUUUCGUGGACCACAUCACUGCAAACAUGUCAUGGAGAGACAGACCAAGGAGGCAGGACGUGAUACACGACUUACCCUAGGUUGCCGUGGAACCGCCAAGAAGAGAUACAGAUACAUGGACCACACCAUCUUGGGAGUAGUGACAGCAUAUAUGCAGAAGAAUACCCCGUGCCUAUUUGCAUGCAUGUCUCAAGUGAUCUGUUUUCUUCAGAAAAUACAUGAGCAUUGCCAGAAAGAAUGGCAAGAGACAAACAUGUCGUAGAGACUUGCAUGUCUUGCCUUGGAUACGCCAAGAAGAGGGACACAUACAUGGAUAACACAAAUCUAGUGACACGUAUAUUCAUCACAAAGGCAAAUCUGAUAAUUUUAUCCAUGGAGCAGACCAAGGAGAAAUUGAUGACGGACAUGUGAUCUCUGUAUUCAGUUGAAAGCUAAUUGAGCUACACUAAUAUGAGCAGGACUAUAUUCAAGAGACUUGUUGAGAGCUACAGGGAACUUGUAAUAAUUUGCUGGGCGGCCUGCGCACAAUGAUUUGUUAUACAUAGUUGAAAUAUUUCAAGAAUUUAUCAACCUCGUACUCUGAAACCCUUGGUGCAAUGUACUCUGCUUUCCGAGGUAGACUGUUCACGUAAAAUGAGGUCAUGCGUAAGACGGAAUCGGAUUGGAUUCGCAGGGAAUCAGAUUUGGAUAGCACCUUUUAGCAGGUUUUUAGUCAAAUGCAAAUUCGGAUCCAGAUAUGGUUGAAUGCGAGUUCAAAAUUCUACUUGGAUAUCCAUUUAAUUUAGGUGAUAGCAAUUAGCACAAAAUGUUGGAAGAACAAAAUCAUAGUUAGACAUACAAUUACAUGUAUUGUUAAAGUAUAAUACAAUACACCAAGAUUAUUCCUUGAAAAUAUUUCUUAAAAAUAUUAUAAUAAAUGAAUACCACCAACAAAUAGUCGGUGGUCACUAAGUUGGAGCCAUUUCUGGUUACUAAUGCGGCCUGCUCCUCGACCAGCGACGACAGCUGAGCUUGUUCCUUCUGACACCAAAUCAUCAGAGUUUUCCCUCCACUACUAUAGAAUGCACCUUUAGCACCAAUUGGGAAAUCUCCUUCAGUAUCGGAUGCUGCAACCUAUGCUAUGAAAAUGGAGACUAAAAGCCUCGGUCUUGGGUACCGGUUGCAUGACGCAUUACUAAAGGAGGCAAAAGAGAAAUGUAACAAAAAAAUAUUUUGAAUUCCAAGAAUGUUUCACUAUUCAAGAUGACUAGCUGAGAGUCAUCAGACAAGAUACUAGGAACGUGGGUGCUUGAAUGCCAGGUGCUGGAGCGCGGCGAGGCAGUCGUCGUAGCCCGCCGGGAGCGGGUGCUCGGGCGCGAGGUGGUACUCGACGGAGACACCGAGCGUUGGGCGCGCGGCGGCGAGCGCGUUGAGGAAGUGAUCGUAGUGUGGCGACGUCGCGGACUCCGCCACGAAGCCGCCGCCGUGGAUGUACACCACCACGGGCAGCUUCGUCUUGCCGUCAGCGGCCACGGCCGCGGCCUAGGGUGGCAGGUAGAGGCGGAUGGAGCAGGAGCCGAGGUCGACGUCCCCGGAGUCGACGCCCGUGGCGGCGUCCAGGCCGGGCCUGACCGGCGGCGGCACGAGCGACGCGGCCGCUCUUGUAAAUCCAGCAGGUCUGUGCGGAGGCGGGCGGCGGGUGGGAGCGGCGGCGGGUGGUGCGGAGGCCGGCGGCGGCGGGUGGCGCGGAGGAAGGGGAGCUGGUGAGUGGUGACAGGGGAGGGGGGAGAGAGAGAGGGGGGUAGGGUGCAUUGAAUGAGGGCAGGAGGUGUAAAGUGCACCUUUUAGUCCCCAUAAACAACCAUAAGCAUCCCAAGAGUUGCUUAUUUACUUAUAAUAAGCAACCCCAUAAGCAAGAGUGAUUGGUUUCAUAAGCAACUUAUUUGCUUAUUUUAAGUUGCUUAUGCAUAAGCAUGUGAAACCAAACAGGCCCUUAACCUAUGGUUGUGGCACACAACCAUACAGUAGAUAGUAUUUAAUAAUGCUAUUCGUUUGGUAUGUGCAGAAGGGCACGCAUGAAAUGUCUGGCCCACGGUAAACAAGUACGGACGCUGCAAAUAAUCUACUCUGCUCGUCCAGUCCCUAGCCUAUAAAUAGAUGCCAUGCUAGCUCUUGUUGUGCUCACAAUUAAUCCGAUUACACACGAGCUUCUCUCCCUGGCCAAGACACAAUCAUAGUAUGAUGAAGAACAUGGCACUAGCCGGCAAUGGUAUGAAGAAGUUAAUCCUCGCUGUUCUCUUACUGUGUCUAGUUAUAGGGCAGAUACAAGUGGAAGCUAAGAGCUGCUGCCCAUCCACCACUGCAAGAAAUAUCUACAAUACCUGCCGUAUCACGGGUACAUCCCGUCCAACGUGUGCAAAACUGUCAGGCUGCAAAAUUAUCAGCGGGGACAAAUGCAAGCCCCCUAACGACCACCUCACCCUUGACCCGGACACUGGUAAAUAAUAAAUUUAUCUCACUUGAUUUCUUUGUGUUUUGAGUCGUUAAUGUAUUUUCCAUCUGAUGAAACGUAUUGGUUUUGCAUUGAAGAGGAAGUUAAUGUGCUUAACUUCUGCAAGUUGGGGUGUGCGUCGUCUGUGUGCAACAACAUCAACGCUGGUAAGCACCUUUUGCUCAGACAGAGAAAACAAUAAUCAUUAAUUAGCGGCAGCUAGAAUCCUAUAAUCUAAUAUAUAUAUAUAUAAUUUUAUCAGCUCUGGGAAAUGAAGAGGCGAACGAUGCCGUUGAGAGUUGCGACCAAGCCUGCUCUAGCUUCUGCAACGUGCACGUUGGCGCUGCCACCGUGGUUGCUUAAGCAAAUGCAUCCAACUGGAUCGUCCUUGUGCUGAAUAAUUGGAUAUCGUAUCCACUUAAAGCUGCCUUGUGUAGUACGUCUUUGUUUGUGUCUCUCUUUAUAUUCCAAUAAGGUCGGUGAUCUUGAUGCCACACACUCAGACGUGUGUUCAUCUCCAGAUACUACUCCAUGCUACCUACCCUUUGUGUUUUGUUCAAUAACUGGGUAUCAUAUUCCGGCCAGUGUGCCAUCUGUUUUGUGUUUAUUUCCUUCUAGUUCCAAAGGGGUCAUCAUGAUGUUACCUUCUUUCGAUAUGGUGCUUUGCAUGACUACUGUUGUAUGGUACCAUCUUGUUGGCCAAUAAAUACAUCUUAUCCUAUGACCCUUUGCUAUGACCCUUUGCAAAUAAGUACAAGAUUGUUAAAUACUCGGUAUAAAUUGACUACUGUUGUGAGUUCCCUUUCAGCUUAUUGUAGGCAUACAUUAUUGCUAGCACGGUGAAGACAACCAACACGAAUGAUCAAGUAAACGUACCGGUACUUUUGUAUACCAACACCCUUGCUUAAAUGUACCGGU